UCUCUCUCUCUCUCUGUUAUGUUUAUUACAAACAAUUAAUAACCUCACAGAUGCAUUAAAAACUUAUGGAAACUUCAUAGUUAAUUAUGAUAACUCAUUAGUCAAAACUUUGCCACUACAUUUAGAGCUCCCUAGCUUAUGUAUGAAACUAUGAAUGAUGCUGAAAUAAAUAUCCUAAAGUUAGAUGUGUUUUAGUGUUUUUUUUUUGUUAGUGCUUUUUCCUUCUUUUUUUAAAAGAAAUUAUUGUCAUUAUAUGGAGCUUUAAAGAGUGCGUUUAAUAAGUAAUAACAUGUGGUUGAUGUGUGGGAGAGAUCCCAGGAGUCAAAGAAUUACAAUAAUCACGACAAAUAGUUUUAUAAAAAAAUAAUUAAAGUGAAAGUUUUUUUUUUUAAAGUGCUUGAUCCAUCAACAUCUAAAAGCAGUGAAAAAAAUAGAUGUCGACAAAGGACGUCUGUUUCUCAUAUCCAAUUUAAGAUAUUUUUUUUUUAUGUUGUCAAGUUCUAUCUUAAACUUUAUAUAUUUUGGAACAAACAUUGCAAGAUCAUAUUAUCGUUGCAAAAUAGUUUUGUUUAUCUUUUUCGGGUAAUGCAAAUAUUGUGAUUCAUCAUCAUGAAUUCAUGAUGAUGAGUGCACUAACGUUUUGACCUUUGACUUAAAAAGUACCAAUUAAAGAGAAUAGAAGGACUUAUCACAUGUUGACUUUUCUUUGAGAGGUCAUAAAUAAAAGUGAAUUAUUUUUUACGAAAUCAUGACUAAGUCAACGAGUCUUCGCUAUCGAAUCAGGUGGCUAUGGUACACUAGAGGAGCUACUUGAAGUGAUAACUUGGGCACAACUUGGUAUACAUGAUAAACCGGUAUGUAUGUAAACCGGUUUGGCCUGGUAUACAUGUGAAUUUGAUGAUUAAAAGACAAGUGUUCCAACCGUGCAGGUCGGUUUAUUAAACGUUGAUGGAUAUUACAAUGCUUUGCUAUCAUUCAUCGACAAAGCUGUCGAAGAAGGGUUUAUUCUUCCAACCGCUCGACAUAUUAUUGUAUCCGCACCCACCGCAAAAGACUUGUUCCAGAAAUUAGAGGUAAUAUUAAACCCCAUAGAAGAUGAUACUACUGAGUACUAACUCUAACCCUAUAUCAGAUCAUAUAUGUCGAUCAAUGUGGUUUAAUUUGGUAACCAAAUAUUAAUUAAUGAUGCAAGGGGUUUUUUUUUUUUUUGGUCUUAAAAUUUUUUUUAGACUAGACUGAGUUCUUGUUUAGUAUCAUUUGAUUGGUUUAAUGCAGGAAUAUGUGCCUCAACACAAGUAGUCAUAACACAUGCCAUAUAUCGAAACUGAGCUCCGAGACGAAUCAUACCAAACAAAUUUCGUAGAUGGACGAGUAAAGAUUUGAUCACCUCAUAGACAAUCUAAAAGUCGGAUUCUAUUGGGAAGUACAAAUUGUAACUUUUUAUUUCUGGAUUAUUUUUUUAGCAUGGUAUCAGAAAUUUCGGUUAAUGUGUUGUGAUAUAUAAACUAGUGGUGCAUUUCACUAAUAUUUUAAAGUAAAUGUUAUAAUUAUCUUUUCUUGUUGGGUCAAAACUGAAAAACAAGAGAUAUAUAGAACUUCUAGGGUUUCUUGGUUCAAUGGAUUUGUGUUUAAGGAGCUAUUUUGGAGUACUGAUUAAUCUUAUGUAUAGAAAAACCAUUGCCUGAAAAACUUAUAGAAAUUAAUGUAACAUAUUACCCCAGCAAAAUUUAUUAUUCGUUGGGCCUACGUACUUAAAAAACACUACUAUUCAUUGCACACAACACUUGGUUGUUGAAAGAUACAAUUUUCUUGGUAGAUAUCAAUUUUUUUAUUAUUAGUAUGGACUUAUGGUAUUGCAUUGAAUAAUUCUGAAUGUUUAAGAUCGAUCAUAUCGAUUCAACUUAGCUUACAAAUAAAGAAUGAUCUGAGCUAACGACUUCUCAUCUCAAAUCAUGAAGCCAGAAGCAAUCAUUAAUUACAAAUAUUAAAUCAUAUAACAUAAUCUUGAAUUGUUUAGGUUACAAUAACAUCCAUAUGUCUCCUCCUAAAACAGCCCCGAUUCGAUCUUAUUCUUCUGGUCUCCACGUAAUAACUUACAUACUAAAAAUUAACAAAGAAAUAUAAAAAUAAAGCCACUUGAUUAACCGAAAACAUUUGUUGAGUCGAACCAAUUAAAUAUAAACUUAAUUAACGACGAGUCUGACUUGUAACUGACGUCUCUUGUUUCGAGGUUAGGAUCAAAAUCUCCAAAUUCGUAUGAACCCACCCACACCAUGUGUUUUAAGCCCAAGAGAAGAGAUUCAGUGAACCAAGAAGGAAAAAUUGAUUUAAUUUUAAACUGUGUCCCUUACACUAAUGAAAGGUUAUGUUUACAAAAUCCAGUUUAUUAAUAGAUUAAUACAGUAGUAAUAAAUAAAAUUAUGUGGACACAAAGCCCAAAAGAUCACAAUCUAGUUUUAAAAGAGCGACAAGAAAGAUUCUUUAAGCUGAUGAAUGAUCUGUACCAUGUAGCUUUGUUCCCUUUUUUGGUGUUUAACUCUUUUACUUAACUGCCCUAAUUACAUGAUCAACGAGAGAGAGAGACCUAAUAAACACUUCCUCAUCACCAAAAUAAAUAACCCAAAUUGAUUCAUUGGUCAAAAUUUUGUGUAUUUUUAUAGAAUUGAUAUAAUUAUACAUUCCAUGUUACGAAUUGUGACUUUGAAAUUUUGUUUGGUCAUCAAUUCAUCAUCGGUACGGAUGAAAUAUUUGUAUGUUUUAAAAGUAUACAAGCCAUGUAUUGUAUUAUUAGUAGAUAUCUAUUUAUAGUAUUAUAAAAAAACAAGUGUGGUCUCUUAUGUUAUGGUUCAUUGAACAUAUACAUGAAACAUAGGACUGGGGAGGAGCCCAUGUUCCUUUCAUUGAUGCAAAAUUUUAGUUUCAUAUGUUUUAAUUUUGCUUCCUAUCCAAUGUGCAUAUAUAGAUAUAGUUUCACAUAUGGAUAAUGAUGAGUAAGGUUAAGUAUAUAGUGACAAGUUUAAAAUAAGAAAGCCGAAUAGGAGAAGAAAAUAGUAAGGUACAAUGUAUGGUUAUCGAAACCCCCAAGCUGUGUACUUCCAUUGAUGUAGGAGAUGAUUGGGAACACGUGGAUUUUAUUUGACUAAAGAAUAUUAGAAAAAAUUUCAAUUUUUUUUUUUUGGUUUUCGGAUUGAUUUGUGAAUUUGGUUAGUUCGGUUUAGGAGGGUUUGAUGAAACAUAACCAUACUAGUAGGUAAAGUGACAAAUGUUGAUACUACAUGAAAUUUAGAUAUGAUAACAAGAUUUUUUCUUUUAGAACACCUUUCAUAUGUAAACUAGUUUUACUGUCAUAUUUUAUGAUGAUUUAAGCUGAUCAAGUUCUUAAGUUUCGGAGAUUAAAAGGGUACAUAAGAAAACAAAAUCCUUGAGUUAUUAUUAUUUUUCGACAAAUAUUUAUUCUGUGCAAUUAAUAAUGAUGUCUACACAAAGACAGCAAAAAUAGAUAAAUAAGUUGCCAUAUAAAGACAUAAUAUUUAUAGCAUUCUGUGGAGUAUAAUGUCCAAUCCUGUUUUAUUUUUCCGAUUUCUUAGGGCAUCCUCGUUGGGGGUAUCUUAUGAGGCUAAGAUACCCCCACUUUUUCAAAGAAAAUAUGUUAUAUAAGGAUUUUCUUUGGAAAAGUGGGGGUAUCUUAGCCUCCUAAGAUACCCCCAAUGAGGAUGGUCUUACAUCUACAUAUAUGUAUAUUUAUAUGGAUGGUUCUAACGCCAUCAUUUAUUUGAUUUUUCCAUUUUUUUAUUAGUCAACAACUUCACCUUUUGAUAACGCCUAAAUUGUAUCAGCUACUUUAGUUUAGUUUCUCCUCAAAUAACGUCAUUUUCAGAGCAAGUUUUGGGCUUCUCUUUUCAUUUAUAUGCACAAUGGGAAAUUAAAAAUAUAAAAUAUAACAUGUUUCAUGUAAUUUACAUUCAAAACUCAUGUGUUUCUGUUAGUUUCUUUUAACAAAAAUAUUCUUUUUAUACUAACAUUGGUAUAUCACUUUUAAAAAACAGUACAUUCCUAUGGAUGGUCUCUUAUAUAAGAUAACCAAAUUUAAAUUUAUAUUUGAUUUUGUAUUCUAGAAGAAAAUUGACUUCGCUAUGACGAUGUAUAUGCAAUAGCUUUAUAUUAUUUAAGUGUUUUUUGAAUACGAGAAGAUCGUGUAAACCUUUUUUGCGUGAUUAAAAUUUUUCAACUAAUCUUACGAACACUUGUAGUCUUUUCCCAGUUAGAGGAUUCGAUUCUCAUCUUUAUUUUGUAACGUUUGUUUUGAUUUUUAAAUAUAAGUAACGUUCUUUUUGAAUUUUUAAAUAUGAGUAACGUUUGUUUUAUUUUAAUAUAUAAAAGAAAUAUCACUAAAAUUUUACAUUAUCGUAAAUUAUAAGAAAUGUUAAUAUGUAGUACACAAAGAGAGUAAAUUUCCCUCACAUUUCACAAAAUCAAAUUCUUAUUCCUUUAGUUGCUAAAACUAAAAAGACAUUUCAUGUUAAUAAACAAGUAGUAUUAUAUCAAGGCAUAUUUCUAAAAAGAAAACUUUAUAUUCAUUUUUGCGAUGGGCCUCAGGACAAAAUAAUUUGAUUUCUCAAUAGAUAAAUAAAAGUGUACUAUAUAAUUGCAAUGAGGUGAAAGAUGGGUUCAGAAUUUUCAAAUAAAAUAAAUAAAUAAUAAUGCUCUUCUUGUCCACUUAUCUUGGAAUCAAAACCUACGAUUAGUUUAAGAUAAGUGUAUAUUAGUAAUAAAGAGUUUGGGUUUAAACCUGAAAAUAAUUUAAUUAAAAAGACGUUUUUUCAGCUAAAUAUAAGAAAAAAGGAAUAUUAGCUUUUUUUAUUUAUAACAUUUAUAUUUUUUUUACAUCUCUUUUGAAGGUGGCACGAGCACCCAUAACCUUUCAGAACCUAUAGAUACAGAUAAUGUGUACGUAUAUAUGUAAAUUAUAUAUAUAAAUUAUAUAAUUGAUUUUUUGGAUCUUCUUUUAUCUCUCUCUUUCUUUCUCCUUUGGAUGGAACUGAGCUCUUCUUCUUUCUCUCUUUCCUCUCUCUUCUUCUUCUUCUUCUCUCUCUAUCUAUCUCUAUCUAUCUCUCGUGGCUUGAUAAGAAAGAGUUUUCUCUCUUGAAGAUCCGUUUCUAGACCCUCUCACUUGUUACUGAUUAGUUCAAUAUUUGCGAUCAUGGCGAUUUCACAGGUCACCAUCUCCAAAAACCCUAAUUCUCUGUUUCUGCUUGAGUUUUUUAUUUGGUUGGGGGCUUUGUUGUACGGACUUCCAUGGGAGUUUUUUUUUAAAAGCUUAUGUCUAGUAUUUUGUGCAAAUGAGAGUUUUUUUUUUUAUUAUCUUACUUGCACAGCUUCUGUUCGUUUUCAGCUUUUUAUAAUGAUCGAAUUCGAGUUUCAGCUUAGAUCUUUCUCUUUCUCCGAAUCUGUUUUCGAAGACGUUCAUGUUUUCUCUCAUCUAGGUUUCUGGGUUUUGUUUUAAUUUGGAGAUUUUAGUUUUUUUUUCCUUUUCUUACUGUACUUGUUUGUGGUUGACCUUUUUUUUUUUUUUUCUUUCUCUCUUGAAGAUCUGAAUGCGUAGAUCAUACGGGAUCUUUGCAUUUUUGUUGCUUUUCUUCAGCGUUACGAUUCUUUUAACUUCGAUUAAGUUGGAAUUUGUAUCUUUUUUUAGCUUAUCUCUAAGAUCGAUUUAUUGAUUUUUUUUUUCUGAGUAUUUUGUUUUUUUUUUCACCAUAAUUUUUUCUCAGGUUUGAAGAUAAAUCCGUAUUGGUUAAAGCAUAUGGAAGUGUGUGUUCUGUUCUUGGUUGCUCUGAUAGGGCUUCCUCCUUUUCACCCAACUUAGUUGAUGUUAUAAGAUCUCUCCUUGAAGCUGCAGUAACGUCUGGUCCUUUGAACUUUUUAACUUAAGAAGCUUCAUUUGGUGUUACUUGAGGCAAUUUCAGCUAGUAGGUAAAGACUGUACAGACCUGUAAAACAAGAUAACGAUAGAGUGGCUCUAUUUGCCUCAGUGUUAGUUACUGUUUGCGCGUUGGAAGGAAUCAAAUUUUAGCAACGGAAGGUGUUUUGGAUCGAGUCUGUCAAGUCUACUCGGCUGAGGCUUUUUUUUAAGUGAAGUACGAUUGGAUCUGUAGAGUUGACCUUAUAUAAUCAGAUAGAUUUAGGAUGGAAGCUGAAAUUGUGAAUGUGAGACCUCAGCUAGGGUUCAUCCAGAGAAUGGUUCCUCCGCUACUGCCAGUUCUUUUGGUUUCUGUUGGAUAUAUUGAUCCUGGAAAAUGGGUUGCAAAUAUCGAAGGAGGUGCUCGUUUUGGGUAUGAUUUAGUGGCUAUUACUCUGCUCUUCAGUUUCGCCGCUAUCUUGUGCCAAUACAUAGCAGCUCGAAUCAGCGUUGUAACUGGUAAACAUUUAGCUCAGGUAUUUUUCCCCCUUUCUCUGUUUUUUUUUCCUGAUCCUGAAUUGUCACUUUUUCAUAGUUGCCAAUUGUAUUCCCCGUAUCUGGUUUUUGGUUUUCCGAAGUGUAUUUCUGCUAACCAUCUUCUCUAUUUCUCUAACAUUUGAAUGUUCUUUACUUGGAUAGAUCUGCAAUGAAGAAUAUGACAAGUGGACGUGCAUGUUCUUGGGAAUUCAGGCGGAGUUCUCAGCAAUUCUGCUCGACCUUACCAUGGUAGUUACUUACAAUCUUUUUCGUUCUUAAAUUUUUAGUUAUGUUUGAUGGAAAAUUUGCAAUUCCUCUGACGUGAUGCUUCUGUAUUAUAAACAGGUUGUGGGAGUUGCGCAUGCACUUAACCUUUUGUUUGGGGUGGAGUUAUCCACUGGAGUGUUCUUGGCCGCCAUUGAUGCAUUUUUAUUUCCUGUUUUCGCCUCUUUCCUUGUAUGACUGGUUUCAUGUCUUUUUUUUAAUCACCAUGUUCUUGGAAUAGCAUUAUCGGAAAUGAUCUGACAUGCAUACAAAUUUUACAGGAAAAUGGUAUGGCAAGUACAGUAUCCAUUUGCUCGGCAGGUCUAGUUUUACUUCUCUAUAUUUCUGGCGUCUUGCUGAGUCAGUCUGAGAUCCCAUUCUCUAUGAACGGAGUGUUAACUCGGUUUAAUGGAGAGAGCGCAUUCGCACUGAUGGGUCUUCUUGGAGCAAGCAUUGUCCCUCACAAUUUUUAUAUCCAUUCUUAUUUUGCUGGGGUACCUUAUUCUCUUUCUAUGCAUCUCUCUUUUCUAUUUAGAAGCAAGAAUUGUACUAAGCAGUGAACACUCUAUUGCAGGAAUGUACAUCUUCUUCAGAUGUCGACAAGAGCAGCUUGUGUCAAGACCAUUUGUUUGCCAUCUUUGGUGUCUUCAGCGGACUUUCACUUGUAAAUUACGUAUUGAUGAAUGCAGCAGCCAGUGUGUUCCACAGUACUGGCCUUGUGGUACUGACUUUUCACGAUGCCAUGUCACUAAUGGAGCAGGUUUGUUCUAUUAGUUUUAUGUUUCAUAUUAAUCUAUAAUUCAUUUUAGGGAUACAAUUUCAGAAAUUUCUUGUGAUUAUUAACUAUUCUUUUUCUUGAUUGUUGAGCACAGGUAUUUAUGAGUCCGCUCAUUCCAGUGGUCUUUUUGAUGCUCUUGUUCUUCUCUAGUCAAAUUACAGCACUAGCUUGGGCUUUCGGUGGAGAAGUCGUUCUGCAUGACUUCCUGAAGAUAGAAAUACCCGGUUGGCUUCAUCGUGCUACAAUCAGAGUUCUUGCAGUUGCUCCUGCCCUUUAUUGUGUGUGGACAUCAGGUGCAGACGGAAUAUAUCAGUUACUUAUAUUCACCCAGGUCCUGGUGGCAAUGAUGCUUCCUUGCUCUGUCAUACCGCUGUUCCGCAUUUCUUCCUCUAGACAAAUCAUGGGUGCCCAUAAAAUCCCUCAAGUUGGGGAGUUUCUUGCACUUACAACGUUUUUGGGGUUUCUUGGUUUGAAUGUUGUUUUUGUUGUUGAGAUGGUAUUUGGGAGCAGUGACUGGGCUGGUGGUUUGAGGUGGAAUACCGUAAUGGGCACCUCGGUUCAGUACACCACUUUGCUUGUAUCGGCAUGUGUAUCCUUAUGCCUGAUGCUCUGGCUCGCAGCUACGCCGCUGAAAUCUGCCAGUAACAGAGCAGAAACUCAAAUAUGGAACAUGGAUGUUCAAAAUGCUUUAUCUUAUCCAUCUGUUCAAGAAGAGGAAAUUGAAAGAAGCGAAACAAGACGGAACGAAGACGAAUCGAUAGUGCGGCUGGAAAGCAGGGUAAAGGAUCAGUUGGAUACUACGUCUGCCACUAGUUCAGUCUAUGAUUUGCCAGAGAAUAUUCUAAUGACGGAUCAAGAAAUCCGUUCGAGCCCUCUAGAGGAAAGUGAGUUAGACAUAAAAUUCUCUGCCUCUCAAGUUAGUAGACUUGGGGAAGACCAUGAUGUAAAGGAACAGUCUGUAUUGCAGUCAACGGUGGUUAAUGAGGUUACUGAGAAGGAUUUGGUUGUUGAGACAAAGAUGGUGAAGGUUGAACCGACCAGUCCUGUGGAGAAGACUGUUAGCAUGGAAAAUAACAGCAAGUUCAUUGAAAAGGAUGUUGAAGGGGUUUCAUGGGAAACAGAAGAAGCUGCGAAAGCUGCUCCUGCCAGCAACUUUACUGUUGGAUCUGAUGGUCCGCCUUCAUUCCGCAGCUUAAGUGGAGAAGGGGGAAGUGGGACUGGAAGCCUUUCACGGUUGCAAGGUUUGGGGCGUGCUGCCCGGCGCCACUUAUCUGCCAUCCUUGAUGAGUUUUGGGGACAUUUAUAUGAUUUUCAUGGGCAAUUAGUUGCUGAAGCCAGGGCAAAGAAAAUUGAUCAGUUGUUUGGUGCUGAUCAAAAGUCAGCCUCUUCUAUGAAAGCAGAUUCUUUUGGAAAAGACAUGAGUAGUGGAUAUUGCAUGUCUCCAACUGCAAAAGGGUUAGACUCACAGAUGACUUCAACUUUAUAUGAAUCACUGAAGCAGCAAAGGACUCCAGGAAGUAUUGAUUCGUUGUAUGGAUUACAAAGAGGGUCUUCACCGACACCUUUGGUUAACCGUAUGCAGAUGUUGGGUGCAUAUGGUAGUAAUACCAAUAAUAAUAGUGCUUAUGAAUUGAGUGAGAGAAGAUACUCUAGCCUGCGGGCUCCAUCAUCUUCUGAGGGUUGGGAACAUCAACAACCAGCUACAGUUCACGGAUAUCAGAUUAAGUCAUAUGUUGACAAUUUGGCAAAAGAAAGGCUUGAAGCUUUACAAUCGCGUGGAGAGAUCCCGACAUCGAGAGCUAUGGCGCUUGGUACAUUGAGCUAUACACAGCAACUUGCUUUAGCCUUAAAACAGAAGUCCCAGAAUGGUCUAACCCCUGGACCAGCUCCUGGGUUUGAAAAUUUUGCUGGGUCUAGAAGCAUAUCACGGCAAACUGAAAGAUCUUAUUACGGUGUUCCAUCUUCUGGAAAUACCGAUACUGUUGGCGCACCAGUAGCCAAUGAGAAGAAGUAUAGUAGCAUGCCAGAUAUUUCAGGAUUGUCUUUGUCUGCGAGGAACAUGCAUUUGCAGAACAACAAGAGCGGAUACUGGGAUCCGUCCAGUGGAGGAGGAGGGUAUGGCACGUCUUAUGGUCGAUUAAGCAGUGAUACAUCAUUGUAUUCUAAUUUGGGUUCACGGGUUGGAGUACCCUCUACUUAUGAUGACAUGUCUCAAUCAAGAGGAGGCUACAGAGAUGCCUACACUUUGCCACAGAAUACAUCAACAGGGACUGGAUCACUUUGGUCCAGACAGCCCUUUGAGCAGUUUGGCGUAGCGGAGAGGAAUGGUGCUGUUGGUGAGGAGCUCAGGAAUAGAUCAAAUCCAAUAAAUAUAGACAACAACUCUUCCUCUACUGUUGAUGCAGAGGCUAAGCUUCUUCAAUCAUUCAGACACUGUAUUCUAAAGCUUAUUAAACUGGAAGGAUCCGAGUGGUUGUUUGGACAAAGCGAUGGAGUCGAUGAAGAACUGAUUGACCGGGUAGCUGCACGAGAGAAGUUUAUCUAUGAAGCUGAAACUCGAGAAAUAAAUCAAGUGGGUCACAUGGGUGAGCCACUGAUUUCAUCAGUUCCUAAUUGUGGAGAUGGUUGCAUUUGGAGAGCUGAUUUGAUUGUGAGCUUUGGAGUUUGGUGCAUCCACCGUGUUCUUGACUUGUCUCUCAUGGAGAGUCGGCCUGAGCUCUGGGGAAAGUAUACUUACGUUCUCAACCGCCUUCAGGUAAGAUAAACAAAAACCCGCCAUUUUGCAGUUAGAAACAAAGCUUUAUGUUUCUGACAUGUACGGAUUCAACAGGGAGUAAUUGAUCCAGCGUUCUCAAAGCUGCGGACACCGAUGACACCGUGCUUUUGCCUUCAGAUUCCUGCGAGCCACCAGAGAGCGAGUCCGCCUUCAGCUAACGGAAUGUUACCUCCGGCUGCAAAACCAGCCAAAGGCAAAUGCACAACCGCAGUCACACUUCUUGAUCUAAUCAAAGACGUUGAAAUGGCAAUCUCAUGUAGGAAAGGCCGGACCGGUACAGCUGCAGGAGACGUGGCUUUCCCAAAGGGUAAAGAAAAUCUGGCUUCGGUUUUGAAGCGGUAUAAACGUCGGUUAUCGAGUAAACCAAUAGGUAUAAAUCAGGAUGGACCGGGUUCAAGAAAGAACUUAACUGCGUACGGAUCAUUGGGUUGAAGAAGAACAUUGAGAGAAUCUCGUGAUCAAAGAGAGACGUCGAGCGGGAAGCUGAAGAAUCAAAACUCUUGCUUUUGAUUGCUCCUCUGCUUCGUUAAUUGUGUAUUAAGAAAAAAGAAAAAAGAAAAAAAAAUGGAUUUUUGUUGCUUCAGAAAUUUUUCGCUUUUUUUUUUUCUCUUCUUUCUAUUUGUCUCUCUUAAUUUGGUUGUAAUGUUAUGUUUAUAUACAUUAUCAUCAUCAUAGGACCAUAGCUACAAACCGAAUCCGGUUUGUGUAAUUUGAUGCGGAAUCAAUCAUAAAAAAGAAUCCGCCGGUUUGAAUUGUUAAACAUUCUUAACCGGAUUACAUUACGUCGCUGACACACACACAUCGACGCUGGAUUGCCGACAGGUGUUCUUAUCAAUCUCGUCUUCUCGAAUCGUCUUCUGGUUCCUUCUUAUUUCUGGGUUGGAAAAAAAUAUAAAAAGUCCAGCAGAGUAAACCUAACAAUGGGUUAUGUGAUCUACAUCUCGUUUUCGUCGAUUCUUCUCCUUCUGGUCAUCGCUAUCACUUUCUACCUCAUCGGGAGAAAAAUCGGCCGGCGAGAAGGCAUGUAUGGACCGCCGUUGGCUGGUUUACCGGCACCUGCACCGCCGCAUAAAGCUACGGAGAAGCCACCGGAGGUUUAGCAAAAACCGUUUGUGUGUAGUCUGUGUAGGUAGUGUAUGUGAUGACGUAAUCAUCUUUGAUAAUGUAUAUGUUGUUUGUGUUACUAGAUUUCACACUGUUAUUGGGCCGAUAUUGAAACCUAAUAAAGGAUUCUCUUUACUGGGCCUGAGCUUUUAAGAAAACACUUCGUUCGGUUUUGUAUUUCGACGUACUCACUUCUUGUCGUUUAACUUGUGUAUUAACUAUUAACCUAAUGCAACUAAAAGAAACUACGCGGCGUUUGAUGGAAGAAGAAAUAUUCGCUUCUUCUUUACAACUUUUUGUCCCAACGGAGAAAAGUCCUCUCUUUCUUUCUCUCUCUCUCUCGAAUAAUAAUAACUUUUCAUUUGCUGCGUCCUUUUGGUGCUUGAAGCGAUGACCAUGGCAGCACAUCUCGCGCGACGGCUGAUCGGAAACCGAUCGACUCAGAUCCUUGGUGCUGUGAACUCUAGCUCAGGUGCGGCCACUUCCGUCGCUAGGGCUUUCUGCUCAUCCACCACUCCGAUCACCGCAACUAUGUUCCCUGGCGAUGGGAUCGGUCCCGAGAUCGCUGAAUCUGUCAAAAAGGUUCCUCAUCCUUAUUUUGAAAAUUGUAUUUACGAGAGAAUUGUUUGAAUGAAUUUUGAAUUGCGUACUAUAAUUUGCGAUUGGUGGGAAUUCGGCAAUUUCAUUGAUAGUUUUUUUUAAUGCUGUUUGUACUGAUCCAGGUGUUUACAACAGCUGGUGUGCCAAUUGAGUGGGAAGAACACUAUGUUGGGACUGAGAUAGAUCCUAGAACACAGAGUUUCUUAACCUGGGAAAGUCUCGAAUCUGUGCGUCGAAACAAAGUUGGUUUGAAAGGUCCAAUGGCUACUCCAAUUGGGAAAGGUCACCGUUCUUUGAACCUGACUCUUAGGAAAGAGCUUAAUCUAUAUGCCAAUGUUAGACCUUGUUACAGUCUUCCUGGUUACAAAACUCGGUACGAUGAUGUUGAUCUCAUUACCAUCAGAGAAAACACGGAAGGAGAAUACAGUGGCCUUGAACAUCAGGUUUAAUUCUUUUUUUUGUGUCUAUCGAUUGAACAUUUCAAAUUAGUUCUUCUAAGAAGUGUUGUGGAUCAUUGUUUUGUUUUCUCGUGACUCAUAAUAGGUUGUUAGAGGUGUGGUGGAAAGUCUUAAAAUCAUUACCCGUCAGGCGAGUUUGAGAGUUGCAGAGUAUGCUUUUCUCUAUGCCAAGACUCAUGGAAGAGAGAGAGUUUCUGCAAUCCACAAAGCCAACAUUAUGCAGAAAACUGACGGCCUUUUCCUCAAGGUCUGUCCUUAUAACUCCAUAAUGCAUUUAACAAUUCCUUAUAGGAGGAUCAAAGUAAUGAUUAUUAUGUCUGCUAGGUUUUUUACCGUUUGUUUUGAGACAAUGUUUACUCUGUUCUUGUUUUUCAGUGUUGUCGUGAGGUUGCUGAGAAAUAUCCUGAGAUAACUUACGAGGAGGUUGUUAUUGACAACUGUUGUAUGAUGGUAAGCUAUGAUGUCGAAACUACCAGUUUUUCAUUUAUUAAGUUGGUGAUAGAGAUUACCUUACAGAUUUUAGAAGUUCGGUUUCUUAGCAACUUGUAUUUGAGUUCCGUGUUACCACUGUUAUAACGUGGAAGAUGUGACUGAUAAUAUUGAGAUGCCUGCAGCUUGUGAAAAACCCAGCACUUUUUGACGUUUUGGUGAUGCCAAACCUCUACGGUGACAUCAUCAGCGACCUGUGUGCCGGAUUGGUUGGAGGACUAGGGUUGACUCCAAGGUGAAACACUGGCUCCUUCAUCUUUAAUAAUAGUGUUAUUUAGCGUGAUUAUGAGCUAAAUCAUCUUAAGGCCUUAUUAUCUAUGACGCAGUUGUAAUAUCGGAGAAGAUGGUGUUGCCCUUGCUGAGGCAGUUCACGGUUCUGCACCUGAUAUCGCUGGAAAGGUUAGUCCUUGAAGCAAUGUAUCAUUUAAAUGAACUCAAUUCAAACCCUUACUGUUAGACCAAGUAUAAAAAUAAAACGGCAACAGAUAGAAGAGUCCUCAUCUCCUGCUAUGCUCUUUGUUUCUUGGUAGCAUAGUCAGAUGCUUAGUCUCACUAUAUAUUAGACUGUGUCAUUUACGCGAUAACGAGGUUCAUUUAUACAUCCAAUGUUUAAGCUUUAACAAUCAAAUGCAGAAAGGUUAGAACUUGAUGAGUUGAUUCAAAUGCCUUGAUAUAUGAUUUUUGAAUUGGUUGUCACCCUUUUGUUUUUGGUUUGGUGAUGUCAGAACUUGGCGAACCCAACGGCUCUGCUUCUGAGUGGAGUGAUGAUGUUGCGUCAUCUGAAGCUGAACGAACAAGCAGAACAAAUCCACAGUGCAAUCAUCAACACCAUAGCAGAGGGAAAAUACAGAACCGCAGAUCUUGGAGGUAGUUCGACCACCACAGACUUCACAAAGGCAAUCUGUGAUCAUCUCUGAACAUCGUAAAGUCCAAUUCUUUAUCGAAUCUUCUUCUUUUGGAGGGCUUUUUACAGCCUCGAAUUCUUCUUCUUUGUUUCUUGUUUACGAUUAGAAUAAAAGAAAAGGAAAGAAAAAAGGAAACGACUCUUCAUGAGUUUGAUUACUUGUGAAGUUGUUUGUUUCUGCUUGAAAACGUCUUUUUAAUAGUUCUCUGUUCUCUGCCGUAAGGCAAGAUUCAUGACACACUGAAAUUGAAUGAUGUUUUUCUGAAUCUAUCAGAAGAGUUUUGUUAUUAUUAUUCCUUUGUGAAUGCUUUUACUAAUUAUUAUCUCAAUUGAUACACCGACAAAAGAAAAAGGAAAAAAGAGAGUUUAUUUAAUUAAUUUAGUUUAAAAGUUAUUUUAAGGGAAAAAACACCUUCAAAAGACCGAAUAUAUAUGUCGUUGGUGCACCAACUUCUUCUAUGAUUAUAAACUCAAGACGCUUCUUCACUGAGCAGCACUAAACUUGCUUCCAACCAAUCCCAGAUCUGAAUCGAGUAAACCUAAACCUCUCAAAAUCUCAUCAUCAUCAUGGCUUCUUCUUCUAACUACGAUGGAAUCCUUCUCGGUAUGGGCAACCCGCUCCUCGAUAUCUCUGCCGUCGUCGACGACGAUUUUCUCACCAAGUAAAAUAAAAACUAAACUCUCAGAUCCCUCUUUUCCCAAUAUGUUUCCACUUUUUUGUUGUUGUAUUCGCAAUCUGCUUUCGGGUCUUUUAGUAUGAAUCUAGGUUUUAUUGUUUGUUUCUUCUUCAGUAGCAUCUCUAUGAUUUGUUUGCCAUUUUUUAUAUUUAUUGAUGCUCUUCUUUUGUAAUCGUGUGAUGAUGACAGAUAUGACAUCAAGUUGAACAAUGCGAUUCUCGCUGAAGAAAAACAUUUACCCAUGUAAGUAUUCAUUUAUGCUCUGCUUUUGGUAUCUGUUGUGUGACUUCAGGUAUUGUAAAAUCACUAAUCAGGAAUAUGAAUUGAAGUAGAUAUUGAUUCAAUGCUUCACAAAGUUCUUUCUUUGUUUUAUCUUUGGUUAAUGCCUUGACUUUUUUAAUUGUUUUAUUUAAAGGUAUGAUGAGAUGAGUAGCAAGUUCAAUGUUGAAUACAUUGCUGGAGGUAAUUAAUCCUUUGUCCUGUUUAAUCGCUUAUAAAUUGACAAGAUUGUGAUAUUUCCAUGACUCAAUUCUUUCUCUAGGUGCUACUCAGAACUCAAUCAAAGUGGCUCAGGUAAAUUCUCUUGCCUUCUUCUUGCACCUUUUUUUGGGGUGAUAAGUAAGUAACCACUGCUAAAUUCAAGCUUGUUUUUUUUUUUCACUUGCUUGUGUCUUCAGUGGAUGCUUCAAAUUCCUGGGGCAACCAGUUACAUGGGAUCCAUCGGAAAGGACAAAUAUGGAGACGCAAUGAAGAAGGAUGCUACAGCAGCUGGUGUCAAUGUACGCUGAGAGUCCUGAAUCUUCUCUGUUUUUCACCUUUUCUUUUGUUUGAGUGUAUAUACAGCUGGUGCUUUGUCUGUCUGUUGAAACUGAAGUUGUAAUCUAGGUGCAUUAACAUGACAGUAUGCUUUUGUAUCAGGUUCACUAUUAUGAAGAUGAGUCAGCACCUACUGGAACUUGCGGUGUCUGUGUUGUUGGUGGAGAAAGGUCGCUUAUUGCCAAUCUUUCGGCUGCAAACUGCUACAAGGUUGAUCACCUUAAGAAGCCUGAAAACUGGGCAUUGGGUAAAAUUCUUUUCCAAUCUUUGCAUCUGUUUUAAUAGUUCUGUACUUUUUCUUCAUGAUCUUACAUCUGUGAUUGAAUAUGUUUUGGGUAGUUGAGAAGGCCAAGUUCUACUACAUUGCUGGAUUCUUCCUCACAGUAUCGCCUGAAUCCAUUCAGUUGGUAUCUGAGCAUGCUGCCGCAAACAACAAGGUAAUAAGACAUGGUCCACCAUUUCAUGAGACCCUGUUGCAGCAAGUGCCUUUUCUUUAACAUCCCCGACUUAUUCACUUGUAUUUCAGGUGUUCACAAUGAACCUUUCUGCUCCAUUCAUCUGUGAAUUCUUCAAAGAUGUGCAGGAGAAGUUCUUGCCGUAAGCCGUCCCUUUAUCUUUUUAAUCCAUUACAGAUUUUAUGAUUGCGUAAAUGUACUGAAAAGCACCCUACAUUGCUCGUACAGCUACAUGGACUUCGUUUUUGGGAAUGAAACAGAGGCAAGAACAUUCUCCAAAGUUCACGGCUGGGAGGUAAGAAAAUGUCUCUUGCACGACUAAAUUUCAGCAGUCUGUAUAGUUUUGUUUAACAGAGAUAGUACUUACCCAUUUUUAUCUUUUUUAUAUACAUAGACUGAAGAUGUCGAACAAAUAGCCAUCAAGAUUUCACAGCUUCCCAAGGCCACAGGAACAUACAAGAGGACCACUGUGAUUACACAGGGCGCUGAUCCAGUGGUUGUUGCUGAAGAUGGAAAGGUGAAGAAAUAUCCAGUCAUCCCUCUCCCAAAGGAGAAGCUGGUUGACACCAACGGUGCAGGUACUAAUUUUGAUAAUCGAAAAACAGGUUCCUACAUUCAACCUUGGUAGAAACUGACAUGAUCAUAGAACUAGCUGAUCCUUACGCAUGUCAAACGAACUUUCUCCUCUGUUUCAUAGACAGAACCAUGACCGAUGAAUGAACAGCUAUUUUUGUUGAUCUCUCUUACAGGUGAUGCAUUUGUGGGAGGAUUCAUGUCACAGUUGGUGAAAGAGAAAUCGAUUGAGGAAUGCGUGAAGGCUGGAUGCUACGCAUCCAACGUGGUGAUCCAAAGAUCUGGCUGCACUUACCCUGAGAAGCCCGACUUCAACUAAAAUGUUGGGUUAUCCUCUGUUUUGUGAUAUCUUCCAAACGAAACAACCUUUGAUUCAACAAACUCCCACGAUUAUUGCUCGAGUGUAGUUUUUUACCAUUUUAUUAUCAUAAGCAUUUGAUCAUUUGAUAUUACUACCAGAGUUUGAGACAAGUCAUGUUAUUUCAAUGAAGGAAGAUUAUACCUUCUGUCAACUAAUACCUAACAAUGGCUCAUUAAUUUCACAACAUCCUUCAUUAAUUCUACAAACACCUCAAAUGGAUCCUCUCACAUUAAUGUUAUCAAAAAACCCUAAACGUUAAAGUACGUAGAACCCUCUUAUUGAAUCAAAGACUCAUCAAGAAUAACGAGGAGAAGCGCAACGGAUAACCUCAAGAAAGAAAGUUUCGUCACAAGGAAUACAAAGCUUGGAAUCUCCGGAAGUGAAAUCGUCGUAAGCUUCGUCUUUUGAUUGAUCAAGCAAAGCCCUGAAGAUGGGAUCGUGAAGUAACGUGAUCUUUAUAACGAACCUCUUGUAACUGUCCUCUUCUUUACCUACGUACACCACCAGGUGUCCUUUUGGUACGUCAUGUGGUAUACGAUAUUGAUCCUUAGGCUUUCCCGACGUGGCUUCGCGGUGUUUGGCAACUCUGCUUGACAUUUGCUUCCAUGCCUUGGUGAUCAGCUUGCUUUUCUUCAUCAUGUUUAUGAGAGAGAUGAGAGAGAGAGAGAGAGAGACGUAUUUGGGGUUUAGUGUGAGAUAGAAUGUAGAGAAGUACUAGUGUCGUACGUGUGUAUAUAUACACAAAGUCACAAACAUAGGUCCACUAUAUAUCUAUCUAUUAAACGUAUUUACUAUAUGAAUAAGGUAUGGGUAAUGAAUUUUUUGGACCAUGUCGUCGUCUUUACAAUAAUAUAUACAUGAUGAUGAUCUACAUUAGUUAACAUGAAAGAACAAUAUACAUUCCACUCAAUACAUACAUAUAAUAAUACCAAGAAAAUAUAUAAAUUAAAGAUGUUGAAUGUCAUUAUCAAUUUGGUUUUGACAAUAACAUAUGACAAUUACUUAGAAACGAAAAGAAGAUAUACUCAUCAAUUAAUAUAUAUUUUUUAUUUUUGUUUGGGGGAUAUCAACUACGGCCAAGCUGUACUUACGAUAUACGAAAUCGUACGAACAUGCAUCUUCACAAUCUCCUCCAAUGGGCGCUUUCGCUUUAAUCAUUGAUUCAUUUUAUUUUGAUUUCUUUAAAAGUUUUUAUGAAAACAAAAGGCUCUUUAUCGGCAUGGCAUGCACAUUGGCACUCAACUAUAUAUAGGCAUUUAGAGAUAACUAGUGGUCGGUUAGUGGUAGCAUCAUUUUAGGUUAUUGUUCGUUUUGUGAAAUCUUGUAUAUAUAUAGAAUGAGAAAUAUCAUGAUCUAAUAUAUAUCUAAAAUAUAUAGUUGCCAACGAAUAAAUAUAUAAAUGAUACCAUACUAUUCGUUUUCAAUCGAUUCUAUACGUUUAAAAGUCCAUACGUAUGUUAGUAGUUCAUUAACUCGGUGAUAUUUGACUAAAGCAGAAAUUUCUUGAGUAAGUAAGUAAAGAUUUACAUUUUGAUUCAAGUUGUGAAAAUAGUAGAUCCCACGGUUUGAUUUAAUAUUGUUGGUGAAAAGAUAAGAUUUUAAAAGAGAUGAGAGAAAUGAGAUAAGGUUCUUGGACAAAGUGCAAUUCCACUUACGUACCAUACAUCGCGAUAUGUAUUCAUAUGCAUGUAAGUAACUCACGUAUUAUUAUUUUUUAUGCUGAAUUUGCUAUAAAUUAUCUAAUCCGAACGUAAAUGAUCUGUUAAUUGCUAUGUUGGAUAUAUUAGUAGUGAUCUGUCACUGAUGCUUUUUCUUAAUUAUUUUGUAGUAUUGUAUUCAUCAUGCCAACAUACGUAAGCAUGUUCUAAUUGUGCUAAAAUGCUGUCAACCAUUAUAUAUUCUUUAUAUUCAUUAGGGGAUUCAAUAUUUUGUCUUAUUGGUGGUCGACUAUAGGGUUACUUUUUAAGAAAUUUUAUAAACGAAUAUAUAUAGUGGAUAUCUUAGAGCAACAUUAUAGGAAGGAUGUUAGUUAGGGUAUGUUAGUAUUAAUUUAGUAUUAAAUUUGAAAAAGUUGAUUUAAAAGUUUUUAUUUUGUUUUUAGUUUUGAGAUGUGUUUAUUGGUAGGAUCUUAAGUUGGGUAUCUUAAAUUUUUUUUUAAAAUUAAAUAAAUUUAUAAUUUGUAAUAUAAGAAAAUUGACUUGUGUUUUUCAUGUAUGGCUAAUUUUAUUAGGUUUUUCUUAACAUCGAUUCAUCAAAUUCAUAGUUAAAUUUGAAAAUUGUUAUGUCAUAAUAUAAUUAUCAACGUACCCAAUUCAUAGAAAUUAUAGUAAUGUCAUAAUAAAUGGUUUACAAAAAAAAUAAAAAAAAAUUUUAAAAAAAAAUUAUAAUGUCAUAACCCACCAAAAGAAUCAUUCUCCAAAAAAAACUAAAAAAUUUAAAAAUUAAAAAAAAAAAGCUUACCCAAUCCGAUUGCGCCACAUGGCGUCUCUUAACCCACAAAAAGAAUCGUUCUCCAACAUACCCAACUCAAGUAUCUUAGUAAAAUUAAUCAAUUUUGAUUUAUUUUUAUAACAUCAAUACCCUAACAUACUCUCUAAAAGCCAUUGUUAAUAUUGGUCUUACACUUGCGCAUAAACAUGAAAUGUUUUACAUAUACAUUUAACACUGUAUACAUGUACGUAUAGUAUGGAUAUAUAUAUAUAUAUAUAUAUAUAUAUAUUAGCUGUAUAUAGUAUAUCUUAUAACCCAAAACUGUAAUUAUUCUUUCUUCAACCAGAAUUCCGAUUGCCUGAUCAAGAAAGCAAUUGUUUAAUCUUUAAUCUUUAAUCUUUUUAAUUAAAAAUAUUCAGUGGCACUUAAUUAAGAUUUAAAAUUCAUACUGUACAGGAACAAAAAAAAAUGUAGGAAAUUCCACCGGACUUGUUACUAGAAAAUGCUACUAGAAAUAUUUUUUACUAUUAAGUGAAGAAUUAAGUUUUCCUUAUUUUUAUUUUUUUAAAAUCUAAUUUUUGUUUGUGUUGGAGAUUCCGAGGCGACCGGUUCAUCCCCCCCAGAGAGACAGGCAGGUGCUUCAUCCCAUUGCUUCAGUGUCUCUCUUUAAGGAAACGAUAGACAUUAUUUAGCCUUUGGAUCAGAAAAAUAUCGAUUCAUUCCUAGCCGUUUGAUAUAACACGUCUUGCUAUUCUGGUAUAUUUUUUUCCAAAACACCAAUUUUCAAAGUGUAAAUGUUUCUUAAAAUGAAUCGAAUAAAUAAAUAGAAAAGCAAAGUAUGGGUACUUUGCCUAGUUGAAAUGUGAAAAUAGAUUGUAAUACUUUGGUAUGAGAUGCUUUCUUGUCAAAAUUGACAUCCAACAAUUGAUCGUCUGUAUUGUGUAUAUAUGUAGAUCAAGUCACUCGAAAUUUCUAAACGGUCACAUUUUUUGGAGCACAUAGCAUUGAUGGACACCAUUAACCAUUCCCUUCUACUCGUCUUCUAUGUCCUGCCGUUCGAACCAAACACAUAAAAAAGCAAAGUUUCAGUAUCCAAGGAGCAUCUUGUCUUAUAGUCGAUAUUUGGGUGUAACAAUAGAGAAACUGUAGCAAACAUAAAUUCGUCUACAGAUGAAGAAGCAAAUUGUGGGGGUUGUCGAACUAAUACAAUUGGUACGCGGGUCUUCCAUAUAAGGUGUGAUACAAGAAUGAUGAACAUUUACUCACCUUUUCAUGUAGAGAAUCCAAAGACUACACGGCGUCGUUAAGACAUUUCAAAGGGAGACUACUCACGUGAUGUUUGUGAAGAAGCAAUAACACUAAGAGGGGAUUCAAGAACCGGAUUCUAAAGAUGCAACGAAUGCCAAGUCUCACUCCAUAAAGAAUGUUGCAUUGGGAAAGAUUUAUACAUGAAUCCUGGUUCAAGAUUCAGGGUAAGAAGACAGGAAUUCGAUAUUGUUCAAAACAAUGCUUUCAGUAUUCGACCUGUCAAAGACGUUGUAAAUAUAAAAUGAUGUUUAGAGCAUCUUCUGGAGAUGUAUAUUGCUCGAUAAAACACAUUUGAUUUUAGCAAAAAUAUAUGGCUCAAUGAAUCAUGCGAAGUGCACGUGAGAAAAUCAAAUAAAUAAGAAAGUCUCAUACUUUCAUUCUAUUUUGUAAUAAAAAAGAAAAUUGUUCGGCUUUGAAACUAUACAUAUCAAGAUUAAAUCUAUAAAUAAAGAGAUUAUUCAUACAAAUACGGUUUUAGUGGUCGAUACUUUCUUCAAUUAGCACUUGUCUUUUUUUAUGCUUUCAAUUAUUAUUCAUUGACCAAAUUGUCGACUAAAAGAAUAUCAUAAAAAAAGAAAAGUCGUCUAUCUCUCUCAACAACCUUUGACUUCCUUUAUUUGAUCCUCCUCCUCUUUGAUGGAUGGAUUAGUCUUUGUUCGUCAGCUUUUCUUCCUUCUCCCAUCUCUUUUAUUUUUUUUUGGGUUCCAAGUUCAUUUCAUUAGGACCACUAAACAGCUCCUAUCUUCCUCUUUUCAAGUCAACUAUACUUCGCUUGGUCAUUCUCUUAAAAAUCUCUGUGUGUUCAUCUUCUCACAAAGUUUUGAUUUUUUUUGUUGUCUGUAAACAACAAAGAUCUCAAAGGUCAGUUCGUAAUUUUUUCUGCCAAGUUACUUUACCUUUUCUAUCACAAAUUUCAUACUUCCUUCUGAUUCUUGUUUAGGGAUGAAAGAAAGGUUUUUACUUUUUAAUCUUUAGUAUACAAUUUUUGCAGGUUAGGCAAAGAAUGUUUUUUUUUUUUGGCCUAACUUGCAAAAUCUAGGGUUCGUUACAGAUUUUGGGGCUUUGUUAAAUCUCUAACUUUAUUUCACAAUUCAUCAGGUUCCUUGCUCUUGGUGAUAUAGAACUUGAUCCUUUCUUUUUGGUUCAAAAAUAGUGCAUUUAAUUGAACUUCUUCAGUUUGGUUUCUUCUAGUGUAGUCAAAGUGGUUUGGAGUUUCAAUCAUUGUUUUGGUUUGAAUGCUACAAUGAACUAAAACUUGCUCACUCUGAUUCGUUUGUGUAUCAGUGGAGGAACCUCGGUGUUUUAAUAUCUUUUCGAAGAUGAAAUGCUUCUUAUUCCCUCUUGGGGACAGGAAAGAUGACCAGAGAAGCCCUAAACCGGUUUCACCAACCUCUAACUUCAGUGAUGUAAACAAAAGCGGUUCAGAUUUCAGUCCCCGGGAUGUUUCUGGAACGAGCACUGUAUCUUCCACUGGGAGGAACUCGAACAUAAGCAUCUCAGCUAGAGAAAACAACCUUAGAGAGUUCACCAUUGGUGAUCUUAAAUCUGCCACAAGGAACUUCAGCAGGUCUGGUAUGAUCGGGGAAGGCGGUUUUGGUUGUGUCUACUGGGGAACGAUCAAGAGCUUAGAAGACCCGUCUAAGAAAAUCGAAGUUGCGGUUAAACAGCUCGGCAAAAGAGGGUUGCAGGUAAGGUUUUGUACAUCCUUGUUCACAGUAUUCUUCAUCUUCAUCAAUGGAUAUCAUAUAACAUUUAGAUAUCAUGCUUUGGUUUUUGCAGGGUCAUAAAGAAUGGGUGACUGAAGUAAACUUUCUCGGUGUAGUCGAGCAUCCAAACUUGGUGAAACUGCUGGGCCAUUGUGCAGAAGACGAUGAGCGUGGAAUCCAAAGGCUUUUGGUUUAUGAAUAUAUGCCGAACCAAAGCGUUGAGUUCCAUCUAUCCCCGCGGUCACCAACUGUACUUACUUGGGACCUCAGAUUGAGAAUAGCCCAAGACGCAGCUCGAGGUUUAACAUACCUUCAUGAAGAGAUGGAUUUUCAGGUAAAUGAACAUCAAAUCCUCUGUUUUUUUUUUCACUUCAUCAGUCUCUCUCAUCAGUUAACUAAAAAUAUGUUUCUUUUUGUAGAUAAUAUUCCGCGAUUUCAAGUCAUCCAACAUUCUAUUAGACGAGAAUUGGAAAGCCAAGCUUUCAGAUUUCGGUCUGGCUCGCUUAGGGCCUGCACCAGGAUCAAGUCAUGUUUCUACUGAUGUAAGUUUUUUCACAUUUUCACUUGAUUGGUGAUAGAAAUCAUUGCAAGAUCAAGAAAGUUGUAUUUUUUUUUUCGGGUUUAACAGGUGGUAGGAACAAUGGGUUACGCAGCUCCAGAGUAUAUCCAAACCGGUCGUCUCACAUCAAAAAGUGAUGUAUGGGGUUACGGAGUUUUCAUCUAUGAGCUCAUUACAGGAAGGAGGCCGCUAGACCGGAACAAGCCUAAAGGAGAGCAGAAGCUUCUAGAAUGGGUGAGACCUUACUUAUCAGACACAAGGAGGUUCCGGCUCAUAGUAGACCCGAGGCUCGAGGGGAAGUACAUGAUCAAACCAGUGCAGAGACUCGCGGUUGUAGCCAAUCUUUGCCUUGCUAGGAAUCCAAAGGCGCGUCCAAAGAUGAGUGAGGUGUUAGACAUGGUGACAAAGAUUGUGGAAUCAUCAUCGCCUGGGAAUGGUGGCAAGAAGCCGCAGCUGGUUCCGCUAAAGAGUCAAGAAGCUUCUAGAGACGAGGAAGAGAAGAACAAGAAGGAUCUUGAUGGUGGCGAAGGAGGUUGGCUGGAAAAGUUGUGGAACCCAAAGAAUGUGAGAGCUUGUUGAUACGGGCUAAGUCAGAAACACAUUAGUGAAGUUCAAAAAAGCCUUUGUUUAAAUACUGUAAUUUUAACAAACUUGUGAGUUUUCUUACAUUCAAUUUUUUCCUUUUUUUGUACUAAUUCUGUUAAUUUUAUUGUUUGUUGGGAUUCUCAUAUUAAGCUUCUUAUUAAACGAUGUAUCUGAAAUAUGUAUGAUCCAAGUGCUUUCGAAGUCUUUUUGCAGUACUUCACUCACCUCGUAGCAGCUAACAUCAACAAGCUAAUAGGCUAUUUGGGCCUUUGGUCACAAUCUUAUGAUAAGCCCAUUAUAAAGCUCAUACGGUCUGUUAAAAUCGGUUUAAACUAGGUAACCUCUUCGCCCACCUUCUGGGCCUUUGAGCACAAUCUUAAUAAGCAUAUGAUAAGCCCAUUUUUUAUUCACAUUCACAAAAAUUGAAUGCACUAUGCAUCUGCAUCAUCCAUGGAUCAAGAGAGGGUCGAGUCGUCGUCACUAAUUCAUAUGCAUUGAUGCCUAGUUAUCUAUUAUCAUCAUAGUCACAUACUAGUUUUAAGAAAUUUCGUUUCAGAUUUUUUGUUUAAAUUUAAGUUUAGUUUUUAAGAACUCGAAAUUUAAAUGAAAAUUAUCCAGGAAGAGGAAAAGAAAAAAAAAAAAAACACAUUAAGUGGAAUAAUGUUGAUAAGAUUGCAUUCAACUCAUGUGUACUAACAAUGGCAAACAAUCUGACUUUUGAAGCAUUGAUUUUGGCUGAAAACAGGGGAAGCCAUUAAACUUAUAGCCUCUAGGUUCAAUUAUCAUAUAUGACAUCUCAAGAUUUAUUAAAAAAAAAUUUUUUGUAUAAAAGUGACGUGAAAAGCAAAUACAGUAGGCAAAUAAAAUUUCGAGUAGCUCAUUAGUGUUAAAUAAAACUCAAUUGAGAGUGAUUCACAUAGUAAGUUGAGAAAAUCUAGUUAUAUAAUAUCAACAUAACAUAUUGUAAGCAUUUUAUGCAAACAUUAUAGUAUACAUUAUUAUUUACAUAAUCGAACUUUGGAGAACCCUUGCUGCAUUCGAAAGCAUGUGUCAAGUUUGUUAUAUCUCUUGGAUAAUACGAAUCACUAAGUAUAUUACUUCUUAUACAGUCACGCUAAUCACGUAUUACUUUUUUUUGUCAAGUAGCUAGUAUUGUCACUAGAUUUAUUUAUCUAUUUACAUGGUAUGAUUGGUCUGAACAUAGAAUUUAUACUAAACCACAAUGCAAUGCAUGCAUGUUGUUUUGGUAGUUAUGCUCUCUAUGAAGUAUGAACUACCAUAAUAGUAACAUUUAUUCAUAUUUUAACUCUAUAUAAUAAUGCAUUGACCCUUUUGAAAUGGACUAUUUUGGUUAUUGUAUUACAACUAAUUGACAUGUAACAUAUAAUAUGCACAUAGGAUAAUCGUUUUUUAUAUAUAUAACAGUGUUGCUUAAAAGACUACAUCAGCAUAAUCCUCACAACUACUUAUGACGUUCAUUAAAAACCACACGAUAAUUACGUAUAAGUUUAAAUAAAUUUUGCUACCUAACAAAAUUAUUCGUUACAAAUGAAAUUACACACAAAUAAUGGCUUUUGGGUUUCUCAAAUCAUUCAUGACCCAUGCCAUAAAUUGUUUUAUAAAUUAUAUACCGUAAUAUUAUAACAUUAGGCUGAUUCAACAUAAAAUUGACUAGUUUCCUCUUUUUUAUACUAGUAUUUUUUUGCGAAGCAAUUUGACAUAUUAUAUUACGACUAGCUAGUCCAUUUACAUUAUUUUAAAGUAUUUAAUCUCAUUAGUGUAGAUCUCAUUGCUGCAUGAAUAUGUCAAUCUAGGUUCCUUUUUAAAUAAUUUGAAGCAUUCGUAAAGCAUUCCAUAUGAUAUGAUUCAUUCACCGCGAGAACAUAGAACCUUGUUCAUUUAUUAUAACCUAGAGAAUGCUUUAAUAAAAUCAAAUUUGUUUUUAUGUGUUCCCUAAGAAUAUUAAAAUGUAUUGCGUGGGUUUUAAAAAUUAAUAAAAAUUAAACAAAGGGGGCUGCCUGAAAUAAUUGAAUUCGAUGGUUUUGGAAUUCAAUAAAAUUGAGUUGGUGCCACGUGUAAUUCUUACACUGACAAUUAUAAAUAAAGUUAUUUAUUCCCGCCGGAUAUGAUUGGGAAUGUAAUUAAUCAAAAAACUAUGCAGCCAUGUGUUUUAUUAUUGGACCCUCUUUUCAGAAAAUUUUCAAUAUUUUUAGCCUAACACUUUGGUUUAAAUUUGUAUUUUCACUUUUAAAACUAUUACAUUUGCAUGCUAAUCCUUCCUUAAAUGCUCAUUAACUACAAAACUGAUUUUUUGGGGAUUUGUUAAAGUGUCCAAAAUAUUUACGAUGAAAAGAAAUUCAUGAUUCAUUUAUGAUUUUAUAUCAAGGAAAAAAUAAAUGGAAAUAAGAUUUUUGCAUGUAAAAAGAAAAUAAAAUAAAAGGAAAUUAAGAUUUCUUACAGGAUGACCCGGUAAAUUUGAAAAAAAAGUCAGAAUAUUCAAUCUAAUCACACAAACAAAAAUCAAACUUUACUUUGAUGAAAAUAAUGAUAAAGCUUUUCGUUUUUUCCCCUUAAUUCAUUUCAUGCCAUUAGAUUUUACUUCUUUUGUUUUCCAUCUAUAAACAACUUGUUAGCUCAAGUCUAAAAAAAUAAAUUAAUAAACAUAAUCUAAUAUAGAUUCCAUUUCAAUUCCAUCUAUGAUAAGAAAAAUAAUUUAGUAUCAAAACUAGAUUCUACGCCCCCCUAAUUGAUAAAAUUAUAGAUUUUGCUAAUCAAGUUUAUUUAUUCUCAAGUAGACCUCUUUGGAAAAUGCUCUCACAACAUUAAAGAAUAAUAAAUAAAACAAUAAAUUAUAAGUGACGAAAUCUUGACCGUUCAUAUUAAUGAUCCGACGGCUACAAAAUCUUAUGACAAAAGAGCAAAAGCCCCCAGAAUUUCAUAUAAAUAUUGAGUGGCAUUUUGCGCGUUUUCUCAUUUUAUUUUUUAUCUUUUUUAUUAUUUUUGUUUUUCUGGGUUUCUCAGAAUCGAAAAAGGCGACAACUUUAUUUUUAUUCGAAUCAUUCUCGAUCCUUUUUUUUUUUUUCCAUUUCUUCAUCUUCUUCAUUCAUCCGCCAAAAAAAUUGAGUCUUUUCAGAAGAAAAAAGUUGCGAAAAAGUAACACAAAAUCCCAUUUUGAAAUUAUGUUUACUAUUUCCAACCUAAAUUCUCAAUCUUUCUUCCUGAAUUUCUAGUAAAAUUUGUCUAUUUUUAGUAAAAAAAAAUCAAUUCCGUCUUCAAGUUGCAGGGAUUAAGCAAGUGAAAGGUGAGUUUUUUUCUCCUUUUUGAUCUUACUUCUUCUUACAAACUAUAUUAUUUUCUCAGAUCUAGGUCGGUUUUUAUAAAUCUUUUUUUUUUAUAUAUGUAUCCUCGAUUCAUAGCGAAAAAAAUCGAGUCUUUGAGUUCAUUACUAAAUCUCCAAGUUGGUCUCUUUGUUCGACUCUUCAAAAGCUUUGAUUGCGACAAUGACAACAGUGUCUAAUUUAGGAAAAAACGAACAUUGAUUGGAGAAUUUUGGAGUAACAACAUUGUAUUAGUUCUUUAGAAGUCACAUUCCCCUCUUUGUUGAAAAGUCUCUGUUGUUUAAUUUUCCCGUCAAUGCCCAGAGAGGUCUCCCAAGAUUUACGCAACUCAACUCUUUGUGUAUAUUUAUUGAAUUUUUUUGAGUGUAAACUAAGUCUUUUCGUUUUGUUUUCUUCUUUGAAGAAAUGGGUUAUUUGAUUUUGAUUUGUUAUGGAUAAGAUUUUUUGAUUUCCUGAUAACAUUUUUCUUGGCAGGUUUUUUUUUUUUUUUUUUUUUUGGUUGAAGAUGGUGUCACAUGAAGAAAACACAGGUAUUGUGGAAUGGUUUCUUGGUCCGCAUCCAUACGCGUAUCCUCCUUAUGGUAUUGAGAUGAUUCAUGAGGAUGAUGAAGUAGCUCAUCAUCACCAGAGCGGUGAGUAUUACAGAGAGUAUGAAGAUCAUCAUCCUAGUAGCGAUGUAGAUAAUGAUGAGAUCAUUGCAAGAACACUCCAAGACGAUUUUUUGCAGCUUGAAAUCGCAGAAAGUAAUGAUUAUCCGCAUCAACAACAACAACACCAUCAACAAGAAGGUUAUACUAACAACUAUAGUAAUAACAACAAUGGAUAUGCUUGGAAUGAUCGGCCUGCUGUGAAUUAUUCUUCAGGUUAUUAUUGAACAAGCUCUUCCAGUGGUUUAUGCUUUUUAUGUUGUUAUGGUUUUGGGGAUUAAAUAACAGAGAUGUGAUUUUGGGUGUUGUAGAAUGGGUAGGAAAUGAUAACGAUCAAGAUGGGAGGAGUGAUGAUUCGGUUAACGUCUUUUCAUGUUCAAGCCCGAGUGACACGGAUGAGUAUGUGUACUCGUGGGAAUCAGAUCAAUGUGAUGCUGAUGGUGAAUUUGGAAGGAGAUUGAAUCAAAUGGUUCCCAUUCCGGUUAGUAUUCUAGAGAUUCUAUUAUGUUUAAAUUGAUGUUAAGAUGUUCUUUUCAUUUGACAAUCGAUUGUGAUCUAUAUGCAGUAUAUACCAAAAAUAAAUGGAGAAAUACCUCCAGAAGAAGAAGCAGUUUCAGAUCAUGAAAGACUUCGGAAUAGGUAUGUUUGUUUUCUCAUUUUUGUUUGCUAUCAUAUCGAAGCCAUUCUUGAUUCCAUUAUUUUAUCAUUGUUUCAGGUUAGAGAUGUUUGACUUCACGGAGGUUAAGGUUCCAGGGGAUGGUAAUUGCCAGGUAAACUUCUUCAUUAAGUGAAUUGUUGUGGAAGAAUUAGAUUCUUACUCAUCAUUUUUAAUCUUGAAUACUCCCUCCCAACUUUUUCUUUUCAGUUCCGUGCUUUAGCUGAUCAACUGUACAAAACCGCAGAUCGCCAUAAACAUGUUAGACGACAAAUAGUAAAACAGGUUUGAUGUUCUUAUUGCUCUUCAGAAUCUUUACAAGCUUCCACAAAGUCGCAUGAACUCAUUUUUUUGCAAUUUUCAUCUCCUGGUUUAGCUCAAAUCUCGUCCAGAUUCUUAUCAAGGAUAUGUUCCUAUGGACUUCUCUGAGUAUCUAAGAAAGAUGUCACGGUAAAAUCUCUUCUCCUAGUGGACUCCAUAACCGCUUCUGUUUCCCCUUCUCUUAUUUAAGCCUAGUGUUAAAUUUUGAAACAGGAGCGGUGAGUGGGGCGAUCAUGUGACAUUACAGGCAGCUGCAGAUGCGGUAUAACUUCUUAAAGUUGAAAAAUAUGAGCUUAUCUUCAUUUGCUUUUCUCAGUUUAUAGUUAAUCAGUUUGGUGAAACAUUUUAACAUUGCAGUAUCGGGUGAAAAUAGUAGUCCUAACAUCGUUCAAGGAUACAUGUUACAUCGAAAUUCUUCCUACCUCCCAAGAGUCCAAAGGAGGUAAAGAGUUUAUUUCACUGUAAAUUUGCUUGUCUACUAUAUUCCUAUCUUGUGAUUGUUAUUACAAAUACCUUUUAUUUUUGCUCUUGUUGUCUGCAGUAAUCUUCUUGAGCUUCUGGGCAGAGGUUCAUUACAAUGCCAUCUACUUAAACAGAGGUAACUUGUAGAAAUCUUAUAUUUUACAGACUAUGUUUUGCUUCUUUCCUCUUCAUCUUAGUUCUCUUCUUCUUCUUCAUAUUGUUGGUGUUCAGAUACAUCUGAAACAGAGCUACAGAGGAAGAAAAAAUGGUGGCGUUUCGGAAACUAGACAGGCCAAGGAUCAUCAUCACUGGGUUACAUUAAUAUUUAUUGACUUGAGAGAGGGAUGUUCUUUGAAAUAGUCCCUUCGUAGAGAGAGGAUGAACAGAGCUCACAGCUUCAAAAAGGCUUACAAUAAUAUUAUUUUCUUCUUUGAAAGAAAGAAAAUUUUCUGCCAAAAAACAGAAUUAACAAAUGAAAUAAAAAAUACACAACAUUUUGAUCAUUUCCUUGUUCAUCUAGUCCAAAUCCGAACGAACAGUUCCAACGAAUUAACUUUUUGUCGUAUAUUAUUACUUCUAAGAAUAUUAACCUUAGGAAACUGAUCAAAAGGAUUGUGAAUGAAAUAAACAUCGAAACAAUUUCCUAAGUGAGUCUUUUGAGUGAUGGAUAACAUGACAAACCCGGAGGAGUUAACUGUGUCGCUCUAGACAUCAUCUAAAAGAUCAAUUUAAGUUAAAAAGAAAAUAAAAAACCAUUACUGUGCGAGAUCAUAAUCUAACUGUAGAGAUCGUCGUCCUCAGCUGCAGCUGAUGAAGUGGCAAAGGGAUCAGCGGCUGCACCACCAGUAGUGCGUCCGGCAGCAGCGGUUGGGUCAAACCUGAACUCAGAUCCAAACCCUCUCGAUUGCUGCAGCGUCUGAGCAAAAGCUUGGUACUUGCGAAUAUCAGCAUCACUUACACUUCUCCUUGCAUAUUUCAUUGACUCUUCGAAAUGGGCAGCUCUAAUCUCUGCAACUUCAUCAUCAACCAUAUCUUCCUCCAUAGCCUCUGGAUUCUCGCUCCUUCUACGCUCUCUCUCGAUAUCCUGAGGAACAAAAAAAACACAAAAUAUUGUCAAGAUUAAAACGAAUUGGCAUUUAAGGUUACUCAAUCAUGUUUCAGGAGGUAAACAAAUCUCUGACCUUCUCAAUGUUUUCUCUGAUGGCGUACUUGCAAGCUCUCUGGCAGAUUUCAGUGAUAUCAGCACCACUGAAUCCCUGGGUGUACUUAGCAAGUGCAGUCACAUCGACAUCUUUAGCAACAGGAGAUUUUCGCAAGCAGGCCUUGAAGAUAUUGAGACGGGAAUCUUCAUCAGGUAGAGGAAUGUAGAUAAGCUGGUCGAGUCUUCCAGGUCGAAGAAGAGCUGGAUCGAUGAUAUCAGGUCUGUUAGUUGCUCCAAUAAUGAAUACUGUCUUCUUUGCGUUCAUUCCAUCCAUUUCUGUUAAAAGCUGAUUCAAUACUCUAUCAGCUGCACCGCCUGCAUCACCCACGCUGCUUCCUCUCUGAGUAGCAAUGGAGUCGAGCUCGUCAAAAAACAGAACACAAGGAGCAGAUUGACGAGCCUUGUCAAAGAUUUCACGGACGUUGGCUUCACUUUCUCCAAACCACAUUGUGAGAAGCUCAGGUCCUUUGACACUGAUGAAGUUUGCUUGGCACUCGUUUGCUAUGGCUUUGGCUAAAAGAGUUUUCCCACAUCCAGGAGGACCGUAGAAAAGAACUCCCUUUGAUGGAGACAUUCCAAACUUUUCGAAUUUCUCUGGAUGCUCCACAGGGUAUUGAACAGUCUACAUUAACACAAAAACAAAAAAUUGAUCAGAUCAGUUCUAAUAAAUGAAACAAUUUUGAUCAAAUCUAAGGAUGUAAAAACAAUUUUUACCUCUUGAAGCUCUCUCUUAACAUUCUCAAGACCUCCAAUAUCCUCCCAGGAGACAUUUGGAACCUCCACAACCUGUGAAAAUAAAAUGAAAUGAAAUUAUCAAUAUCAAACAGGGUAAGAAACAGGUUAGUAUACAAUUACAAGUAAGGAUCAAACUUACAGUUUCACGAAGUGCGGAUGGGUUGCUGUUUCCAAGAGCUGUAUGAAAGUGUUCAUUAGACACCGCCAUGGAAUUGAGGAUUUCGGCGUCAAUAGAGUCAUCUUCCAAGUCAAUCACAUCCAUCUUCUCUCUGAUACAUUGAAGGGCAGCUUCAGUGCAUAGAGCUGCAAGAUCAGCUCCAACAUAUCCAUGCGUGUCCUUGGAGAUUCUUUCUAGAUCCACCUGUUUAAAGGAAAAUAUAAAAGGUUAAUAUACAUUGCAACCAGAAAACAUCAAAAAAGCUUCCAAAUAUGCUUAGAUGAUAGAAAAUUUACAUCUUCAGCUAGCUUCAUGUUCUUCGUGUGGAUCCUAAGAACUUCAAGACGUCCAAUUUCAUCAGGAACACCGAUGUCAAUUUCCCUGUCGAAUCUUCCAAACCUUCUCAAAGCUGGAUCAAUACUGUUGGGGCGAUUUGUUGCUCCCAUAACAAUAACAUGGGCACGAGAUUUCAGUCCAUCCAUAAGCGUAAGGAGCUGAGAAACAAUCCUCCUCUCAACCUCUCCAUUUGUCUUAUCUCUUUUUGGGGCGAUAGAGUCAAUCUCAUCAAUGAAAAUGAUAGAAGGGGCGUUCUUCUCAGCCUCCUCAAAUGCUUUCCUGAGGUUGCUCUCACUCUCACCAGCCAGUUUCGACAUGAUUUCUGGUCCAUUGAUACAAAAGAAAAAUGCUCCGGUUUCAUUAGCCACAGCACGAGCGAUAAGUGUCUUCCCAGAUCCAGGAGGUCCGUAAAGCAGAAUUCCUUUUGGUGGCUUCACACCAAUUGAUUUAAAGAGUUGUGGAUGCCUCAAGGGAAGUUCAACCAAUUCCCUAAUCUGAGCCAUCUGUUUCCUGACACCACCAACAUCGUCAUAACCAACCUCAUCAAGCCUUUCUUCGUCCUCCCUCUUAACUGGUUCGCCCUCACAGAAAAUCUCUGUAUCUGGAGCCACCACGCAGUACUCAGCAGGAUCAGUCUCGAUUACUUUGAACUCCACACUCCUCAUUCCUCCUCUCACUAGGAAAAGAUCUCCCUUCCUUACUGGGCGGUAAGCCUCAAGGAAGUAAGCUGUUGAAAAAAAUCAAUAUAAGUUCAGAAACCAAUAAAAAAUAAUAAAAAAAUAUGUUACAGCAAACAAAGACAAGCUAGACUAUGAUACGAAAUAGAAUACAAAAACUCAAACAAACUUACGUUUCAGAUAAGCAUCAAAGAGGUUUCCAGUAACCCCUUCCACUGUAUCGUCAACUGGCAAGAUGUGCACACGCUUUCCAUACUUGACAUCUGGGCAUUGGUGAACAGAAAUAACAUCUCCCAGCCUAACCCUCAAGUUAGACCUUACAACCUUAUUCAUUCUGAUCUUGGGUUCCUCACAUGAUUCAUCAGCAAGGGCAAUGCACACAGUGUCCUUCCUUUUCUUACCCUGCAAAGCCAAAACCCAAUCAUGUUAGAAACAUAGAGAAAAAAACCAAUUCUCAAACUAGAAAAGUGAAAAGUUGUAACCCUAAUAUGCACUUAUUUACAAGAUCAUACAAAGUAAGAAAAUCUUAGUGAUAUACAGCAAAGACCCUGACGACCUAGCACAAUUGCGGACACAAAAGACAGUCUACUUUCAAAAUAUUAGCCAAGCAAGAAAAAACCCUAAUUUGGCAAACCAACAUUCUAUACUCAACUCUCAAGAGGGUCAUAGCAGCGACAAAAUCCAAGCAUAGCACAACUUAGUACUCAAUAAUAUAACACUCUAGACAUAAGGAGUAAAAACCUAACCUUGAUGAGAAUUGUAUCGCCUCGGAAAAGCUGGAGCUUUUCCAUGGUAGCAGGAUGGAGAGAGACAACAGAGUUGUCAUCGUUAAUAGCUUCAUCGACAACGAGUCGAUUAGGAGACUUCUUCCUCUCAAGAAUCGCAGUACUGAAAUCCUUCUUAGGUUUCCUGAAACAAAAAACAACACAGGAAGUUGGUAAAUCAGCUGAAAAGAUGAGAUCAAACUAAAAAACCCUAAUCACACAUCGAAAAAAGAACACCAAGCAAAAAAAAAUCGAAACUUAAUGAUCGGAAAACGAGAAUCGAAGAUCUGGGUGUACUUACGAGUCGGAGGAUUCAGGUUGGUUUGACAUAGUAAUAGCCGAAAUCGCCCAAAGAGAGUGUUUUCUCUGAAGAAAGUUGCGAAAUUUAUUUCUAAAGAGAAGGUUUUGAGAUGAUGAUGAUGAUGACGAUGAAUGGUUUAUGGGAUCUCAAGGCAGCUGGUUUUGGGAUUUAUAGCUCUGUGAUUUCCUUCUUGUUGGAAAAAGAAGCGGAAUUUAAUUAUUUCCUUUUUCCUUUUUUUAUUUAUUCAUCUUUAAACGACCCCUAACUUUUAAAUCAUUCCCAAAAAGUUCCCAUAUUUAUUUAUUAUCAUUAAACACCUAUUAUUUUCCUUCAAUUUUUUAUCAUUCAUUUUAUAUUAUUAUAUGAUUUAUCAAGCAUUCAAACAACAAUAUUAACUAAAUUUAGGAAGAAAAAAAAUGUAUUUCAUUGUGAGUAAUUUUAACCUUAAUUUAAUAAUUUCAUAUUCUGAGGAGGAUACCUAAAUGUGAAUUAAAAAAGUCAUGGGGGAAAGUUGAAAAUAAAAGUUAAAGUUGUUCCUUUGGGUUCUUUUUUUCUUUUUUUUUUUUUUGUCGACAAGUUCCUUUGGGUUCUAGUCUUCUAGGUGUGAUAACAAAACACAAGAAAGGAAUAGAAGUGUCUUACUUAGGUAGCGGUAUCAAGCAAGCUACAUGUUUUCUAUUUUUCUUUUUUUUCCUUUUUUCUAUAUAGAAAUUUUACUAUCUUACCAUUUAUUUUCUUAGGUCUAAAUUACAAUGCCCAACUCAAUACCAAAAAAAAAAAAAGAAAUACAAUGCCAACUUCUUCUUUUUUUCUCGACUUUUUAAUACCAAUUUAUAACCCAAAGAAAUAAAUGUCUCCAUCUAAAAUAUAUCUUAAUCAAAUAUGAAAUCUAAACAAAUUUUUUGGUAUUGAAAAGCUCAUUAAAAAUUGAACUUAUUUUUGUAAAUGGUUAACAAAUUAAUUGCAUUUUGUUCCGACUAAAAAUAUUUAUUUUAGAAAAAGAGUUUGUUUACAAGAUUAUGAAUUAAAAUAUUUUGUUAUCUGCCGACCAAAAAAAAAAAAAAAAAAUAUUUUGUUAUCUCAAUCUAGAAUAUCGGUGAGUGAACGUCUAGAAUAUUCUCAAUCUAGAACUACGCAGCGUUUAUUGAUCUCUUCGAUAUCAGACGUUGCGUCGUUUUCGAUUUGAGAUUUGCGAUAUUAUAAACUACAUGCCGUUUUGAAAACUCCACUGAUCGUCGUCUUCUAUUCUAGUUUGAUUCUCGGCGGAGGAUACUCGACGAGAAAAUCCAGAUCGGGAAUUAUCUUUGAGAAGAGGAAAAAGAUAACUGAACUUUUUUAAACAUGAAUUUAGGUUUCGUAGUUGGAGUUUUCGGCGUUCUGAUUCUCUCCCAUGCCGCUUAUUCAACAAUCCAAUGUAUGUGUCUACUCGUUUGAAUCCAGUUCCAGUUGAGUCAGAUCUACUUUAACUUUUGAGAUAGCGUCUAUAUAUCUUGAUUUGGGUUUCUCUUAUUCGUCUCAGAUAGAGGAUUGUUGAAGAUCAUGGAGGAAGAGUUUUCUCGACCACCGAUGAAUGUGAGUAUAUUAUAAAGGUUUCUCUUUUUCCCCAAACUGGGUUGGAAUUUUGUAAGCAGUGAUUAUAUGUCUUAUGAUUUGGUUUCUUAAGGUUAUUCUGGAGCUGAUCAUUGGACUAGCUCUGUGUAUGUGGGCUGCUUUGACUUUCCCUGGGAAAUUUCUCUCGAUCCAUCCGGAUUCCGAUGAAAAUAGGUUUGCUAUCAUGUUUCCCUUGAACUCUCAGUUGUGUAUCANNNNNNNNNNNNNNNNNNNNNNNNNNNNNNNNNNNNNNNNNNNNNNNNNNNNNNNNNNNNNNNNNNNNNNNNNNNNNNNNNNNNNNNNNNNNNNNNNNNNNNNNNNNNNNNNNNNNNNNNNNNNNNNNNNNNNNNNNNNNNNNNNNNNNNNNNNNNNNNNNNNNNNNNNNNNNNNNNNNNNNNNNNNNNNNNNNNNNNNNNNNNNNNNNNNNNNNNNNNNNNNNNNNNNNNNNNNNNNNNNNNNNNNNNNNNNNNNNNNNNNNNNNNNNNNNNNNNNNNNNNNNNNNNNNNNNNNNNNNNNNNNNNNNNNNNNNNNNNNNNNNNNNNNNNNNNNNNNNNNNNNNNNNNNNNNNNNNNNNNNNNNNNNNNNNNNNNNNNNNNNNNNNNNNNNNNNNNNNNNNNNNNNNNNNNNNNNNNNNNNNNNNNNNNNNNNNNNNNNNNNNNNNNNNNNNNNNNNNNNNNNNNNNNNNNNNNNNNNNNNNNNNNNNNNNNNNNNNNNNNNNNNNNNNNNNNNNNNNNNNNNNNNNNNNNNNNNNNNNNNNNNNNNNNNNNNNNNNNNNNNNNNNNNNNNNNNNNNNNNNNNNNNNNNNNNNNNNNNNNNNNNNNNNNNNNNNNNNNNNNNNNNNNNNNNNNNNNNNNNNNNNNNNNNNNNNNNNNNNNNNNNNNNNNNNNNNNNNNNNNNNNNNNNNNNNNNNNNNNNNNNNNNNNNNNNNNNNNNNNNNNNNNNNNNNNNNNNNNNNNNNNNNNNNNNNNNNNNNNNNNNNNNNNNNNNNNNNNNNNNNNNNNNNNNNNNNNNNNNNNNNNNNNNNNNNNNNNNNNNNNNNNNNNNNNNNNNNNNNNNNNNNNNNACCAGAAAGAGUUGCCGUUCGUCGUAGAUAUAUAUAUAUAUAUAUAUAUAUAUAUAUAUUUACAGGUCUUAUAGAUACAUCAUCUGGUUAGAUGUGGUCCAGUUAUUCAGCUUAAUCAUGGGCGUUUGCAGUGUCUAGUGAAAAUGUUUGAGAAGGUUUAUGGAUAUGUUUGUUCAUGAAAAUCAUUUGAGGAACUUGUGUUCUAGAGAUGUUUCGAGGAUCUAGCUUUUAUAUCUCUACUCUCUGUUGUGCAUCAGUGUUUAUCUAUCUGAAACAUGGAAAUUUGAUAGUUAAUAUUUUUCCCAUUGAUUGAGAAUGACCAGAGACUUACGUUUAUGAAUAAGAAAAUUGUCCUCUAGAGAUGUUCUAGGUUUUUAACAUUGAUGUUUCUCUAGUAAUUAUUGUGUAGCUAGGUUCUUAUAUUUUAUGGUUCUUGAAUUGGUUUUGAGUUGGUCGUUGUUAGAUGGAAUGUAUAUCUUCUGUUAAUUGAUUAUUUCGAAACAUUUACAGGGCGGUUUCUUUACCAGAUAGCUCUGAAUUCAUGAUAUUCAAUCACCGUGGCAGACUGUUCCCACCGGAGAUCGACAUGAAGUUUUGAUUUUUCAUUUUUUUUGUAAUCACAGUGCGUAGUCAAACACUUAUCUGUCUAAUACUAAGAGAUGUUUCCAUUGAAAUUUUAAGUAAAGUACUCUGUUUUUCAUCAAUUUUUUUAUAUUUGGAAAGUCUUGUGAAGUGGUUGUGUGUCAGGGUUUCUACAUGGAAUCUUAAAAUCAAGAAAUGCACAACAAAAGCAUAGUAUAUUAUUGUCAAAUCCAACGCUUUUUUUGCUUAUUCUUUACGGUUCCCUUGGCACUGUUCUGGAAGGUCCAGCUCCAAAUGUCAUGACGCUCAACUCCACGGCCCAUGGCACCGGAAAAACCGGGGUACAUUUUUUCAAGAAAAACCUUAGAAAGAUCUAAAUGGGCAACGAUCAAAGGCUUCUUAGGUUUUUUAACGUUUUCUGGCGCGAGUGUGACCGUAACCUUGGAGUUUCUAUACUCAAUCCAAGCCUUGUACCUCUCUCCGUUGCUCAACUUGACCUCCUUAAACGACCAGAGUAGCCUUUUCCCAAUUCUUGUCUGAACCCAAUAACCAGCUUUCUGUGCAACAACGGAAGUAACAGAGUUGAUAUUUAUCCCGACAUGGUUAUCAGUAAUGUCUCCGAAACUUUUGUCCUGAAAAUCGUCGAACUCGACAGCAAAGACGUGGCUGUUGGGGUUGCCGUUGGUUGUUUUGUUGAGGAUGCCGAGGAAUCCAGCGGGUCCAGGACCGCUACUCUCAAUGGAGGGGACAAAAACGAAAGCGAGGCCGUGACCAGGGGCGGGUUUGACGCGAGAAGUGAUGGAGAAAGUGAAAGAAGUUUCAAAUGGAUAAGGAGAAGAAGAGUUUGAAGAAGGCUUGAAAGAGAGAGGAGUGGACCAAAGAGUUUGGCCGUGAGAGCAUGGGUUUGCGUCUCGGGUCAUGGAGAGAGCUCUGGAGAGGCUGACGCCAUCAGAAGCAGGACCAAGCUCAGCGUCUCCAAGGAAGAUAAACUCUGAGGUUUUGAGGCUGAGUUUGACGGCGGAAGUGGUGUGAGAUAAGAGCAGAGCAAGAAAACAGAGUUUAUGAAUCUGCAUUGUGUUGCGUGUUUCUGUGUCUGGUUGUGUUAUUCUAGUGAGAGUUUGAAAGACUGAAGUGGAGAUUGAUAAAAGAGUAAGCUUCGUUACAUGACGUAAAGUAAACGCGUCACUCACAAGGUUUCCUUUAGCUUUUCCAUUUCGACCAAGAAAAACUGAAAGUUAUUAAUCAGAAAACUUUAAUUUGAUCGUAGGUUAGGAAGACGUGAAUAUAUCUACUGGAAAAUUGGGUGUGGUAAACUUUGUUGGACAGUUGUUUUUGGGCGAUAUAAUUUGGUACCAUGAUCUUCAAUCGGAGAUGGACAUACAGAUUAUUAAAGUUAAAUAACUUUAUUUUAGUUUGAGUUCUUUGUGUGUUUGUUUUUUUUCCAUUGCUACUUGCGUAGUUGCUAUAACUUGAUAAUGUACACGUUGCAAUCAAAAGUCAAAGCUAACUAUGCAGUGACUUGAUGUGAAAGUUACACGCGUGAACCUAGCACUCAUAAAUAAAAAUCCGAGCUCAAUUUAGAUCAUAAACUGUAAACUGUAAUAUUAUACUGUCCAUAUCUCACUAAGUCUCUAAAAUAAUAGUUGACUCUGCUGUAUUCGAACAGCCUGUAAUAUCUAUAGCCAGCUCUAAGGAUUCGAAUUUAGUUGUAUCAAAUUGUAAAACACUGUAUCAAAGAGGCCGUAUUAUAUAUAUUUAUAUGCAUACAUGAUACUCUGUCUCAACAUCAAUGCAUUAUUAUUUUUUGUUGAGCAGAUCAUGCACGAGACUAGUUUUGUUAGUUGAGAAACUCAAAUAAAAAAAGUUGUAGUAUAUUUCGUGCCUAGUCUGUUUAGGCAUCUAAUAACUUCCUUCUAUUACUAGUCUAGGCUGAAAAGAAAAGAAAAUCCUCAUUUACUCAAAAUAAUAAUGUCUCUCGGGAACUCUAUGGGUUCGGAGCCGGAGCUCAAAACACUGAUAAAUCAAAUAAUCAAUAUCACCGGGGAUUCGCAACCAAAACCGGAGUCUGAGCUUGUAUCACUCAUCAAUCGAAUAAUCUGUCUCGUCAACGCUAUGAAGUCGGAUUGGAGCACGUACCCGGAGUUAAAGUCACUCAUCCCUCAAAUAUUCUCGAUCAUCGUCUCUCAGGAUUUGGAGUCAGAUCCAGAUCCGUCUGAGCUCCCGUCACUCAUUACUCGUAUGAUCACCAUCCUCAGCUCUAUGGACUCAAAUUCGUUGUCGGAGCAGGAGUCGGAGCUCGUAUCACUCGUUACUCAGACAACAUCCCUCGUCACCUCUAUGGAGCCGGAGUCAUAUACGGAAUCAGAGCUCAAGUCACUCAUUACUCAAAUCAUUCCUCUCGUCAGCACUACCGAUUCGAAGCUCGUAUCACUCAUUAGUCAAUGGGGCUAUUUCCUAAGCUCUCCGGAUUUAAAGCAAGAACCGGAGCAUGAGCUCAUAUCACUUACUACUCAAACAAUUUCGCUCGUUAGUUCUAUGGAUUUCGAUUCGCAGCCGAAGCCGCUAUCGGAGCUCAUAGCACUCGUCACUCAGUUUCUAUCUCUCCUCAGCUCUGUAUCGGAUUCGGAUCCCGAGUCUGAGCUCAUAUCACUCAUCACUGAAAACAUAUUAUCUUACAUCACUUGUGUGGAUGAUUCAGCUUCGAAGCCGAUGAUGCCGGAAUUAGGGAUCUUACCACUCAUUUCUCGACUAGCAUCUCUGGAGCCGCAGCCAAAGAUCAUUUCACUCGUUAGACGAAUGUUCUCAAUCGUUGGGUCUAUGAUUUCAGAUUCGGAGCCAGUAGAUAAGCUUAUUUCCGUAAGCCCUCAAAUGGGAGUAAUUGUUGAACAAGGGAGAUUUCGCGUGAAUGAAAUGCCCAUAGAAAGCCGAGGAAAUAAAUGGAUAUGUGGCCCUGGAUUUCGGACAUUAUUCAGCUUAGCCGGAGAAGCCGCUACCCAUUUUUGGUGCCAAAAUUGCAAUGGCGACUACCAUGACGAAUGUGACAAAGCCUCACUUUUCGCCGACCACUUUCUUGAUCAAAAACAUCUUCUUCAGCUUGUCGUGGCUAGGGAAGGACAAACCAUGGAAUGUUAUUGUUGCACUGAAGAUCUCCUAUGGAUGUUUUAUUAUUGUGUGUCUUGCGAGAUUGCUAUCAAUAUAACUUGUCUCGAGAAACCACCGGUCUUUUAUAUUGAUUGUGCCAAGUGGCAUGAGCAUACACUUGCUCUGUUUCCAAGACAUGCUUCCUUAACUUGCAACCUUUGUGGCUUGCCCGACGCUAGAUCCCCUAUCUAUAUGUGUCCCCGUUGUAACUUUGUGGUCCAUCACAAGUGUGUCACCUUACCACGUGUCAUAAGGAUAUCUCGCCAUCCCCAUCGUAUUUCUUUUACCCCUUCUUUUUACCAAGAAGAGCCCUCCUGUUAUAUAUGUCGCAAAGAGAUUAAUAGAUACUACGGAGGUUUUGCUUGCAUCAAGAACGAUUGUUCAUAUACGGCUCAUUCAAGAUGUGCCACACAGAGCAAUGUGUGGGAUGGCAUAGAACUUGAAGGAGUGCCAGAAGAAGUUGAAGAAGAACUUGAGCCGUUUGUGAGGAUAAGCAACGGAAUCAUACAACAUUUCAGUCAUCAACAUCAUCAUCUGAAGCUUGCUGAGAACGAAGACAGAGAUUACGACGAGAAUAAGUUGUGUCAAGCAUGCAUCACGCCUAUCUACUUCGGCAACAUUUACUCUUGUAUGCAGUGUGAUUUCAUUUUCCACCAAGAAUGCGCCAAUCUUCGUCGCAAAAUGCAUCACCCGAUACAUCCACAUAUGCUCACUUUAACAGAACGCAUCGGCAUUAUGAACAAGCCGAAAUUAUGUUCAGCUUGUCCUUGGUUGUGCACGGGUGGUCUCAUCUAUGAGUGCGGCAAUAAAGGAUGUGAUUUCCAGCUACACGUGCAGUGCGCUUCACUUUCAGAGCCUUUGGUCCAUCCAAGUCAUACACAUCCAUUAUUCCUAACAUCCAAACCUGAAGAGUGGCAAAGAAGAUGUUCUGUUUGCAAAGAGUCAAAUCAUUGUUCCACAAACGAAUCCUUCAAUUGCAUUGAGGAGGCGUGUGACUUCGCUUUGUGUUUUGUAUGUGCUACUUUACCACAAAAGGUUAGGUAUAAGCAUGAUAAGCACGUACUCAAUAUGUCUUAUGGGAAGGAAACAAGUACCACGACUAAUUGGUGUGAAAGUUGCGAGGAAAAAAUAAAUCCAGAGGAGCGGUUUUAUGUGUGCGAUGAAUACUGUUGUGUCACUCUACACAUUGAAUGUUUGAUUGGAGCGGACAUUUACAUGAAGCCCGAUUCAUCGUUUCACUUCCACAUGAAACCGGGUUCAUCCAUUUCCUUACGCGGUAGUACCUUUGUUCAAAUUUGGGCCAAUAAUCAUAUGUAUCGACCUUUUUGCUCCAUAUGUAAGAAGCGUUGUCCACACAAAAUAUUUGUCACUGGGCACUUUGAACUUCUAUGUUGUUCCACAUUAUGUUUAUCACUACUUUAGAGAGUGACUAAGCUUGAUGGAUAUUGCUUUUGUUGUAAGAAGUAUUACUGAAUUUGUCAAACACUGAUGUCGGAUAUUGUCAAUAUGUUAUGAGUUAUUUCCCCAGAAGUUUUACUUAAAAGAAGUAUUUUGCUUUGCACCCGUGGUGAUUCUUGAAGAGUUCUUUUUAUUUUUUUUUUUAUUUUUGUAACUGAUCUCAAAAUCCCAAAGUAUUCCGAUAUAAUUCAUCUUAUUCUCACAAAACACAACGCAGGUUUAUAAACUCUGUUUUCUUGCUCUGUUCUUAGCUAAUUACUUAAUAUAAACUUGCUCCCAGCGACAUCUCUGAUGCAUCUCAAGAACAGCUUCAGGUGGUCCACAAAAAGAGUGCUUCCACAGAACCAUUCCUGCGGUUCCUGACCCAUCCCUUUAUCCCGAGCUGCUCUGCAUUCUCUCAACAGUUCAGUUCCUGGAGCACACUCUCUGUACUCUUCCCUUUAUCAAAAGUCCCUUAGUCACUCAGUGAAAGUUAAUUUUUACAUUCAUAUCUCAGAAUCUGUCAUAGUAACUCAAACAAGUAUUUUUGUUUGGGGGCUGCCGAGUCAAAGCCCCCUUUUACAUGGCUCGUUGUUCUUUUAAGUGCAUACUCUCUGAAUUUGCUGGUAUUACAAGUUUAAACAAAUAUCAAAUUGUAAACAUAUGACGUAUAUCAAAACGAUACAUGGCCUCUGUGUCUUAAAUCUCUCUCUGUCUCUUACAAGAGAAUCAAUCAGACGGUUGAUCUGUAUUCAAAACCUGCUCCCGGUUCUUCAGUGGAAGGGAAAGCCUCCAAGCCAGUUACCAUGGCUGCAGGAGGGCCACGACGACACCUCUGAUGCAUCUCAUCAACAGAUUCAGGUGGUCCAGAAAAGAGUGCUUCCACAGAACCAUCCCUGCGGUUCCUGACCCAUCCCUUUAACCCGAGCUGCUCUGCAUUCUCAACAGUCCAGUUCCUGUAGCACACUCCCUGUACUCUUCCCUUUAUCACCACCCUGACCUGCACCCACCGACAUUAGACAUCUUCAACCCAUAUAUUAUCAGAGAACUGAGGUACCAAGAAGCCUGUUGCUAUCCGAUGGUUAAAUCAUAUAUCGCAGAUAUCUAAUCCAAUCAGCAUGUUCUUCGGAUAGUGAUACCAAUGAACCUCAGUUCUAGUCCUCUAGAUUAAAUGAAGAGAAUCAAAAACAGAAGAAUCUAAACUUUGGUCACGAUUUCCAACGAAUUAGAAAAUACCGUUUUAGCAGAAUCGGAUUGGUGGGGAGACCCAGAUUCAGCCUGAGUGGUCAUGGAGCACACAGGGGGAGAUGAGCGAAGCCAAAGCAGGGGACGAGGAAGACGAAGAGUGGUAGAGAACAGAGGAAGAGUAAGAAGAGGAGGAUUCUGAAUGAAGAGGCUACGAUGAUUGUGGAUUCUUAACAGUGAAGUCGAGAUUUGUGGAACCUUGCCGAAACUCAGAAAUUUUGUUCGGAUUCCGACAAUUGAGGCCAUUCUCCGUCGAAGAAGGUUUCUCUCUCGUGUUUCAGAGUCUUUCCUUGACGAACGAUCCCGGUUCUGCUUAACUAAAACCGGUUCGAUUGCAUCUGGUUUGGUUUGCUCAAGAAUCCAAUUCCAAACAUGGCACACGAGAUGAUGUAAUCAAACAAUCCAAUUCUUCUUUCGGCCCAUAAGAAUGUUCUGAGCCCAUGGAAACCAAUCUUAAUUACCGGCCCAUAGAAGCUCAAUUUUUUUUUCUUUUUUUUUUCCCGAUUCCUUUCGGUUAUUUAAAAGGUCAAGGAAGUAUAAGUACUUAGUAGUGUGAAUAGAUGCAAAUUUGAAUGAGAAAAUAAAAAGAGAGAGGAAUACUGUAUAUUGUAAUUCUCAAACACGUAUUUUUCAGCAUGUAGAACAGAAGUAGAAGUAAUGUUAUACGACUUGGAACUGAAAAUAAUUAUCUUAUUUGGUCAUAUAAGAAAUCAAGUCACCUUAGCAUUUAAUAAGCUAUAAGUUCAAACUGUUUGACAAUUGACAAGAAACAAAAUAUAAAAAAAACGAAUGGAACGGUCAAAUGUUAGUAUUUUGAUAUAAAAUAGUAAAAAAAAUCAAAUAAACGUUUCAUGGGAGACUUGGACUCCUCUACAUACAGUAUAUAAUUAGUGGCUUCCUUGUAUAUAUAUAUAUAUAUAUAUAUAUAUAUAUAUAGAGACGACUCUUCUCAGGAACGAACGAGACGACUCGAGGAGUAAAAAAACGAAACAUGGUGGAAACAUGGUUGCAUGCACGUGUGGCUGCGCGACUAAAAACACCAGUUUUGACAAGUCAGAAAUUUUACUUUUUUAAUAAAUAAUUCAAACUGUUUUAUUACACGUUGUUUUAGUAGUUAUUUUCAAAGAGUUUGACAUGGUGGUGGAAAAUCUCAUCAGACGGUGUUUGAAAAAGUGUCUUAAACCCAUUAUUACGAAAGAAAAAAAAUUACAACGUAACCAAACAAACAAACAUAAUGAUGUUAAUAUAUAUAAUAUUAAAAGAAAUUAAAGAUCAGGUAAGCUGGUAAGUCCAAUUUAUGUUUUACGAAAAUUAAAAAAAAAAAAAAAAAAAAGACAAACACAUAUAGCAUUAGAUUUAGAAAAUAGUAUUUGAGAAAUAGUUAGUACAUUGUAAUGAGAAGACCUUUCUAUUUUUGUAAUGAAUAGUAAUAUUUCCAGGCUGUACUUUGGUGGUAGGGGGAGAGAGAGAGAGAGACUCGUGCCGUGCAAUCCAAUCCGAGAGACAACAAAUAUAAAUUGCCAUGUGGGCCUGACGUGGACCGGUCCGGCUCAAAUGAUCAAACAUAAAAACCCCACACACACAUUAUAAUGGAAUCAAUCAUACAUCAUCAUCAAUUAUGACCAUGAUUCAUGCUUCUUAUGUAAUGCACAUACAUUACAACUUGAUCAUAUUCCCUUCCUUAACAAAAAAAAAAAAGAAAACUCACAAAGUCGUCAUCAUCAUCAUCAUAAGUAACCCACAUGUAUCAAUCUUCUCAGUGUCUAAUAAAGUUUUCGAAAUAGCAUCUACUCACAAAAAUUUGCCAUUUAUAUUUAGCAAGAAAGAUAUGUUUAUAUCAGAAAUUAGUGAAUUAACAAUUAGUAGUAAUCGAAAAGUUGGAAAAACAAAUAAAGUGGUAAUUGUUUUAAGUCACGUUCAAAGCUGAGUCAGAAACACGCGGCAUUGUUAAAGUUGAUGGUUCUUGCCACUUCAUUCUACAAUUAUUUUAAUGUUGCUGACGCUUCUUCUUUAUUGCCUUUUUAUUUUUUAUAAGUGCUGGAUUAGGUUUUCGCAUCAGCAAAUGAUUUUGUUCUAGUCAAUUUUAAUUAUGUUCAUAUGUUGUGUUUUUUCUUUUCUUUUUCUUUGGUGGAGCUCACAUUGAACCUAAUGGAUAGAAAUAUUCGAGUUUUUCGUCUUUUUUUAUACAAUUAUUAUAAAAUCUGGAGGAGAUCAAGUAUUUAUAUAUGUUUGUACGUUCAAUCUUUAGAUAAUAGUAGAAGAUUAUGUAAUGGUGGAAUAUUCUCCUAUAUAUAUGCAUAUAUCUUUCUUGUUUUUCUAUAACCCCUUUAAUGUAAUAUCAAAAUUGUCUUUUUUCGAUUUUUGUUGCGUAUGAUAGAGACAAGGGAACCAUUUUAUAGUAUUUGUUUAUAAGCUAAGGUGUACUAAUAAUAUAUUUAAACAACAAAAAAAGAAAGCUCAAGUGUAUACACAGUACACACAACUACAAGACUACAAAAUGUGAAUUGCUGAUGUAAUGAAAACGGCAUGAACCUUCUUAUCUUAAAAAUCAUUAUUCGUGAUGAUAAUCACACACGUAAACGUGAUCAUACGUCGGUCCGUCCAAAUAACUACCCACUCUUUUAUAACUCUUUAAUUAAAUAAAAUCAUGUGGCUGUUUAUCAUAGUUGAUUAUAAUAUCAAAUAACCAUAUCCUUUUGUUCUUUAGUUAUAUCUUUCAAAUUAACCGUAAACCGACUUUGUAACUUCUGAUGUGAUUUACAUAUUUAAAUACUGUAUACUUCUUAGUUCUUACAUAUGACAGUUGAAAAUUUCUUGUUAAGUUUAAAUUCUAAUUGCCGACAAAAAAAAAAAAAAAAAAAAAGUUUAAAUUCUAAUUAACUAAAUGAUACUUAAUUAGUAUAAGAUGUAGAGAAUUAAUUAAUGAGUAGAAGAAAAGGGUUAAGAUUAGCUUAAUCUGCCCCCACUAACUUUAAAUGAGUGUGAAAGGAACCAACAAAUUUUAUCUACCAAGGCAAAACAAUUUAAUAACAUUUUUUUCAUUGGUUUGUAUUUCAUUUUCGUGUCCAGGCCAUGCAAACGGUAGAAGUUUCAAGACCAUUCUCGAAGGAUGGAUUGUUUUAGUUUUAGCAAUCAACAAUAUAAAUAUACUACUAGUAUUGUUUGUCGAUCAAUGGCGAUUCUAAACUAAGUAUUGUAUACUCUAAAGUCUAAACAUAAGUAACUGUUGUUAUAUAUAUAUUAUCAUCAUCAUCAUCCAGAUAUAUAAGUCAUACCUACCUAGGAACAUCAUCAUCUACAGAUUGGCUUUCCAGUAACUAUUACACAAUUGGUUAAGGUUAAAACAACUAUAAAUAAUGUUGCUAAUAAUUUGAAAACACCCCGUGAAUAUAGAGAAUGGUUAAGCUAUUAAAUCGCUAUCUCCGUAUAUAAUAAAAUGUAUCGAUUGGAGAAUGCUAAUAGUUAUUUGUCCCUUGGCAAUAUCCUGACCACUAGCUCGCAAAUGAUCAUAUCAUGUCCCCGAUGAAGACAGUUUUAACUUUAGCACAACUUUUCUUCUCUGAUGCAAUAAAGGCUAACUUAAUACAUCCAACCAUUUCGAUCAAUAAAUCAUUAAAAUUCAACUUUCAUAUAACUUCGUUCGUACCUAACAUUCAUAAAUAACGUCUCCAUCGUCACUUCUUUUUGGCCUUAUUAAACCAAUGAGUCAAAUAUUGUUUCCGAUUUAUACACAUUAGUCUUCUUAUAGUAUAACAAUUUUAUGCAAGUUGUAUGUGUGUUUUAUGAUGUGUUAACCACUAUAUUGUCACCUUUUAUGGUAAACGAAAAGCUAUUAUGACCCUUAUACGUAUAAACUUUUGGAAACACUAAAAGAUGGUUUUACAUGCAAACGGUAAACCAAAGACGACGAAUUCUCAAUGUUCGGCUUCUUCUUAUUAACAAAUAAAACCAAAUAUUAAAUGUUGCGUUAGAAUUUAAAACUUGCACCUAUUCGAACCAAAGACUAGCUAGUAUGAAUUGGAUUCAUUCUUCUCCCGACGUACGAUAUGCUUGGUUUUGAAAUGCGGUCCUGCAUGACUUAAUUAUAAUUUUAGUCGGUUUGUGUUACGUACUGAUAUUGGAUAUGUACUACUUUAAUAUCCUUGAGAUUCCUUGCACAUCUCAUGUUUUGGAACGAACCACGAGUUGAUAAGGUUCAUCUCAAGAUGAUAUCUCAUACACAAAUUAUUUUAUAUUAGAUAUGUUUAAAAACAGUUUUAGAGUAGUUCAUUUUCAUUACCGUGGUAGAUGAUUUCCAUGAAGAAAACAGAGACAGUUUAAUUAGGAUAUAUUAUUAUAUUUUCAUUAAUGAUCACUUGAAAAUUACACAUCAACAAAAGUUACGAUACAAAAUUAUACCUAUAGUAUAGAAGAAAUAAACCAACCAACCAACCAAUCCACGCCUCUCAAAAACCGGUUCUAUAACCGGCCAAUCCAGCCGGUUUAGAUUACCGGACUCGGAAGUUUCCGUGCUUUCGUAGUUUACAGAUUUGUCAUAUCUACCAUUCUCUCCCUAUAUUUUUUAGUUAUUUACAUUUUCCUCCCCACUCAUUUUUUUUCCACUCACAUGACAGAACACCCAUUUGGAUUCUCGUCGCUAAACAACUCUGGCGCACGCAUGUGACCAUAAGGAUCUGCGUAGCCUUGGUGGUUCAUAUAUGGUUGUGGUGGUGCUUCUUGUCCAUAACCUUGACCGUAACCUUGGUUCGCAUACGAUUCUUGUACGUAUCCUUGGUUCGUAUACGGUUCUUGUACAUAAGACUGAGACGAUUGUCCUUGCAUCAUGUAAUGCUGCUGUUGACCGUAUACUUGUCCUGGUGGGUAAUAAUACAUGGGCUGUGGAGGAUAACCGUAACCGUUAUACUCCGAUUUCUUCACAUCCACCAUAGCACCACCGUCUCCUCCGCCGACAGCAACUUCUUUCUUCUUUUCACCACCACCGUCAACUUUCUUUUCUGCGACAUCUUUAAUAUCUUUCUUCUCACCAGCACCUUUGUCCUUCUUAUCCCCACCGGCCGGAGCCGCUGCAGCUGCUGCUCCGUCGUCCUUUUUCGCUGGAACUACUUCGACAGUACGUUUAAGCUUCUCCGUAAGAUAAGGAGUGAGCUGUUUCACGUCGAUAAUCCCCUUAACUGUAACCAAAUCCUUGGCGCUAUCAAUGGAGACCGAGUUAACCCCUGUAAAGGGUAAAAUUAAAACGUUAAUUUGAUUAACAUGUUAAGUGCGUAAAAUAGAAUAAAUUAAGCUAAGAGAUUAGGCUAACCACUUCUUAGCUAACCAUAUGAUAUUUAUUCAGUAAAAUAAUAAAUAAGCUACCAAUAGGUAGUUGAGUUCAACCUAAUUUUUUAAUAGAUUUGUUUUUUUCUUUUUUUUUGUGUGUGUUCUGCUUCCGUUAUCUUCAAAUCACCAACCGGAUCAAUUUCUUUUAUUUUAAAGAACGUUUGAAAAUUGGGGGAUUAAGGAAGGAACAGAUAAACAUACCUUUAAUUUUGUUGACUAUUCUUUUGAUUUUGAUUUCGCAACCUUCACAGUGUAACUUGGUCUUCAAAACCACAGUACUCUGUAAAAACACAUCAAAGGAAAAUUUACAUUAGAAAACAAAUUAUCAUAAACGGGGAAAGUCAUAAAAAAUAUUUGGAUAUGAACGAGUGUAAAUACGGGAAAGUUUGGAAGUGGACACACACACGUUACAGACCACAAAACAAAAGGCACUGACGUAUGAAACUUUUAUUAUAUAGUUUUCGCUAUCUGACUUUAUUUUUAAAAAAUUGUCGUUUAUAAUAAAAGUUUUGUUAAUUACCUCUUUUGGUGGUGGUGGGGGAGAAGCUUUCUUCUCUCCUUCCUCUUUCUUCUUCUCUUCCUUUUUCUCCUCCGCGGCUGGUUUCUUCUCUGCCGGUUUCUCCUCGGCCGCGGCAGGCUUCUUCUCACCGCCUGAAGGAGGAGUCUCUUUCUUCGGCGGCGGCGCUACCAAAGAGACGAGUUCGACUGGCCUCUUGACUUUGUCGGCAACUUUAUCACGAACCGCCACUGGAUCUACGUUUCCGAUCACCGUCAAUUUGUUAGCGUUAUAAUCAAUCUUCACAUCUUCAACACCUAAAAUCAUUAUACAAAAAAAAGUCGCGGUUUAGGGUUUUUCAAAAUUCGAAGCAAUCUCAAAAUAAAAAUUGGGGAAUUGAAUGAUUUGGUUUUAUUAAAUAAAAAUUACCUUUGAAAUGUUUGAAGAUACGUUUGAUUUUCUUGCCGCAACCUUCACAAUGCAUAUCAAGCUUCAUAACGACGGUGGUGACACCGCCAUCGGUGGUGGUAGGCUUCUUCUCUCCUUGAGGCUUCGUCGCCGUUUCUUCCUUUUUCUGCAAAAUCGUUAAAAGAGAAAUCCAAGUCAAUCCCGCGUUCGUUACAGAGAUCGAGAAAGAUCAGAGAGAUCGAAGAAUAAGAAGUGACUAACCUCACCCAUGUAGUUAGUAAUAGUAGAGAAUCAGAUAAAUUCCCUUUUUUAUGGAAGAAUUUUGAAUAUACACUCCUGGAAAAAAGUACCCACAGAGAGAAUAUAUAUUUUGUUCUGGUUUGGAGAAUAAGGAAAAGGGGAGUAUGAGGGAUAUAUAUAGAACCUUUUUUUUUUUUUUUUUUUUUAAAUGUGUGUGUAUGAUGAAAUUAGUAGUGAUGGUGAUGAUAUAAGAUUUUUAUAUCACAUAAUAAUGAUGUGUAUGUGUUUUAUAUACAAAAGCACGAGGUCAGGAUUAGUACGCGGUUUUUCCUUUUUUUAUGCCGUCGAAUUGGACCUCAUCAUUUAUAAGGGCCCAUUUACGACGACGCUAUACGACGACGUUUUCUACUUGUUUUUCAUUUCUUUUCUUUUCUCAUCCAAUUAAUGACGGUUGUAAAACUUCUUUCUCUUAACCGGAACUGAUACGAAUUGAGGAUACUGUUCUCGGCCAAUUGGAUUUGACUUUAAGCCGGGUAUGAGUCAAAACUUGUUUUGCCUUCACUUUUGUACUACGUACCAUGCUUUUUAUGUUGAAGAACUGUUAGUGAUUUUUUAUUUAAUUUUUGUUGAUGAGAUUACUGUUAUACUUUUAUUCGAACUAUCUCUCUCUAUACCGCGCUCACGUUAACGAAUUCGGCUUGGUUUGAUUUUAUUUGGUUAUAGUUUCUUAAUUUUGUCACGUUUAACCGAAAUCGAAUCAAACCCACUGAGUACUAUUUAAUCGAACAACUAGAGGAACCGUGUUUUGUGCCAUUAGCCCAUUACUAAUGAAGGGAGAAUGCUAGCAAAAAUGGAAAUUUUGGGUAAAAGGGAAAAAUGGAAAUUUUGGGUAAAAGGGAAAAAUGGAAGUUUUGGGAAAAUGGGAACCUCGACUCCAGUGGCGGUACCUUAAGGGGGUUCUAGGGUUUUGGUUAGCCGUCUAGGGUUUUCAAUUCCAAACAAUGUCUCAGCUUUUGUGUCGAAUCGUUAAGCUCUCCUCAGCUGCAGUGAAGAAGUAGAGACUCUGUUUCAGUGAAUUGCGGUCUUUUUCCACGGCGGCGACGCCGUAUCUGCUUUUCGACAACACUAACUACAGGAGGGCGAAGACAGCGUCUGGUGGAUGGUGGACAGCGUCUGGUGGAUCAUAGAUACAGCUUAAGGACAAGUAUUAAUUGUUGCAGAAACAUUGUGUAAAUAGGGAAAGAAUGUAAGAUUGAGACAUCGAGAGAUACUGCUGUUGCUUUUAUUGGAAUACAAACCAAUAUCCCACAUCGGAAGAUUAGAAAGAGAAGUUUCUAAUAUAUAAGUUAAGUCCAACUCCAAUUAGUAUGAGGCCUUUUGGGAAAGAGCCCAACAAAUCCUUGCGGGCUUGAGUGAUAAGCCCAAAGCGGACAAUAUCAUACUAAUGGAAAGUUGGCUUGGUUAUAGAGAUUCCAACAAUUGGUAUCAGAGCCUGGUUAAGAUUGUGGACCUAGGGGAAUGGAUAUUGGUUUGAGGGGAGUAUUGGAAUACAAACCAAUAUCCCACAUCGGAAGAUUAGAAAGAGAAGUUUCUAAUACAUAAGUUAAGUCCAACUCCAAUUAGUAUGAGGCCUUUUGGGAAAGAGCCCAACAAAUCCGUGCGGGCUUGAGUGAUAAGCCCAAAGCGGACAAUAUCAUACUAAUGGAAAGUUGGCUUGGUUAUAGAGAUUCCAACAACUUUUGUGCUUGUUCUGAUCACUUGAAUUUUUGUGAAUGACACCACAUAUGUUUUACAAACUUUGCCAUGCGUAGAGAUGUAUCUACCCUCAUGAGUUGAUAAAUCAUUUGUUUUGUUGUCUCUUAAUAUAUUGCCUUUAAGGUGUGACGCGUUCUCGGACAAAGGAGAAGUGGAUCAAUCAGAUCCUACUGCCUCUCGCAGGAGCAAGCCUAGAGCCUUUGUGGUGUUUAGGCAAGACCCCGAGCAAAGGAUGUCUUGUUACACUGAAGACAUUGGUGAUCUCUGCAUUUUCCUAGGCAAGAACGAGGCCUUUUGCGUCUCUGCAACCGAAUAUCCUGGACUUCGCCCUAAUUCCGUCUACUACACACGCAUGGAGUCGAGGUUCGGUUUCUAUGACCUCUCCGACAACACUCUCCAUGAUGUCUUAGAUCAGCCACCUUCUUCCUUUUUAAAGCUCUGGCUUGCUCCUUUACAGUGAUUUUAUUAUAAGCUUCUGUGUGGCUUUUAAACUCUUGUUGUAACUCUUCGGUGUUGUGAUAUGCGCGCAUAUGCCCUUCCUUUUAAUUUUAUACUAUCUUAUUAUUUAUUUCGGUGUUUUUGACUUUUGUCUGUGCGUGUAUUCUAUCUAUGUAAUGAUAUUGAACUUACUCCAUAAUCCCACUCCGCGCGAAGAUCCUUUCCCCUGCUCUUCACUCUCUCUCAAAAGAACUCUGCAAAAUCAAGGAAACAUGUCGAUCAUAACCAAUUAAUAUCAUCAACACAGGGGCCAAACUGUUGAUUUGGUAUUGGAAUACUUCAUGAAGAAAUUAUUUUUUGAUUACAUGAUUAGUUGUACAAAUGGUUCUGAAACUCAUAAUAUAAAGAGAUGGGGAAAGAGACAAAAAAAAAAAAAUAGAAGAAGUUUAAAACACAAAAGAAAAAAUCAUUAUGUAAUGUAAUGUGCCUUUCGUGAACCUUAAGUUUCCUUCUCAAACGAAUGAACGAUCUUAGGAAUUUAGAUCUCUUCGUCUCCAAGUUAUGUUUAUAUAGCACAUGCAAAACUAAAACACCAAAAUGAGUAAAUUAAUUUUAAGCUAUAAUUAUCCAUUUAUCAAAACUCAUAUCAAAUGUGAUUGACGAUUGGUAUUAACAUAUUGACGAUUGGUAUUAACAUAGUAUUAUUUUAACUUUUGUUUACUCCAUUAUCAUAUACAUUAUGUGCUUCUUCAUGCUCAUUAAAGCCAUUUUUUCCUUUCAAUAUAUAUUUUUUCGAAAAAAAUAAAGAAGAAGAAGAAGAUAAUUUUAAGUAAGUAUUUUGCAAAAACAAAACAAGAAAAGAUAAUUCCAGUAUUAUUUAUUCUGAUUAACAAAAGACCUAAACGUCUCAAAAGAGAAUUAAUCUUUUGGUAAAAUAAAAAUAAAAAAACAAAAAAAGUAAAAGGAAAUUAUCUUCUUUACUGCUUUUUUAUAUUUAUUCUAUUUUUUCACCUAUGAGUCAGUUUUGGUCCCUCUCGCAUCGUGGACAUCUUUUCAUCAUCGCACAAAUAACAAACCUUCCAACUCCGAUCGACUUAUCUCUCUCCUUCUCCGGCGAAAUCUCUAACCUCUCCGCCGCGAAAUCGCAGUUUCAGAGAAGUACCACACUAACGGAUCAAAUGGUGAUCCGCCAUUACUGAAGCUUCUAAUAUCCCUUUUAUAUCCCAAAGAACCAAGUCGGAUUUUAAGGUCAGUACUCAUCUGUGUUUCCUCGUCAAAAUCAAUAAGGUUCCGGAACAGAUUUGAACAAAAUAUUUCUUCUUUUAUUGUUGAAUUAUCCAGUAGCGCUUUAUGCGGUAGUUCGUUUAGGUGAAGAAGAAUGACAACAGGGUCUAAUUCUAAUCACAACAACCAUGAGGAUGGUUCUGGUAAAAGCAACAGCAAUAAUAAUAAUAACCCUAGUACGAGGUCUUGGGGCACGGCGGUUUCUGGUCAAUCUGUGUCUACUAGCGGAAGUAUGGGAUCUCCGUCGAGCCGGAGUGAGCUGGCAAUCACCGUCGCUACAUCUGCUAGCGACAGUACUUUUCUACGCCUGAACAAUUUGGACAUUCAAGGUGACGAUGCUGCCUCCCAAGGAGCUUCCGGGUAAGUAAAACCACCUCAAUUCUGUGAUUUGGUAAAGCUUUAUUGUGGUGUUGGGUUUAGCGAUUUAGGGUUUCAUUCUAUUGCAAUGGCUUAACCUUGUGGAAGCUGAACCAGUAGAUAUAAUAAGAAUGAUGUGUGGAUCAUACUUGUACCAGCUUGAAUUUUGACUCUCCUGAUAUGUAUUGUUUGGAUACAUUGCUAUUGCUUGAAGUUUGCCUAAAAUCUUCCACUAAUCUGUCUAUUUGUAUAAUAAACCUGUCCCAGUAUCCUUGUUGGGACAAAGAACACUUUUUAGGCCACUGUGUUUGUGUGUUAAUUGUUACAUUUUUUCUGUAUAGUUCAAUUUGAUCAUUAAGCUAUUAACAGUGGUAAGAAGAAGAAGAGGGGACAACGUGCGGCUGGGCCAGAUAAGAGUGGAAGAGGGCUACGGCAAUUUAGCAUGAAAGGUUGUUAUAUCUUAUCUCUGCCUCUUUUCUGCUUCCAUCUAAAUGUCUUUGAAGUUUCUAGCUACGAAUUGUGGAUAAUGCCUCCUAAUUUUGGUUAUACUAUUAACUGAUAUUUUUUUGUUCUUCUGGCUUCCUCUCAGUUUGUGAAAAGGUGGAAAGCAAAGGAAGGACAACUUACAAUGAGGUACGGUAGUUUCCUUAAAACAGAAAGCUUCACAAUAUGUCUGCCUUACAAGAUCCGUUAACUUCCGUUUACGUUAUCUCAUUUGAAACUACUUUCUUUUGCUUAUACAUUUGUCAAGAUCACAAAGUGGAAUAUCAAUUUGACUCAUGAGAAGUAUUGCACACGUGUCGCUCUGCAAAACGGUAUCUGACAGCUUUAAGUACUUUCAGGUUGCAGACGAGCUUGUUGCUGAAUUUGCACUCCCAAAUAACGAUGGAACAUCCCCAGAUCAGGUAUGCGUUUCUUCUCUAGUUUAUUACUCAAACAUGUGCGAUACUUGUUGUAAACUCUGAUAAAAUUAUAUCACAACGUUUUACCAGCAACAGUAUGAUGAGAAGAACAUAAGACGAAGAGUAUAUGAUGCUUUAAACGUCCUCAUGGCUAUGGAUAUAAUAUCCAAAGAUAAAAAAGAGAUUCAGUGGAGAGGUCUUCCUCGGACAAGCUUAAGUGACAUUGAAGAAUUAAAGGUUUACACCAAAUAUGCUGUUUGCCCAUGUUCGAAAGCUCGUUCAGAGAAUAUUCCUUAUUUGAGUUCAUUUUUGUUUUGCAGACCGAACGACUCUCUCUUAGGAACAGGAUUGAGAAGAAAACUACAUAUUCCCAAGAACUGGAAGAACAAGUAAUGGACACAAAAAAAACUCUGGGCCUAUAUGCUUGAUCUUAUUGUUACUUUUAUCAUAGAUCCUUACAUGCUUCUUCUUUCCUCUCUGUAUGUCUGAAAGUACGUAGGCCUUCAGAAUCUGAUACAGAGAAAUGAGCACUUGUAUAGCUCAGGAAAUGCUCCCAGUGGCGGUGUUGCUCUUCCUUUUAUCCUUGUCCAGGUAACUUUACCAACAGCUUCAUAGGAUCCUAGAUUAAUCCACAAGUAAAUCUCUAGAACAUGAAAAAAUGCUCCUUUUCAUCGUAUCGGGUCCUUUAUCGUCUGAUUGUUGUUUGUUUCUCUGCACCAGACUCGUCCUCAUGCAACAGUAGAAGUGGAAAUAUCAGAAGAUAUGCAGCUCGUGCAUUUUGAUUUCAACACGUAAAAAUCAAACACCAACUUUGAUCUCUUUUCAGCUAAAUUCUCUACUAUAUUGAUUACUGACACUGCUACAAUUUUGCAGCACACCAUUCGAGCUCCACGACGACAAUUUUGUCCUCAAGACUAUGCAGUUUUGCAAUCAACCGCCGCAACAACCAAACGGUCACAACAGCCAGAUAUUAGCGCUGGAAAACACUAACGAAGUCCCCAGCGCUGGUCCAACGACGCAGCCGGAUAUGUACCAGUCUCAUCUUCAACCGCAACAACAUCAGCUACAAAUCAUUCCUACGCCUGUGACUAACGAAGUUGCUUCAGCUACUGAUACUGAUCCAGUGGUAUUACCGUCUCACUCUCACCCAGAGAUAAUGAACUCCAUCGUGAAGCCGGAGAACUGAAACACGUAUGAAGGCCAUUGUACAAUUUCUGUAAAACUGUAAAGUAGUCUUGAAAAACUACCUGGUUUUUUUUGUAAUGAUUAGCCGGUUUAGCGGUAUAUUUGUACCGGUGUUCGGUAUUAGUAAUACCGAGUCUAAGAUUAUUUCUCGGGUUUAGCGAUUUUAACAAUCUUUGCCAUAGGAAAAAAAACAACUUUGUAUGGGAUCGUGUAGAAAUGAAUUUUCUUAACCGUUUGGAAAUUGCAAAAUUCGAUUAGUCGAUGUUUGGGUUUAGUUAUAAACCGAAACCUUGUAAUGGUUCGAGAUUAUAACCGUAUGGGAUUAUGGAAGAUGGCGAAGAAAUUAGUUAAAUAGAUUCCCGGUUAUGUGAAACCGAAAUCCAAUAAUCAAUCAUAUGAUUAGAGAGACAUAUAUUGUUGUGUUGUUUCAUGGUAUUCGAAUCUCUCACUGAGUCGUCAUCUUAAUAAAUGCUGGGAACUUGAGCAAGUCCGGCCAUGGCGACCAUUUCUCAUAUACCUUUCUCUAUGUCCUUCCCGUCUUUCGAAUUUCGGAAACCAUCGUUCUAUUAUCAUCGUCAUCAGCAACCUCAACUUUUCGUUUCGUACUUGAAUUCCACGAAGAAGCAUGGUUUUGUCUGUUUCGCUUGUUCCAUCAAACCAACCAGGUUCGAAAUUUCUCCUGUCUUUUUAGUUUUUUGCUUCGAUCUGUGGAAGAAAUUGACGUACUUUGGGUGUCAAUUUCAGUUACUGUAUUGGACUGUGUUGAAUUCGAUCGAGUGUUUUGCAGAGUUCGUAAGAGAGUGAAGAGCAAUGAGGAGCUUCGGAGUGAGAUUACGGAGUUCGUUGCUUCGGCUGGUCUUCCCGAAGGUCACGUGCCGUCCAUGAAGGAGCUCUCGGCACAUGGAAGGUUCCAAAUUCGAAUUUUGCAGUUUUUGUUAAAUUUCUAGCAGUCUGUAAUGUUGAUCAGUUGGUAGGCUCGUUGAAUCUCUCUAAAAGUCUUCUGAUUUUUAUGGAUUCCUUCUGAAAUCUCUUGAUUUAAUUUAGUUUUGGUCGUGGGAACAUUUUUUGUAGAGUUGAUCUAGCCAACAUUGUCCGACGAAGGGGAUAUAAGUUUAUCAAGGAACUUCUUGCAAAUUCAGAUGUGGAAGAAGACUCUAUAGAGGUAGUCCCUGAGAAAAACGCGAGCGUGGAAACAAGUGCAGGUCACAUUUCUUUGGAAGAUUCGAUAACAGGUCAACACAUAAUCAACAAACAGAUAAGAAUGUUAUUAUAAGAUAAUCUGAUAUAUUUUCUGGUGUAGAAGGUCAGGGCGAAGGAGCACUGAAUGUGGUUGAUGCAAUCUUGUCUUUUGAACUACCUUCGAGCAGUGAAAUAUACUUAACUGCAACAGAUGGAAGAAUGCCUCUUGAUCAGGGAAAAGAUCUAAAUGAUGUUGUCACAAAUUCAAGUACCGAGGCUGAAGAACACGGAAAUUUGAGUAAAAAUGAAUCGUCAUUGGCUGGAUUUUUGAGCAUGGAAAACUCCCUUUCUAACUUGGGUGACAAUGAUCAUUCAGGAGAUAUUACAGAAAACAAUUUGAAGAUUGAGAGCGUGGAGCUUAAUAAUAGAGCUGCCAUUGAAAACUCAUCUUCUGAAGCUUCAAUAUCUGCAAACCAUUCUCUAGUUUUAGAUGAUACUUCAAGCCGCUGUCCCGACAUAGAAGCUGACAAUGUUUUGAUGACAGAGGAUGGGGAGGUCAAUUAUGUGGAGAAAGAUACCUAUGGCCAUUACACCAGUCCUACCUAUGAUCACUACACCAGUCCUACCUAUAAUCAUUACACUAGUCCAGAUCCCAGUUACAUCAAACAUGUUGACAUUGCUACUGAAUCCUUGCCUCUUUUGACCUCGGAAAACACCAUGUCAAGUGCAGAGAAUUUUCAGAGUCAGCAGAUUGAUGAUAUGGUUGGAAAUAGUUCUGGUCGUGUUGAUGAUAGCUUAGUUGAGUCUGAGGAUAAGGAUUGGAUGUUAGGAUUUUCUUCUCAGACUUCAAGCAUAGAAGAAAAAACAACCAGAUUUAUUCAGAAUGGAUACUUGGAUACAGGUGAUGGUAAUUUUGAUCUUCUGAAGCCUAUAUGUGGCAUGUCGGAUUGAUAUCUUCAUUAUUCAUGCAUGUCUCUGUAGUAAAACUUUACCUCCGUGGUGAAAUAGUUAAUUGAUUGUUGGAAUCUGUUUCAGAUGAGGAAAAUGACAUACCCAAUGGAAGCUGUCCUGAAACUGAAGAAAGUGCAGAGACAACCAUAGGAGACAGUCAUGGUGGUAAGAGAAGUGUAAGUACUCCACCAAAUGGAAGUGCCCUAGCAUUGGAGGAGUUUACGUAUGCUACAGAAGUUAAUAGCUCUGACAGGUGAGUCUAACCAUGAAGGUCAAGUCUGGUGCUUUUGAUCAUUAUUUGCAUUUAAUAAUGAUCAUGGAUAGUAAAUCCAAGCUUAAGACAUUAGGUGUAUCUCAAGAAAUUGGUAUUGUUCAGAUUGUUUUUGCAUUAAAAGAACAUUAUAUCGUUAGUCGAUUAUUGGAAGUCACGCCAUACUUUUAUAUCAUUAGAACUUGAGUGAUGCUGGUGUACAUUGAUUGGACACCAGUCUUGACUGAAAGCCUGGAUUAGCUAUCCUAGAAGUUUUUCUCAUGUUCAUUUCUAUGUUUCACUUCAAUAUCUCUGACUUUUAAACUUUUAUUUACAGGAAUAGUGAUCAGAGAGAUGGGAGUGCUGACAUGGAUACGGAUCCACAUGAUGAGGUCUUGAAAGAUCCUUCUCACUAACCUCUUCAAAUUGAUCUGAAGUCAUUGCACUUUAACUUUUUUUUGUAUCCAUGCUCAUAGAACCUUGUUCUAAAAUGAUACAGACCAGGAAACGGGAAAAUCAGGUUGAAAUUACUCGGCUGAGGUCCAUGCUGGUACAUUGAUUGCUUUCUCUAAAUAUGUGGACCCUAUAAAAAUGAUUUUUGCUAACUAACUUUGUUGGUAAUCUAUUGCAUGGCUAGCUUCAAAAAGAGCUGGAGCUGUCAAAGUUGAAGGAGCAGAUUGAAAAGGAAAAGGUAACCUACUCUCUCGGAACAUAUUGUACAUACUACAUAGGUAUCCAUCAACGAAAAUGUUGAAGAGGUACAUGAAUGGUGGAUUCUACACAUCUGACUAUGCUUGGAUGAUACUCGACUUGAUAUUUAUCUAGUCUCAUGUAAAGGCUGAUACUUGUUUGUGUUCCUAAUCUCCAAUUUCCUGGGUUCAGCUGUCUCUAUCAGUUCUCCAAAGACAGGCUGAAACAGAGAUCCAAAAGGCCCAAACGCUUAUCGCAGAGAAGGAAGUUGAAUUGCAAGAAGCUGAGGAAAGUCUUUCAGGAUUGCAAGAGGUAACUUAAUUUUACUUCAUAGUUAAUUGUUUUAUCAUGGUUCCAAUGUAGACAAACAAGUAUCAAUACAAUCCCAGAGCCAGAGGCCUCACUGCACUCUUACCACUGAAAGCCAAGAUUCUUAAAAGUAAUUUUGCACUUCAGGUUGUGAUUGAAUAUAGCGGAGAUGGUAAUGUUGUGGAAGUGACUGGUAGCUUCAAUGGGUGGCAACACCGAGUGGGAAUGGAACUACAAGCAUCCAAGUCAAUGGGGUUAGUAUUUGUCCUGAAACUCUCUACUUUUAUUGAAUUGUCUUCUAAUGAUGAACAUGUGAAGGUCUCUUUUAAUAUAUGGGUAAUGUUGCUUGCAUAAAUAUGCCUUCAAAUUACAAUCAUAAUCCGUUAAAUUCAGAUUCUACCUGUUUAAUUUUGUGCAGGAAACAGAAAUGCUGGUCAACAUUACUAUGGUUAUAUCCCGGUACAUAUGAGAUAAAGUUCAUCGUGGACGAGCAAUGGAUAACGGAUCCUCAGAGAGAUUCGGUUACAAGAGGACACAUCACAAACAACAUUCUCAAAGUAGACAGCUGAUGAUUUCUUGCUUUUCUUCGAGUUGAAAUUACUUUACACGAGCGGAGUGGGCUUCAACAGGUGAAAGGAACAGUGCAAAUCGUUUCAAAGUUUUGUUAGCCUCUUCAAUUAUUUCAAGUCAUAUAACGACGUUUUGCUUUUCUUCUGAAGCCUUAGGGGUAGUAGACUUUGUACAAAACUGUAAUUUCAGGUAAAUGAUUAAAUAAUACAUGAUUAUGUAUCAAGGGUUCAAGUCCCUUUAGAAUGCAACAUAAGCAUAAUUCUUAAACCUUUCAAGAGAAAAUGUGUAAAAGCAGAACCCUUAUGGGUUACUUUCCUACAAAUUUCAUUAUUUAGAGUUGAUAACAGAUAAGACACUGAAUUUAAAGGUUUUGAUAAAUAUGUUUUUGCCACAAUAACUGCUUCAGAUCCUUAGAAGUGUCAGAUUCUGAUCCUACCCUCUCCAGUUACUUCCUCUCAGGUUCUGUGACGGAACAUGGAAGCCACUCAAGUAGACCAUUUGAAGCUGCCUCUCAUGCUCGACCUGUACUCAAACUUGUGUCUAUUUGAUUUCUACUAACACAUCUUUCUUGAAUUUCUUGCAUAGUGCUUGUGCAGCUAAGUCAAUCCGUGCAUUAUCCUGUAAAAAAAACUUGUGAGCCUCGAAAAAUGAGGAAAGAAAUGAAACCAGACCUUGUGUGUUUGUACCUUCCCCUUUAAGCAGAUGAUGAUGGGACCUUGUCUAGAUUUUCGGUAACACCCUGUGAAAAAGAUUGCGGUUAAAAACAGAGACUUUGGAUGCUCCUUAGUCCUUACAGUUAAAUAAUAUUAGACAGGUCAAAGAUUUAAUACCAAGAUAUAUAUCUGGGAAUUCGAGUCCAAGUUUGGACAGAGGUUCUGCAACUUCAACCUGCAUUUUGAUAGUGAAAACUUAAGCAGCUCGAAGAAAGCACAGAUCUAUCAACAGCUAGGUUCAAACAAUGAUGUUUGCAUGAAAUAGUGGAAAAUAUUUGUUUAAUCAGUUGAAAGCAAGCCAUGGGAAAAGAAAAACAUACAUCUGUUAAAGAUGUCAUCAGGCGCCUUGACGAAUAUUCUAGGAGUGAAGAACCUCCACCCAAUUUAGUAAGUUCCGUCAGACAUUCCCACUCUUUCUCAAGCUCCUCAGUGUUUGUAGCAGCAAGAACAAUCACAUUGCGGCACUUGAUCUACACAAAUUUACCCGACGAUCAAAUGGGUAAGAAAAUAAUGCUGAAACAUUAUAACUUUGAAUUUGGUUCUGAAAGGACAUACCAAUGGCACUGAAAGCUUUUCAUGAUGCAGUAGUUCAGUAAUCCCUUCUGGUAACUGAGCCAUCUGAAAUGUGAGAAAGCAACAAAUAUUAUUUCUUUCUGGAUAUUACGCAAAUCAUUAGCAUGGAGUUAACCCCACCAACAUAUACACAGAAAUGAUUCUGCUCCUGUUUAGUUUUAGCUUAUCUUUUCUGAAGAUAUGUAGAUCUAUAAAAACUUUUAUUUUCAAGACCGAACUCACCUCAUUCCUGUCACCUGUGCACUGCUCGCUUAUAAGAUGCCUAAGGUAUUCCUCAAACUCUUCAUCAGGUGCCUGAAUAAAUGUGCAUCAUGAGCCUCUCACAUUAGAACUGAGUGGUGAUUUUUUUUUUUUUUCAUUGAGAUGCUAAGGCAAAUAUCUUAACCAUCAAAGAGAAACGCACCAGGCGAACUCCAAAUGCCUUAGCAACACCAGCCAAAGUAACAUCUGAAUGCAAAGGACCAACUCCUCCAUAUAUAAAUACCUUCAAAAGCAUCAAUCAGAGGAAAUCUGUCAGUCACAUCUUCCACAACGAAAUUUCUAUUUGACUUUGAUUUUUGGUUUUAUGAUAAUCUUUUUAAUGUACUUACCAGAUCACUCGUAGACCUUUGGCGAUCAACUUCCUCGGAUACAGAAUCUAUCUAAUUAAAGAAACACAGUGAAACAAUAAUAGAAAUUAAUAAACGGACUGAAGAAAAAAUUUACAUUCUCUAAUUAACAUGUUCUAUGGGUGAAAAACUGAUGCAACAAAGACAAUGCGUAAAUCUCACUCACAUCAUUCCGAAGAACAGUGGUUUGCUGCACCGACCAACCGACAGAAGUCAACUUCUUACACAAAGACAAUCCUAAUUGAUCCUCAACAGUGCCAGACCUGAGCUAUGGAACAGAUAAAUGGGUCGGAAGAACUUCAUUGGACCUAGUAGAUAAGUGACCAAGCAGGACCCUUUUCAACACGUGGUUGGCCUAAAUCUAAUGUCAUUGAUUGAUAUAUAUCUAGCAUAAUGUUCUCUUAACAUAAAUAUCUUUAAAAACAGAGCCUAGUCUAAGAAUUAAUGACUUACAGAAUCUCAUCACCGACCGCAAUUACUGAGGCCAAAAGCACCUCGUGUUUCUGUGAUUCGGUUUCUAUGUCAUUUUUGAGUGAAGCAAUUUUCUUGACUCUCCCUGCCCUUUCUAAUCUCCCAUCAGAAAGUAGAUAAGCGGGUUUGAAUUUCUCUUUACUGCUAGUGUCGUUAACAGACAAUAAUGAGUUGGGAACAGUAUCAUGAAUACUCCCAAUUGAUGUAUAUCUGUAUAUUCAGAAAAGAGACAAAAUAUAAGACGAAUUGGUCAAAAAUGAAAAAAUCUUGUUAAAGUGAAUCUGUUGAGAGGACUUUUACCCCUGGUCAUAAAGGCUGCAAUACUUGACCUUGCAAGUUAGGAGAAAUGCCCAAACAUCUCUGCACAAGAAAAGUUAAUAAAAAAAAUCAGAAUAAAUCAAAUGAGAAUAAGAGAUCACAGCACAGUAAAGAAGCUUGAGUUUUCAAAUUUCCAAAGACUUUAUUUGGGUUACACAAUCAUAUUAUGGCUGUACAUCUUACAGGACCACCAAAGCUGAAAGUUUGAUAGACUUUAUCAUUAUAAAAAAUCUAAUAUCAGUAAAAUUGAGCUUAAGAUUUUCUGUGUCACCCAUACCAAAACAUAAGUAAGAAUAAACCACCAAUCCAAUUUUACUGUACAUAUAACGGAUAAAAGCAAUAACAAUAUAUUAUUACAGAGAAAAAGAUACCUGUACGACCAAUCCAAUAUAGGAUUCACCCUCAUAAAGGGUGGCCAUCCAGGUGAACUAGGAGAGAAUUGUUCUUGACCAACCUGAUAAAAUUGAGUGAGAUGUAAUCAAUCACAACAAACACUUCUUUCACUAGUUUACAAAAUAUUUGCAUCUGAAUCUUAAGAUUAAAGAUUUGAAGUGAAGCUAACCGCAGUAGGAUCACCAAUUCGGACGCCAAGGAAGAUAGCUCUGAUAGGGUUAGCCUUUAAUAAUGCCUCCAACCCAGAUUUGAAAUCCUGGCGAAUGAUAUCAAGUUGCAGAUUGUAACUGCCCAUAUAAAAUAAGAUGAUUAGCUAACUGCACAAAGAAUAUCAUUCUGGAAGCAUAUGCAGUUCGAAAAUCUUUACCCGAAAUGCUAUCAUCUUUAGUUAGAAGAUAUAAAUAUGAGAAAGAAAAAUGAACACAGAGGAACAGUACUUUUCUUACGUUUGAGCUGCAUCAUAUGUAAAUGCAUUAAUUUCAGUGAAGGCAGAAGGGCUCUCAAAAUAUAUGGUCCGGACUGGAAAGCUUGAUAGACCUCCAUUAGAACAACUCUGCUCUUUCUUAUGCAAAAAAUAGCCAGCUCUAAGAAGGUGCAACAGUACCUAAAAUCAUGAUGAGAGUCAUUAUUAUUUACUUAGGAAACAGGGAAAAAAAGAAGAAGAAAAUAUCCAAAACGGAGACUUUCUGAAGGGAACAGUUGUAACUUACAGUAGAGUCUUUUCCUCCAUUGAAACUAAAGGCGACCUCUUCAAUACUGCAGAAGUCGACAAGCUCAAUAUUUUCAGGAAUCAGUAAAGUAAAUUUCAUUUAAUGAUCUUGAAAAUGAUCACUUUAUCUACAACCAUAGUGUAAUAUUUGGACAGCAUACACAAAGAUUGAACAUGACAAGUACACGGCAAACAAGAAAUGAAAAGAAAUCACUUUUCUAAAGGUACAAAACACUUGACAACACUUAUAACUGAUUAAAAAGACACCAAGAAGGGUUAGCAGCCAAGUGUAGUGAACUUGUAGUGGAAAACAAAGUCAAAUUUUCUUUCAACAAAUUCGACAAACCCAUGAGUCUUUACAAGAUCCUCACGUAGUCACACGUCAUAACUCAUCCAUAGAGGAUGAAGUUUUCCAUAAUGCCAUGGGAUAUGGUUAGAAUCUAGGCAGUUUAUCAAGAAUUACAUAAAAGCAAAAUCAUUGCCAAGAAUCUUUUCACUGAGAUCGUCAAAUUCCUUUCUAUUUUAGCAAAAUCCAGCAAAAAUCUCUCAACGUUCAACUCCUAAUAACAGCAUCACAUCAAAAUAGUAUAUUUUUUUUAUCAGAUUUUCAAAGUAAAAUGUUAAAUCUCCAGCAACAAAUGAAGAAAAUGAAUCUGAAGAUCGAGAAGUAAGAGUAAACCAAAGGAAGUGAGAAGAGUAAAUGAGAGAGGGACUGACGAGUAAAGAGCAAGAGCUCUUUUAAUGACGAAGAUGGCGUUAUUGUACUUGGUCUUCAACCUCUUAUCAUCGCUUUCCCCGAUCGCUUUGUCGAUCUCCAUCUCUCCUCACCUGGUAACACAAAAUGCAAAGAUCAUAAGAAACCCAAACAAGUAAUAAGGCCAAUGCUUUACAAUUCGGAUUGAGUAAGCCGUUGUUUGUGCAGAUUGAGUAAUCCACAGAUUUAGGAGCUUUUGGGACGAUAAUAAUAAAAGUUCUCACCUUUAUUCCGACGACUCGAGAAUCUCGUCGGAAGUAUUUACCCGAUUGCCGGAGAUGCAGAAGGAGAGAGAUAAAACACACAAAAACGAGAAAUUCGUUUUGGACUCUUAAGAGCAGAUUCUUCUUCUUCUUCUUCAAUUUUAUUUAUGGAUAUUUUCUUUUCUUUUCCUUAUGAAAGAAUUUUUCAAUUUUUUAUUGCCACACCCAAUUUAUCUAAAACCCACCAAAAUAAAUUCUGAAAAAAAAUCAGAGAGAUAACAACUGACAAUAAAAUUUAUAAAAAAAAUAAUUGAAUAUGAAAAAACAGAGAAGAAAGACAAAAAAGCUUUGGUCAUUCAAGAUUUUCUUAUUUGCAUAAUUUUGAAGAAAAUAAUAAUAAAUAUAAAAUAAAUUUUCCUUGCAAAAAUAAACUCAGUUAAUGGAAAAACCAUGGAUGCAUACUAAAUUAUAUCAUCAUUUCUAUUGGGAGGACAAAUUUUGAACUUUUGUUUAGAAGCAAUACAAGGAUUAUGAAAUAAAAAUUUAAUGAAAUGCUAUCUACGUUGCUUGUCAACCAAAUUUUGUUCAAAUACAUUGAACCUAAUAAACCAAUGGUGGUUAUUUUAUUAUUAGCUCAGAUCAAAUACAAAUGUUCAGGUUUUUGUCGACGAUGUUAACUAUUAUAAUUACGUUACAGCAAAAUAAAAAAACUGUAAUACCAAAACGUCAUUCAGAAUCUAGUACACACAUUUGACCGACUAAUCUUAGUUAUCAUAAAAUUAUAUUCCCUAAAUAAUAAUACGAUUUUUUUUUUUUUUUUAAGUUACAACUUUUGUUAAGCUUCGUUUUCGUAGAAUGGAUUCGUCACGGUCAUCGAUUUCCUUUUCUUUUACUUUUCUAUGGGUUAUCUAAGUGAGUGCGUUUCGACACCUAAAACACACAAUCGCAAUCACCAAACGCAGUAUCACGAUCAUACACGUUUUCUUUGCCUAACUAUUGUAAAUCCCAAGUUCAUCUCAGCCGUUUCUUUUAAUGCCAACGACACUAAAAUGAUUACUCAAGAAUAUUUUGCACUGCACAAAAUAUCACAUGGUAAACAUCAUUAGAUCAACCAAAUGGCAUCUUUAUGUUGGUCGAACUCUUAUAAGCAUUAGAUAAUUCAAACAGGAGCAUGAGCCUUCCUUAGUUUUAGGUGAAAGUGUCAUGGAAGAGAAUCUCAAAAACACCUAAUCAAAGUUUAGUUAUAUAUUCAUGGUAUGUCAAUGAAAAACCAGAGUUUCUUCUAAAGACAUUGGAAUUUGAUCAUUAGAGCCUGCAACUAAAUUCUGUACCAAGAAUACUGAGAAUCCCCUCUCGUUGUUACCUACUCGAAAAGACCAUCCCCGUGCCAAAUAUCAAACAGAAAAUCCACCAUUUCCUGCAAAUUAAAGAAGAUUGCAACCAAGUUAAUACCACCAAUGCGGGUUGAAAGAUUAUUCUCCAAGGCGGACAACGAAGGAGAUGAAAAGUAGAGUAUUGUAGCAACUCACAGCUAGAGGGAUGGGCUUGUGAAAAGGAGUGGUGGACGUGAGCAAGUCUUCAUAAGUAGCGUUGAAGCUACAAAUUACAAAAAACAUUUAUGGGUUAGAAAAAGGAGUUAAAUAUAUGUAAACCUGGAGCUUGGCGAUUUUAAAGUGGUGAGCAAUGAAUAAUUAAGCUUUACCUUAUUACAGGUUCAACAGGCAUCUCUGAAGUCCUAUUAGAUGGAUCACCAACCCACUUCUUUCUCAUCUCUUGCCACGCAAUCUCAGCUGUAGAAUAAAGGGUAAUCACAAUCUAAGAUCAUGUGUACUUCAGUCUAAAUCUGACACACUAAAGUAACUGAGGAGUGCUGACUUAGACUAAAUGUGACACUGGUUAACCUGAUGAGACAAUCAGUUUCCCUUAAUUGUCAAAAGACUAUCAAUAGACCUUGUUCGAGACAGCAUAUAGAAAACCCUAAAACAACAAAUUGUGAAAGGUGACAAAGCUUACCACUGUUCACAAAGUUGUUCUCAGUGGAUACUUCUUUAUCAAUAUUACUUGGAGUAGUUGAAACAUUUGCAGAAUCAACAUUAGCUUCCAUUGUCCUUACAAAGACCUCUUUGCAGAAUCAAAAGGCAGAUCAGAAUGCCCAAAAACUUGAAGCUUGAACCGAGAUAGGAAAAACUCUGGAAAAAACAAAAACUUUUUAAUCAUGAUCACGACGAAACGAGAUUCAACAGUUUAUACAUACAGAGUAAAGACCAUGAGCCUACUAUAAUCGUAUCAAGAGGAAGACAGGCACUACAAUAUGAUUCGCACAAUCAGAGGCAUUAGUUCUAAUCGGCAUAAAAAACCCUUAAACUUCUUCUGGAACCCGAAAGCUAAAAAGAUCAGAAGAUGAACCUAAUUGAAACCCUAGAAUUGGUUCAAUCACAAUCUGGCGAAAUCAAGACGAAGACAAACGAGAGAGAGAGAGAGAGAGGUGGAGGAGGAGGAGGAUGUAACCUAAGCUGAUUGGAAUCUUCGACGACUGAAAGAGAUAAUUCCUCUCGCCGAGAAAGAAAUCGGAAACGUGUAAAGGUAAAGUAGAAUCCAAUUGAAUCGACGAAUCUUUAUUUUCCUUUUUCUUUUAAAAAUCAACUUUAUUAUAUACUCUCUAACCAUAUAUAAUUACUCUACUUAACUAAUUAUAAUCAAUGAUUUGGUAUGACCGACCUUAGCUCAGUUGGUAGAGCGGAAGACUGUAGUAGUUGCUGUAAUCUUUAGGUCGCUGGUUCGAUUCCGGCAGGUCGGACUUUUUUUUUUUAUUCUGGAAAAUUUUAGUGUUUUCACAUCAGUUAACUUCAUCUCUCUUUCCACGAUUUUUCAUUGUCAUUUUCUUAAAUCCACCAACGAAUCAGAACCUGAUUACAUUAAACUUAAACAGUAUAUUGCAGGCUGCAACAAUUAGAUUCAUAACUAAGACUAUAUAUAUAUAUUAAGUAAUGGCUACUCUAUUAGCAUCUCCAGUUUACAAAAGAUAGAUAACUUAGCCGCUUUACAAUACAUGUUUGCUUUUCAACAUACACCAUCUAUUAUCCCUGCAUCACUAUCAUAUCUUUUUUCAUUUUCAUGGCGAUUCGUUCCUAAGAAGCUGCAAUUUAUCAUUGUUUAAGAGACCAAGCAGACCCGUGCCAUUGAAGUGAGUGUAUUUCACGUCUUGUAGCGGAAGAUGACUUGACAAUGGGAACCGCUGAGAGACUGCAAAAUUCAACGGAUCUUGCAAGAUGAACUCCCGAGUGGACUCGUCACAAGAUGCAAAAAGUUGAUUCUUUUCCUCCCCAAAGUCUAUAAUCGUUGUUCUUGGCAAACGGAUGGUGUCUACAAAUGCUUGUGUGGAUGACAGUUUCUGGUAAUAAGAAUCAGCGCCUCUUCUCUUGAGACUAACAUGAAAUCCAUUGACACCAUUACUAUUGCUAUUAUUGACUCCUAUUUGGGUCAACGAAGGUUGACUCACAGUAUCAUCAGAAGAUCCAACUCUCGGUCUAUAAGAAGCCACUAUAUGAUCACUGCGAGGACAAUACGCGGAUGAUAUGCAAACUCCUGGGGUUCCUGUUUCUGAAAUUAAUGAUGGGCUACACACACACAAAAAAAAAACGAAACUAUAACAAGUUAGAGCCUUGAAAAUGUAUUGAUAAACUUCUCCAAGCAGGUGCCAAAGUUCUGUGAUCACUAUUUCCUUUCACGUAUUUUUUAGUCAACAACAUUUCUAGGUUUGGUUUCAUGAGAUGUGAAGAAGCAUCAAUGUCAGAGAAACACAAAACCUCACCUUCCCUCGCUACCAUUAAUGUUCCACUGACACAGCCCGAUGGAAGAAGCUGACAAGAGGGAACGAACAUCAGAAGUUGGAGUAGAAUCGGUAGAGAGAUGAUGGAUAGUAUGGACUGGAUUGGUUGUUAAGCCAGUCAAUGAUGCGAAAGGUCCCGUUGUUUGACGCCUAUCAAAUACUAAAACCAUUCCAUUCUGUAGUCCAGCAUACAUAUAGUGAGAGCUGUUGAGAUCCCAGGAGCAAGACCAAGGUGCAGCCGGUAGACCAUACGAUAAGACAGUGUUGUGGCUCUCCAAAUUUAUAACAGAUAAUUUUUUUCCUAGAGAACCAAAUACUGCAAGCCCAUUAUUGUGAGGGGAAAGGUGAAGAUCUUUAAUUGCUCUAGUGGUAGGAGGCAACAAAAUAUCAUCAAUCUCACCCGAAUGUAGGCUCAUCUGCAACAUGUAUAUAUAUAGUUUCAUCAUUAAAACUUGCGUAAGAUCAAAAAAAAAAGGCAAAAAAGAAAAAAAAAAAAAAAACUUACUUGCGUAAGCACAAACGUUCCACCAACACCUGAGAGCCUACGAGCCAAUAACACAAUUUUUCUACCACCAUCUAUGUCAAAUAAACGGCCACCACUAACUAGCAUUUCUCCCUACAAAAAAAAUGAAUAACUGCGUUAGACACAUCAACACAAACGGUACUUCAGUCAGAAAAUUCUAAAAACAGUGGGACUGAUAUGGCAGACUAUGCCACACCUGAUAUCUGAAGCUGCAAGAAGGUGCAUGUCCGUGAUGUUCUUGGGAGUUCGCAUAACCUGCAAGGCAUGCACUUACAACUGUUUAGAAGUACAUAUGCAUUAAAUUUCAAGGGGGAAAGAAACUUAUUCAUCCCACUUAGGGAUAAACCUCUAUUACUGGUUGGGUAAUGAAAUGCCCUGUAAGUCCUAAGGUCAGAGUGGAAAAAUCGCACAACAGCAUAUCAAUUCUACUUGAACAUAUAUCCCAUUGAGACAAUUCAUCCAACAGAAUGGUGCAAGCAUAGAAACGAAAAUAGAGGAUUUUAGGUAACGCAGAAAGGGCAACCAUAUAAUAUCUGAUCUUAUAAGUAUAUUUAGUUUUAACAACGCGCCAAUGUGUUGCAACCAUUACGCACGUAACUGUGUACUUACCAGGUAUAUAUUGCUUCUGAGAAGCCAUAUUAGCGUUUCUCUGCGCAUCCAUAGUAAUAAUUUCCAUAUCAGCUAUCUUCUGCAAAAACAAAAUUUUGUGCAGAAAAACAUGUGUGACAAUUUUGUGCAGACAAUUAAAACAAAAUCCUUGUUAGCGGAUAUUAGUCAAACUUAGCUACCUUGUAAAAGACAGACAACCAACUUAAUAUUCCAAAUUUGACUAGUUUUACACUUCGUAGUGAUCAUAAACUAUCAUAAUCUUUCCAAGCAUAAAACAAAGUGUUAAGAGUGACUACGUUACAGCAAACUCUUAGAAGUGUACCUUCUUCAGCUUAUUAACUUCUAAUUGUAGCUCUGCUUCCAUUUUCUUCCAUUGAGCUUCUUUGUUACUCCAACUCGCAGUCUGUGAAACAUGUAAGAGGAUAUUAUUAAACGCUACAAUACUAAUACGAGGGGCUCACACAUAUGUUCCAGUCUACUGACACAGACAUAACCUACAUAGAUGACUUAUAAUAAACACAGAGAGGUUUUAGUACUCAGGUAAAUCUUCUUCUGAAAGAUUUCAAAGAAAUUCAAGAACAAAGCUCAGAACAAUGCGGACUGAGUAUAGAAAUAUCAUGAACUAUCCCGGCAAUAAUUUUGGUCCCACCUUCUGUUCAAUUGAACUUAACUUGGCCUCCAGAAAUAAGAUUCUCUGCAAAUAUAAACCAAGAAUAUCAGAUUUUGAUACUGUGAUUUAUAAUCAUGUAUGUAACUAGGAACUACACUCAUUGUAUUACCUUGUGUGCUUCAUCAUCUACUGCCGCAACACGUGAUGCAUAAAUUUUCCGGACAUCUCUCAGGCUACAUUUUCUGUUGCAUUGGGGACACUAGAAAAGAAACCACUGUGAGUCUAUGCGCAAGAUAACUAUCAUUGAACAACUACACAACAACCACACACCUUUCCUGCACGUUGUCGCUGUUGUAGCCACUUCUUGAUGCAGGAAAAUCCAUACAAGUGUCCACAGGGAAGACAACUUGAAUAACACCAGUAAGAAGUAAAGAGAAGACCAAUUAGUUGCAUUCAAAAUAUUCGACGUGACCAGAGCAAGAGAUGCUCAAAUUUUUUGCUUUGACAGAACCUAAUCAACUACGAACUAGAUGAUUUCCAGUAACAAAUUGCUGUGUAAGUAAUCAAAAUUGAUAGAACUAGAUCAUGAAAUCAUCAAAUUGCUAAAGCCUGUAGCAUAUAAAGAGCCUACGAAUUCCAAAGACAUAAACAAUUAAAGAAACACAAUUACUGGAAUUGAGAUUACCAGACUUGGUGUUCGCCACCGUUGGUCCAAACUUCCAUACAGAUCAAACAAGACAAUCCCUCAGUGUCGCCGUGUUUCCAUUCCACAUCUUCCUGCGAUCCUGAAGACGAACAAACACCUCGUGACCUUUUCUGAUUCUCUAUCUCAUCAUUCUCGUUCUGUGAAACCCUAGGUGAGUCUUCAACAUCGAUGUAUUCCCUGGUUUGCCGUUCGGUAUCUUCUUCCUCCUCUUCGUCUCCAUCGUCUUCUUCGUCUCCGUCGUCUUCUUCGUCUUCUUCUUCUUCUUCUUCUUCUCCAUGGUGGGCAUACCUAUAUACUUCUUCUCCAUAGAGUCUUUGUUGAUUUUCAAGUGCAAUUAACAGUGCAAUUCUUCCUCCGGGAUCACGGAGGGGCAAACCCCGGCGAGGCGGCAUUAGGUCGAACCCCAAAAAUUAAGCGCCAAACGACUCUGUCCGUUUCUGCCGGUGGAUGACGAACACCAAAAAAAAACUUUCACUGAGAGAUCUCGAAGAACAAAUAAUAAUAAUUUUACAAACUCAAACUCGCUGAUUCGAACAGAGACUGUCCAAUUAAAAUAAUUUUAAAAUAUUAAUAAAACAUUAAUGCGGUGAGCGUGGAUCGAACACGCGACCUUCAGAUCUUCAGUCUGACGCUCUCCCAACUGAGCUAUCCCCGCUUGUUGUUAAUGGCAAGAUAGUAAACUAAAUAAUUAUUAAACAAGCGUUACCUCAAAUUGGUCGCAGUCUUCAAUGGAAUUAUUCGUUACUUUAGGGAAGAAAAGGAGUUAGAAGAUGGGGAGAAGCAUUUUUUCCUUUUUCGCUAAAAAGAAAAAAAUGGCGAUGGCGAGAAGCAUCUCUUACAUCACCUCAACUCAGCUUCUCCCUCUCCAUCGCCGUCCUAACAUAGCCAUCAUCGAUGUCAGGUACUUCCAUACGCGAUUUGAUUUCGUCGGUUUUUGUCAGUAAUCUGAUCUCUUUAGCAAAUUUUAGUUCGAAUCAAUCCGAUUGGUCUUAGGUUUGAUUUUGCUCUACCAUGUAUUACUGAUAUGGAUUUAGGAGAGUCAUUUGCUUUUCAAUUCUGGUUAGUUCUGUGAUUAGAGAUUAUGAACAAGUGGAAUCUCAAUGUUUUUUAAAAACUGGAAUUUGUAGUAGUUUAAUCGGAAAAAAAAAUAUUAGGAAUCUCAUGAGCUUGGAACAAAGUUUUUUUUUGUUAAAUGGUCUUAGGAUCGAAGAGAAAGAACGUAUCUUUCGUAAUUUUUAACUAGGUUCUUAUUCAGAGAGAGUUAUGUCUAAAAAUCCAGCUUUGUAUUAAUUGGAUGUGUUUUGUUCUGAAGGGAUGAAGAGAGGAAUUAUGACGGGCAUAUAGCUGGAUCACUACACUAUGCGAGUGGCUCGUUUGAUGACAAGAUCUCUCAUCUUGUUCAAAAUGUCAAGGACAAAGACACACUUGUCUUCCAUUGUGCCUUGAGCCAGGUGUGUGUUUUACACUCUUUUCAGCUUCCCACAAUAUCUCGUUUUCCCCUUGUUUGAGUUCAUAUGAAACAACACACAUUAUAAAGCACUGUCCUGCAAUGAUUGAAUGAUAGGUUAGUUGAUUCAUGUUUCAUAGGUUUAUUAUGAGAAUGUGAUCUGUAUCUCUAUCUCCUGCAAUAUGUAUCAAAAAGUGGGUCAAGGUUGCAAAAUCAAAUGGUCUUUCGUGAUGUUUGCCUACUAGUUGAUCUAUUCUUAUGUAUCCUUUGGAGUAGGAACCUGUUACAUUCUUAUCUAGGUGGUAGCACUCCAAACCAUCAAAGCUCAGUCCUUUAGCAACCAUUGAUUUGAGCUAGUUUUCAAUUCUUUGUUCUGUCCUAAGUCCUAAGUUCUAAAGGAAAUGAGCUAAAGCUGUGAAAUCGAUUCUUUCUGCAGGUUCGUGGCCCAACAUGUGCGAGAAGGCUUGUGAAUUAUCUCGAUGAGAAGAAGGAAGAUACUGGAAUCAAAAACAUCAUGAUCUUGGAACGUGGCUUUAAUGGGUGGGAAGCUUCUGGAAAACCAGUGUGCCGCUGUGCAGACGUCCCUUGCAAAGGCGAUUGCGCCUAAACCUGUGGUUUCCCUUGCAAAGGCCAUUGCGCCUAAACCCUACUGAACCAUAUUAUUAUUAUGGACCUAAUUGAUCUUCCACAUUGACAUGUAUUAAAGUUGAAUGAAGAUUAUUCAUAAAUAGCCUCUCCCCAUCAAUAUGUUGGUUUACAUGGUAGACCUCCAGACCAAACACCAAACGUUGAUACUUAAGGGGCUUUUUUGGUAUUGAACGUUUAUUGAGCGUCAAAGCCACGUUAAUAUGUUAACGCCGUCAAUUAAUAAUGGAUUUUCUGGAAUCUGCUGCUCUGAAAGGGGGACGUUAGUUUAUAAACGCCGUCAGAAUUCUCUCUAUGAUAGAGAGACUUUGCUUUUAAAGGAUUUUUAGUUUUUAAAGUCAUAAAGCAAAGCAACGACGACUUCAGGGGAAGUACAAUCAUAUCUUUGAUCUCUCUCUCUCUCUCCAAUUCUGAAGUCGCGAUUCAUCUUUUUCUCGAAAAUUCCCAAUUCCUGAGUCAAGAACCCUAAUUUCAAUAUGGUAAGAUUUGCUCGAUUUUAGCUUUUCUGUAUAUUGAUCUAGUCUUCGUUUGUCAAUUUUGCGGCUUCCAUUUCAGAUUGAUUGAAUCUAUGAAGUUUCUGAAAUUUCACAGGUUUGCGUUAUGUGUUUGGUGCCGCUGUUCCUCGUCCCGCUCGUCAAUUUAAUGCCUCGCAUCAUUGAUUUCUUCAUGGUAAUUGGCUCGUUAUAUCUUGAAAAUCGUUAAGGUUUUGUUUUUUUUUUGCCUCGACAGAAUGAUCGGAGUUAAUGUCAGAACCUACAAUUCAAAAUGCUAGAGUGUUGUAUUCGAUUGGUCUUAAAGGAGAUAACUUUAUUUGAAUGACAAAAGGGGAUUACAUUAACGAAAUAGGAGAUUAGAAAGGGAAGAAGAUAGCAUUGAUAGAAAUCGCUGAAGAUGAUAAUCAAGGAUAACCAAGAAUACAAUAUCAUGAUUUGUGCCUUGUAAAAGUAAGAAGUGAUAGAGCUUUGGUUAUCUGCUUCAGAUGGGCUCUUGGAAAGUUGAAGAUGCUAGCAAUGUUUAAAUCUUACUUCUGUUAGUGUUUCAUACUUAUUAUCUUUGCCUGUGCUAUGUGUACGAAAUAUCAGUUUAUAGAGGUCAUGCUUUAGUGAAUCUUGCUGGUAAUAUUUUUCUCGAAUCAUUUUGCUAACUCUAUGAGUUUUGACUGUUCAUGCUAAAUAACUAGGCGAAAUUAUACGCGUGGCUCGGGUGGGAGUACAGGAAGCCAGCGAGAGUUCCUCCAGCUUGUCCUUUCAAACCAGCUGCUAAAAAUGAUAACGCCACAAAAGUAAGUGUAAAGACUGGCUUACUUGUUUGGCGCUUUUUAGUAUAGACUUUCUUAGUUAAGUUGUUUCUUGGUUGAAGCAGUUUAGUUGGUGAAAUAUAGGUUUGAUGCUUCACUUGGCUGUUUCAUGUUAAAUACUUCAAUUCAACAAUAUUUCAUGAUUCCAUUAGCUUCGAUGAAUUUCUUUACUCUCUCUCUCUUUGAAUAUUCACUUUGUAUACAGUUUCUGAGUUUUCCAUCCUUAUAUCUGUUGUGUUUGCAUUUGAAUCUUAUAUGUAAAGCACAUUUUCUUUUGUUGUAAAUGUAAUAGGUGGGUGCUGAAACUGGAACUGAAGGUUCAGAAACAAUAGCUAAACAUGUCAUUGUGGAGGAGACGGAUGGGGUUAAGCAGGAUUGAAGCCCGGGUCCUUUUUUUUCUCAAUAAAGCUUUUGUAUUUGUGGAUAUGUUUUGGAUCAGAGAAGCUGGGAGAUGAAAUUACCCUCUUGUGAUAAUGACGUACGUUGAAAGAAACUUAUUUGGUAAUUUUCCCCGUUAAAAAUGCUACGUAACAGGUCUAUUUCUUAUAUGUUCACUUGUCUUCUUUUUAUUUUUGUCUAGAAUUUUUGCAUGUGGGAGAUGUCGAAUUCCUCAGUUAAACUCGGAUCACUGAAUUAGUUGAGGUAGAAACACUUUUAAUUUAAGAUAUAGCCACUUCAAAUUCUUACAAGCACAGCCAAUCGAAUCAUGCCUUGUUGUUGUAUCCAUCCCUUCGUUUUCUUCUAAGGUUGUUAUUAUCCAUCCAUAGUGAAAUUUUGGAAUAUAUAAUUUUAAAGAUUUGUCUAUAGCGACUACUCUGUUUAUUUGAUUUCAUCACCAUCAAAAUCUAGUGAUGACCACUUGUAACUAUUUAAUAUUGUCAUCUUAUUAUUAAAUUGAUAAUGAAAUUUAUAUGUGUGUAAAAUUUUAUCUUUGUAAAGCAUCUUUUUACAUAUAUAUAUUUGAAUUAAGGAUCGUGUUUGCAUAAAUUCAUAAUGAUCAUAAUUUCAAAUAAUGGACCAAAUUGUUAAAGUUGCGAGCACUUCACUCACAAGCCACGUGCACAAGCAAUCACACUUACGCUAACGUUUAGGAUAAAGAAAUAUCAUAAAAUGUGAUUUCAAAAAGAUAAAUAAAUAAAAAAAGAACAUCAAAAACAAUUUUAAACACUUUUUUUUUUUAAUAAAUAUCUUCGUGUCUGGUUUACAAAAAAAAAAAAAAUAUAUAUAUAUAUAUAUAUCUUCGUGUCUUGGUUGUGAUCGAGAAGAGAAAGAGAGAUUUUGAAUAACAAAAGAAUAUUUAAAAUAACGUUACCUUUUAAUUUAUACAUUUUUCUGUUUCCACUUUAAUCUGAAGAUCCUCUCUUCUCUCUCUCUCUCUCUCUCUCUCUCUCUCUCUCUCUCUCUCUUGCUCUCGCUCGCUCGCCGGCAAAAUUCGCUGUUCAAAUCUCCGGUCAUUUCUCCGAGGAUCUCUUCGAUCAAUCCAACGGUUUCAUUUUUAUCAUCUCAGAUCUGACAGAGAAGAUUGAUGCUGAAGAAGUGUAGUGGAAGACGGUUUUUGAUGUAAAGCAGUUGAAUCUGAAUACGUAGAGAUUCAAUUCAUCUUUCGUUUCAUGCUUGAUUCAAUUUGAGUUCUCUUUUCGCUGAAUCUCGUUCGCCAAACCUAGGGUUUCUAAUAAUAGGGAGAAACGAGGAAACAACUAGGGUUCUCUCUCUGAGGUCUGUUUCCAGUGCGUAAAGCCAUGUUUAAGAAGAUCAUGAAGGGGGCUCAUCGAAAGGCCUCUAGAACUGAGGCGAAUGAUUCGUCUAUGUAUGGGUUUGAUCCACCAGGUAGGUCAGGUCCUGGAUCCAAUAUGGUUGUAAAUCACGCAUCUCGUGGUUCUCUGAUCCCUUCUUCUCCGGGUUCAAUGGUGGCCACCGCACAACCGCCUCCUAUGUAUUCAGUCGAGCCUCUUCCGUUGUUCAGAGACGUGUCUGUUUCCGAGCGCCAAUCCUUGUUCUUGAGGAAACUGCAGAUUUGCUGUUUUCAAUUUGAUUUUACAGAUACGUUGAAGAAUGCGAGGGAGAAGGAGAUUAAGAGGCAAACUUUAUUGGAGCUUGUUGAUUUUAUACAGUCUGGUGCAGGGAAGCUCACUGAAGUUUGUCAGGAAGAAAUGGUAAAGAUGAUUUCUGUUAAUAUAUUCCGGUGUCUUCCUCCAGCUUCACACGAGAAUACAGGUCAAGAGCCUGCUGAUCCUGAGGAAGAGGAGCCUUAUUUGGAACCAUCUUGGCCUCAUUUACAGCUUGUUUAUGAGUUGCUGCUAAGAUACAUUGUUCCUUCUGACACAGAUACAAAGGUUGCAAAACGGUAUAUUGACCAUUCCUUUGUGUUGAAGUUGCUUGAAUUGUUUGAGACUGAAGAUCCAAGAGAAAGGGAGUACUUGAAAACGAUUCUUCAUAGGAUUUAUGGGAAGUUUAUGGUCCACAGACCCUUUAUUAGGAAAGCAAUGAAUUACAUAUUCUAUAGGUUUAUCUACGAGACUGAGAGACAUAGCGGGAUUGGGGAGCUUUUGGAGAUUCUGGGUAGUAUUAUAAAUGGAUUUGCUUUGCCAAUGAAGGAGGAGCACAAGCUCUUUUUGAUCAGGGCGUUGAUACCUUUGCAUAAGCCGAAACCAAUCGCUAUGUAUCAUCAACAGUUGUCUUACUGCAUUGUCCAGUUUGUGGAGAAAGAUUAUAAGCUUGCGGAUACAGUGAUCAGGGGUUUGUUAAAGUUUUGGCCUAUGACAAACUGUACAAAAGAGGUUCUCUUUCUCGGUGAACUUGAAGAGGUUCUGGAGGCAACACAAACCGUUGAGUUCCAACGCUGUAUGGUCCCUCUGUUCCAACAGAUUGCUCGAUGCCUCAGUAGCUCAAAUUUUCAGGUUAGCAACUCUCGUAUGGCUUGGUUUCUCUUUUCAAUCUGGUCAUUAAAAGUUCUCAUUUAUGCAUAUUAACCUUUAAAUUUUGGAGCCUUUGCUGUAUGAAAGACUUAUGUUGUGUGGUAAUAUUGCAUAUGGAGGCUAUGAUCUAGAUUCUAGGCCAGUAACCUCAAACUCAUGUUCUGACUCCUCCAUUCGAAAAAAAAAAAAAAAAAAGUAUGUGCUUGGCAUGGUUCACGUUGUUUUAUCUUCUUUUCCUUUUAUUCCAUGCUUCCUCAGCAUAAUGAAUCUGAUCAUAGCCAUCUCUGUGGAUAGGGUUAUCUCAUGUAAUUGCUAUUACAAUCUGCUAAAUGAAUUAUUUGAUUCUUUUCAUGAAUCAUCAAUCAUCUUGUGUGUCACUCGUCUUGAUUUAGCUCUGCCAGACAACCAACUCCGCUGAAUUGAUUGAAACCUUUGCUUUUGGUUUGUUCAGUUAUGAUUGAACUCUCUUUGCACAAAUAGCUACACCAUGGUUUCAUCUUCUCUACAGGGGUUGAUAGCUUAAAGUUUAACCAACAUAUUGCUUGAAAUUUACUUUCAAUCUCUCAUACUCAAAAGUGCAUAUAUUAUCAUGCAAUGCAGGUUGCAGAACGAGCUCUGUUCUUAUGGAACAACGAGCAUGUAGUGGGUCUAAUCGCUCAGAACAGAAGCGUGAUUCUUCCUAUCAUAUUCGGUUCGCUGGAGAAAAACACAGAAUCUCACUGGAACCAAGCAGUUCACGGUCUAAGCGCGAAUAUAAAGAGAAUGUUCAUGGAGAUGGACCCUGAACUUUUUGAAGAUUGCCAGCAACAGUACGAAGAGAAACAAGCGAAAUCUAAGCAAGUGGAAGAGCAACGCCAAGAUAGGUGGAGGAGAUUAGAUGAAGCAGUAGAGGAGCGAGAAAGAGAAGAUCCAAUGAUCACUUGUUAGAAAAAUUUACCAAAUCAUCAAGUAAAAUAAUAUUCUUUUUUUUCACUUCUUCUCAUUUCACUAAUCGUUGCAAAUUAUCAUAUUUUAUUUAUUUUAUUUUAAAGGUCUGGAUAAAAAAAAGUCCUUAAAUCUAGCCAUUAGAAUAUAUAUUAUUAUUUUUUUCUCUAUUUGAGAAUCUUUAAUGGUGUGCUGCUCAAUCCAGCUUUAAUGGUCAACUAUGUAAAUUUGAGAAUAUAAGAAAUUGAAGAAGGGAAAAUAACAAAUAUAAGUUUUAUUAAAAAAAAUAGAAAAGGAAAAUUUUGAUAAGGGUAACCAAGUGAUAAGUAAAAAUUUUAGGUUACCAAAUCUCUUCUCGCUUGGUUUCUCUUUUCAAUUUGUUCCUCUAACGUUUCUAUUUAUGCAUAUCAACCUUUGCUAUUUAGCUUCCUAUAUAAAGGCUUAUGUUGUGUGGUAAUUUUGCACAAAAUUUGCACAUUGAGGCAAUGGUUGGGCCUAUUACCUCGAACUCAUAUUCAAAUACAGAAUAUAAAGAGAAUACUAAAGCGUGGAACCAAGUUGUUCAAGGACUAAGCGUGAAUAUAAAGAGAAUGUUAAUGGAGAUGGACCCUAAACUCUUUGAAGAUUGUCAGCAACACUACAAUAGAAACAAGUCAACUCAGUUUGCUUUGAAAAACACCGAAUAUAAAGAGAAUACAAAAACGUGGAAACAAGCCGUUUACAAACUAACCGAUAAUAUAAAUAGAAUGUCAUGAAGAUGGAUCCUCAACUCUUUGAAGAUUGCCGGCAACAAUACAAAGAUUAAAAAAACAAAUAAAAAAUUAAAAAAUAAAAAAAAAAGUCAAACCAAACAAGUGGGAGAGCAAAGCCAAUAUAGGUGGAGGAGACAAGAUGAAGUAGUAGACCUGUAAUCACUUCAUACAAAAAACAUAUUUUUUUAAAUGUUAAAACACAUGAAGAUGAAGAUUAAAACAUGGGAAAUGUAAAGGGAAACAAAGGGAAACUCACAGUAUAUUUGCAAAGAUUUUUCAAACAAACAUUCUUCAACGAAACAAGAUGCGACUUUCAAAGAUUAUAUCUGGAAUGGCAAUAACGUCUGAUUUUGUUAGCAAGAAUCAAGAUUCUAACAAGAAGCAAGAGCAAAAUUAUGUACUUACGGGCGUAUAGCCAGUAGUAGUGCUGAGGCGCUGUCUUUUUAUUAUUAAAGUUUAUCUUAUCGGCUGGUCAAUCAUAUGGAGAGAUCAAAGAGACUGGGGACCUCUCUGAAUUUACGUUUUUGGAUUGAUACUUAUGAAUACAUAUAACCCACGUAACAUUAUACAUAAGACUUGUUUGAUGUUCGAGCUCUAGCUUUGGUGGACUAAUAGAAGAUUAUUGAGCGGUCAUUUUCCUAAGAGAGAGCCAUCUCCUCAUCCUCCAUCUCCAUACUCUUUUUCAUGUCCAUAUCCAUCUUCACCAUCGUCUUCAUAUGCUUCUUAAUAUCCUUGUCAAUCUUCUUCAGCUCCAUCUUCAUCUUCUUUUUCUUCAUCUCAUCCAUCUCCAUCUCCAUAUCCAUCUCCAUCUUCCUCUUCUUGUGCUCAGCCGUAUCCAGUAAAACACCUAAAAAUAUAAAGUAUACACAACGAAACUGAUGAGAGCAGGUUCCAAUAUGAAUUAAGAAUCUCACAGAAACCAAAGAGCGAAUUUGUGUACUUGGGGGCGUAUAGCCAGAAGGAUUGCAGCGGCGGCGUCUUUGUAUUCUUACUUUUUCCGGUCCCCCAUGAAUAGGUCCAACAAAAAGAUUCAUUCCUCCCAUGUUAGAUCCACUUAGUUUAAGUGCCUUAACUUCACAUCUUUCUCCUUGAAGAUAUAUGAAAGCUGCACCGCUGCAAAAUUAAACAGAGACAAUGUCUUUAGUAAGAAUUCAAGAAUGGGAGAAAACAACAAAUAUCACAAAAAUGGGAGGAAGAAAGAAGGCACAAACCAAGGGAGAACCACAACUCGCGUAACCUCUCCACAUGAAGAGAAAUGUUCACACAGCGCAAUCUGGGUAUCAAUCUCAGGAAGCGAAGUGUCAUAUCCGGUAACACGGACCCUAAGAUAAUAAUAACAUUGAUUGAAGGAUCGGAGAGAAAUGUUAUCAACAUGCAAAAGCUAACACAUCUGCCAGAUAAACAAGAAUUAACAUCCUAAGAAAAUUUGAUUUUGAAUAAACCUGUGGGUUUCGAUUUUCAUCAGGACAGCAGCAGACCAAGGAUCCCUGCAUUCUUUCUGCAUGGGUGCAGGCUUAACGAUAGCAGUCCAUCCUCCCACGUCAGUUCCACUAAGUUUCAAUGCCUUUUCUUCAACAUCUUCUUCUCCCUCGAUCCACAGGAAGGAUACACUUGCAAAACGAAAGAUACACAAACCAAAAAAAACAGAAGUAUUAUAUUUUUGAGUUUAGCAAAGCACUAAACAUGAACGAGAGGAGCUGGGAGGGAAUUAGAAGCAGCAAAAAUAUUAAAAGGUACCUCUUGAGGAUGCCCCUUUUACGAUCCCUUGGAACAUAAACAUAUCCGACCUUUCCGCAUGAAGAGAAGUGUUUGGUCAAGGCGAGCUUGAGAGAAUACACACGGAGCCUAGUGUCAUAUCCCUCUACGGAAAUCGUCGUCCUAGGGAUAAUUUGAUUUUGAUCGCAGCAGGAUUUCCCAAUAAAAUAUAUAAAUGUGUUAAUAAAUUUUGAUCGCAGCAGGAUUUCCCAUAGUACUAUUUAGUCAUAGUUGUCUAAAUUUGGUAUGGUAAAGAGUUAUGUAGUAUACAUAUACAUAUACAAAUUUAAUAGUCAAAUAAACCAACCAAAGUGAUCUUCUCCGACUCCGAAGCAGACGUCUCAGACUCAGUCCCCAUCUUCUUCUUCUUCUUAUUAGCCUCUUCAAGUAAAAACCCUAAUAUAAAGAAUAAAAAACGAAACUAAUGAGAGGUUUUAAGUUGUUAACAAGUUUCGGUAUAAUUUUGUUUUUAUCCAGUUACAGAAAAAUACGACAUACGACCUAUUCGUAUGACGAUGUGGAAUAUACAUAAACAUAUAUGGAGCCGCUAGCGCCUAGCUAAUAAACAAAACGGUAUUUUAUUUUCCAAGUUUUGUCUCUUUGGUGAUCCUUUGCAAGUUGCAACAACUACUUAACGGUUUCGGACAAGUCUUGCAAAAGGGUUUUGUUAGGAUGGAUGAUGAUGGAUGAUGACCGAAUAUUGAAGAAUGGUACGUGUGAAUGAUAAGGUGAUUAAUUAUGUUGUUCAUGAUUUGAUUAUUACCAAAAAAAAAACAAAAACAAAAAAAAGUAUAUGCUUUGCUUAGGGUGAGUAGUGAAGCUAGCUAGUUGGCAAGUUAUGGCUUCUUUUGGCGGCCAAGCAAUUCUCUAUCUCUCUCUCUCUCUCUCUCUCUUUCACACACACACAAUCCUCGACGCUAAGACUUCAAAUCAAUCCCUCCUAAUAUAUGAUUUUAAUAUUGUAAAUUAUACUAGUAGUAGCUUCACAAUACACUCAAAUAUAUUCUUCUUAAUAAUCUAAUAACACGUUAGCUUAGAGAAAUAAUCAUAGAGACAACUAAUGUGUGUAUAAUUAGAGUUGAAUGAGUAAAAAGUUGGAUAUCAUCAAUCCAGCUCUAAGAAACUCACCUUUUGCAGAAUUUUCAAUCGUAUUAUGUAAAAUAUGAUUAUUCUAAAAAAUAUUUUCCUGAAUUUUAUAGAUUGCUGCCACCGAGUCAUUGGUAUACUUACAAAGACCUAGACUACUGUUCACACAUUAUAACAACAAUAUUUAACAAACUAUAAGAUAAGGGAGGUUACUUCACCAAAUACAUAUUAUUAGCUAAUCACAAGAUUAAUCAUGGUUUUUGAUCAAAUAAUUGGGUGACAUCUUAGAAACAGGCGCAAACAUAGGGAGUGAUACUAUAUUUUUAAUUCGUUAUUUCAGCUAAUAUCACUCUAUUUUUAAAAUAUUAAAUAUAACUAGGAUCAUGAUCAUAAUUGUGUGUUGUGUAAUUGUGGGUUGGCUCAACUGCACAUGAACUGCUCUCGACCCAAAAAUUCGAUUGCCUUUUACUUUCCAAUCAAUUAACUCAAUUAUUUUAAUCACCAAGUUAAGUUCAGUGUACAUAAAUCCACAAUGAUUAGCAGUACUAAGGCACAAAUUCAUAAUUCGACGUAUUGUCAAGUUAAUUAUGUAUUUUAAUAGCUUAUAUAUAUACCAUAGUUGGGCUCUCAAAUCGUAAAAUGUGUUACAGUACGUACGUCAACUUAAGUUUCAAAUCGAAUUGUGAGUUGUGUGGUAACUGUGUUGCGUGUUAAAACUCCUAUUUGAUUGCGGGUGACUUUAACUACCAAUGAACACAUGUGGACUACAAGAUUUUUUAUUUACAAAGUUAUAAGAUUUUAGUUAAUGAUAAUGUAGAAACAAAUAAAUUGAAUGUCAUAUUUAGAAUACGCAAUCCAAUUUGAUUUUCUUCUUAAUAUAUUACACUACAUUCCAAGUGUCAAAAAAUUGAUGUUCAUUUUUUUAUUUAUUUUUCUUAAAUAUGCAGUCAGAUUGUGUAGGAUGACACUCUUCUCUCUACUACCAAAAAAAAUAAAGUCUAAGUUUCCUUCUUGGAAAGAAAAAACAAAUCUCCUAAGAUUAGUGCUGUCACUGAAUCCAUAUUUUUGUUAUCUAUAAAAGCUAAUGUGAACCUAUGUAAUUUAUGAGUAUGCUUAUGAGGAUUUAAUUUAAUUAAUACUAAUCAAUUUUUUAAUGUGAUUCAUAAGACAAGCAUUAACCAAAAGAAGAGAAAAUAAUUCAAAGAAAGAAAAAAAACAAGAAGAAGAGGAGAACAACAAGUGGUUCCAGGCUUGCAAACCAAAACUUCCAGAAAGGAAUCCUUCACCAAAAGUUAUUUUGGGGUUUGCUUCUUUUCUCAUCUUUUCUCUCUUUACCCAUUCAUUAUUAAUAUAUAUAUGCAUAGGGAUACAUACACACAAAUGAGUACUGUGUGGUAUAAACAAAUACAAUCACAUAUUUAUAAAUAUAGAUAGAUACUAAGACAUAUAAACCAAACCCACCAAACACUCUUUGAUACUUCUCUCUCUCUCUCCCUCUCUUCAUAAAAUACAUAUAUACCUCGAUCUCUUUGUGUUCUUGAUAUUAAUACAGAGAGCCAAUCAAAUUAAAGAUCGAGGAUAUCAUGACAAGUGUUCUUGAGGAGAGUGGAGAGCAAGCUCGUCUUGUUCUUCUCAUCAAGGGCAAACGCACCAAACGUCAGCGCUCUGCUUCUCCUCUUAUGACUGCAGUAUCCAGCGUUUGCAGCGGUGAGCGAUCGUCGCUGGUGGAGGCGAGAGAAGAAGAAGCUGCUGGUGAAGUCGAAUUCCAAGGAGCUACCGAUGAAGACGAAGACAUGGCGAACUGUCUGAUGCUAUUGUCGCAAGGACAUAAGGCUAAGAGCAGCGGCGAUCAUAAAUUGGGUUUCUUUAGCAACAAGAAACCGGUGGCUUCUCUAGGGUUAGGUCUAGACGGUGUUUACCAGUGCAAAACGUGCGAUAAAAGCUUCCAUUCGUUCCAAGCGCUAGGAGGGCACAGGGCUAGUCACAAGAAGCCCAAACUUGGAGCAAGCGUUGUUUUCAAAUGCGAAGAGAAGAAGACCGCAUCUGUGUCUGCGGUUGAAACGGUGGAAGCUGGAGCUGUAGGAAGCUUUCUUUCUCUACAAGUGACUAGCAGUGACGGUAACAAGAAACCGGAGAAAACACACGAAUGUUCGAUCUGCAAGGCCGAGUUCUCUUCAGGACAAGCCUUAGGAGGUCACAUGAGGAGACAUAGAGGCUUAACAGUAAACGCAAACGCAGCUUCAACAAUCAAAACAGUGAUAUCAUCAUCAAGUCAUCAUCAUGAAGAAUCCAUACGGCCAAAGACCUUUCUCCAAUUAGAUCUAAAUCUUCCAGCGCCAGAAGAUGAACGCUGCUGCGAGAAACCAAAAUUCACGUUUGCGUCCAAAGAUCAGAUUCUUCUCUUCGCGGCAGCGUCCAAUUCUUUGAUUGAUUGUCAUCACUAAUUAAGUAGUUCUCUGUAAUUACUUUUUAUGACCUUGAUAUAUUUUAAUCAUUAACCCUCUUCUUAUUAUGAUUAUUUUCGCUCUAUAUUCAUUCCUGUAAUUUGACAUUGAUUCAAUUAACUUCAAAUUAUUUCAUUCUUUGAAACUAUAUAUGUAUUCAUUAUUGCUCCAUAUAUAUAAUUUAUAGCACAUUUCUAAGAAUCAUCGAUCGAGGUAUUAUAUAAAAUGUAAUACUUAACUUUGGGAGAAUGAUUAAAAGGAUUCUGAUGAGGAUGUUCCUUGGAGAACGGAAGAAGCAUGUGACGAUGACUUUCGCAUAAAGUCACUUCGUUUGUUAGCCGCCACUAGCUCCUUUCGAUACACUUCACUUCCGUUUGGGGUUGUUCUCUUUUUCAAGAUUCUUUUAUAGAUAGAAUAAUACAUAUAUCAUUUCAUUAAUUAGAUUAUAUAUAUAAAAAAGACUACAUCUGGAGAGCCCAAAGCUAGGUUGAUGUACAGUAGUAGAUGUAUCGAUCCCUAACUUCGACUACUAACUUUGAUGAUAGAGUCAAGACAUUCAUGUGAUGUAGCAGCUAACGAAUCUUCAUGAUCAUGCUAUUAUAUAUGUAGUACCAAUGGAAACUAACAGUAAACUUUGUUACAAACUCAGUGGUUUUGACUAUAUAUGAUAUAACAUGUUCUAUCAAUUAAAACUAAGCCUACUUACGCUACGUAACAUUUAUGGUAUAGUGGUAUCUCUAAAUUUAUCAUGUUGAUGUCUUUAUAUAUAGUCUAUGACUCGUCUGUGACUCAUCUAUGUUUCUCUUUUGUAGAUAUGAACACGAUAUUUGUAGAGAAAGUGCAACGUAUUACUAACAGAAGGAGUGAAUAUUCCUAACAGUUAGGUAGAAAAUAAAGGACGACGUUUGAAAACGAUCGAUACAAAAGUGUUGCAUGACAUUUGUGAUUAACGAUGUCUUCUACAAAUUGUUUCAUCUGUUUAAAGUAAUAGCACUAUACAUGUUUAGUAAAAUUAAUUCAGAAAAAAACGUCGGUGAGACAUUUUAAACUAAAUGUAGCUCUGUCCUUUUCGCAUUUUUUAAGUUUAUACAAUUACAAACUGUCUAAUUAACCACACUUGUAAUAAGACAAACAUAGAGACCAUCUAGUGCUAAUUGACGACGGUUUUUAAAGAUUACUUGAUAAAAUUAUCUUGUAAUAAAACCCUAUACGGCGUUUAUAUAUCAUUUAACGCAAUGAGGCGUGACAAAUUCAAUGUUGAAUUCGUAAGAAGAGUUAUAAAUGUAAUGUAUAUAUAGAUAGUGGAGUAUUAAAAAGAUCAAAUAAACAAAUUAGAUUUCAGAAAAUAAAGAAUAAAAAGUAUGUGGAUGAAUAUAGAAUGAACUCUUGACUUUGUUUGGAACCAUGCCACAUGUAACAGAGGCUCUGGCAUGAUUGGAUACUUUGCUGGAUUACGCUAGUGUACGUCGUCUAUACAGCGAAGCAACCGUUUUCACCCACUUACUGCUUGACAGCUCACCAUAAACUCCAUUAUCCUUUUCUUCUACUGUAGACCGACCGCACUUGAUCAUAUCAGACCUACCUUUUCCUUUUCCUCCCCCGAACUUUCUUAUAUGUCAUACAAUCACCCCAAAUUGUUUUACUUUCUCAAAAUAUGUCCAUUAUUCAGAUUUAGCAAACUUCCUUUUCACUCCUUAGGUAUAUAUAUAAAUGAUUCCGAUCAUGUUUCUUACUUAACUCGGUUGGUUAGUGACAAUAAGUCAUUUUUACAUUAAAUUUAAUUCUGAUUCCGGUGUAAACCGGUUAAGAACCUCUUAGCCAGAGAUAUUUACGAAGUUAUGGGGCUAAAUACAAAUAUUUAAAAUUUCAGGUACAAAGCUAUAAUUAAACAAAAAUAACAUCCACCGAAACAAUUUUGUAAGCAGAGCCAUCAACUUGUUUCUUCAGCGACAUUAGAAGCAUUCCAUUAGCUUUUUUAUUUUUGCUGUGUGUCUGCAGAAAAAAAUUCAAUCUUUCGUCGGAAAAUUAAAGCAGAGUUCGUUUUUAGCUUUUGCUGAGAAGCAAAGAGAUCAAUUAAUUAGUAUUUUUUUUUUUCUUUUUUUCUUCUAACAUCAACUGGUGAUGGCGGUUGCGCCGGCAAGAGCUCGUUCAGACUAUGAUUACCUCAUCAAGCUUCUUCUCAUCGGCGACAGCGGUAAGCUUCUUUCUCCGUUUCUGUGUUCUCGAAUUUGCAAUUGAAUAAUCUCUCAACUGUUUGAUUUUUUUUUUUCUUCUGAAAUUAUUUUUUUGUGUGUCUGCGAUCUUAAUUAGGGUUUUAUGAUUUUGAUUUGUUUAUGCUAGUAUUAUUAUUACUAAGUAUAAUUGACUCUUUAAGAACUUGUGGAACCCGUUGACAAAAUUAGUUCUUUUUUGAGUUGAAUUGUUUGUUUGAGCUUUAUUUGUAUUUGGUGUGUUCAGGUGUGGGGAAGAGUUGCUUGUUACUGCGUUUCUCUGAUGAUACUUUCACUACAAGUUUCAUUACUACCAUUGGGUAUGUCUUCUUCUUACUUAAAAGAUUGCCUUUUUCGUUGUCUAAGUUUGUGUAUUUACUACUUUAUCUUUUUUUCUUUUACAGGAUUGACUUCAAGAUAAGAACUGUUGAGCUUGAUGGGAAGCGUAUCAAAUUGCAGAUAUGGGACACUGCUGGUCAAGAACGUUUUAGAACUAUUACUACAGGUAACCAGACGGAUUUAGAGUUGUUGUUACCAAGUGAACGGAUCUUUAGAUUCAUAGGUUGAUUGAUUCUUGAGUUUUGUGUUGAUGAUAACUCUUGAGUAUUUCCAUACUUUCAUUAAGUAAAAGACAGUCCAUUUGUUUCUGCACUUUCCCUAAAGCGUUUUGGUCCACUUUUGUCACUUGCAGCUUAUUACAGGGGAGCUAUGGGUAUAUUGCUUGUCUACGAUGUAACGGAUGAAUCUUCUUUCAACAGUAUGUCUUGUUACUAUUUUAUCUUUAUAUAGUCAGUUUUGCAAUGAUAUAAAGAUACGAUUGUUUCAACUGAGGAAAUGGGAAUGUGAGACUUGUGGCAACUGAAUACGAUUGUUUCAACUUUCAACAGAUAUUAGGAACUGGAUGAAGAACAUCGAGCAACAUGCCUCAGAUAACGUCAACAAAAUAUUGGUCGGUAACAAAGCUGAUAUGGAUGAAAGCAAAAGGGUAAGUAAUCUUCAGUUGCGUACUUACUUUCAUGACUUAUAGUUUUUACUUUUUAGUAUGCUGAUGUGUGAUCUUCUUUUUCAGGCUGUUCCAACAGCAAAGGGCCAAGCUUUGGCUGAUGAGUAUGGAAUCAAAUUCUUUGAGACGGUGAGCUUGAAAAAAAACACAACAUGUCUGCUGUUUUUCAUUAAUAUCUUCUUGAGAUUACUGAUGUGAUUGCAAUUGUUGCAGAGUGCAAAAACAAACCUCAAUGUCGAAAAUGUUUUCCUUUCAAUCGCGAAAGACAUAAAACAAAGGUUGACAGAAACCGAUACAAAGGCAGAGGUAAGAACUACAGGAAUCUACUCAACUACUCAUUCAUCAUACUCUAAUACCUACUCAAUGUACUGUUCUUGUUGCUUUGCAGCCACAAGGCAUCAAGAUCACUAAACAAGAUACUGCUUCCUCUUCUUCUACAACUGAGAAGUCAGCUUGCUGUAGUUACGUUUAGGAGUAUGAUCGCUCUUUUUCGCCUGCACUGGUCUUUACUGUCUUGCCAUCUUUUUCAUCUCUUACGUCUCAAAUCAGAGAUAAUUCUCAUGUUGUUACCUAGAACGAGUAGGAAAAUCUCAUUGAUGGCUGUGAUCUUUAUGUCUAAUUUGUUAUCUCCAUAAUUCCUGUACAAUGAUCUUCCUGAUAUGGAAGACUGUGUUGGUAAAAAAACUAUGUUAAAGACUUUGAAUUUAUGAAAAAUGAAACUGUUGUAGUGUGUAUAACUCUGAAUUCACAGUUCAAAUCAGGAUUUAUGGUGUUCACUUUGAAUGCUGUUCUCUACUCAAAACCCCAUAGCCUGAGCCAAAAUAAACUCGGAUUUACAAAUAAAACAUUGGAUGGGGUUUUAUUCUAUUAUGAUAUUAUUACAAAUCUCAUUUCAGAAGCAAAAGAAGAACACAAGUAAUCCCACAAAUUUACAUUGAAGCUACAUUAUGUUCUACACACAAAAGAGGCAACUGCAGAGAAAAGAAUCAGAUUCAGUUUUGGGAUACACAACAGAACGAUUAAGUUUUUAUAUGCAACAUCGACUUGUCUCACUAGCUGCAACAGCCAGCUUGAGGUCUGGUCUGGUGUUCAGGUUUCUGCUUCAAGAUGUUUCUUUUCACAGCACUUGAUCCUUCUUCCAAUAGACUAGGUACAUCCAUUAUCUGUUUCAUCACAAUCACACGACCAUUCAUUCUAUAUAUGUUAUACAUAAAACCCUCUUUCCGAAUUGUUGUUUUUAACAGAUUAAGGAUCUUACCUUCAACGCCAGCUCUUCAAAACACUGCUCCACGUUUUGACGAGUUCUAGCACUACACUCAAGAAACAUGCAGUUGAGUUCUUUUGCUAGAGCAAUUCCUUCUUCUCUGCUUACUCCUCUCUCAGAUUCCUGUAAUCAUAUUUUUCAUCAAGAAAAUUAUCAAACGACCAAACAGUGUUUCGAUAACAAGUGUGAUUUCGACUGCAACUCACUCUAUCGACUUUGUUCCCAACAAGCAUCCGAACACAUUCUUGGUUAGUGGAGUAAAGCUCAAUCUCCUUACCCCACACAUCUACUAAAUUUGUAAAUGUCUCCCUUCUGGUCACAUCAUAAACUGCAUUCACCAAGAAACAUUAACUAAACAGUUAACAGACAGAGAGAUCUCUUAGUCUCCUCUGAUUCUGAUUAAAUGACUGAUGAUGGUCAUUACCGAGAAUAAUUCCUUGUGCGCCUCUGUAAUAAGAGCUCGUCAGUGUUCUAAACCGCUCCUGUCCAGCUACAACGGGAAAAACCAAGAAUAUUAGCAGGACCAAUACUUUUCUUAAGAGGAUAAAACUUCUAUAAUCUCACUAUAGAAUCAAAUCACCUGUGUCCCAUAUUGUGAGUUUCAGUCUUUUGCCUCCUACUGUCAAUUGUUUGAUCUUGAAAUCAACACCUGUGAGUAAUAAUAAUUGGGCUGAAUCAAACAAUAUAAUACAGACAAAACAGAUUUCCUUAAACCAAACCAAGAAAAGACUGCUAGAAUAACAGACAUAAAAGUAUCUAAUUGUCUUACUACAAAGUGAAUCAUCAAGAAAGUAAGAUUGUUUCAGUGGCAAUUCGAUCAAAGAUAUGCAUGAUCAUUAUAAAGAUCACUUCAAACAAGAAUUAAACAGAUGGUCAUCAAAGUCAAGCACUUGCAUUUUUUGAAAACUACUAUUUGAUCAACAACUAGAGCAUCAAAAGAGAUGUGACAUAGCUUCAUCCUCAAUUCUAGCUCUCAAGACAUAUAAAUCUGAGACCUUUUCCCUGCAGUUCAAAGAGAAACAUAUUUACCAAUAGUAGGAGCAAGAUCUUCAACGGAGCUGGAAAUGAAGCUCACAAGCAAACUGCUUUUACCAACACCAGAGUCACCAAUCAACAAGAUCUUAAACGACAGAUCGUAUCCACUUAGCCCAGAAGAAGAUCCCAUUUUCUAAAACCCAGAUUUGCUUAAUCUCUUCCCCCUCAACUGUUUUUGUCGAUCUGUAAUUCUAGAAGAGCAAAUGAAAUCCUACUUAAACACCACCAACUACUAUAAAGAAGCAAACUUUUAGGAAAUAAAAAUGAAUCUAUUAAGCUCUGUAAUGAUGAUAAUGAUAAUGAUGAUGAUGCUUCCUCGUUGAUAAUUACAUCUAUCUGCACAUUGCUUUCUAUACUUUAUAAGUAGCAAUCUAAAGAAGAAAAAAGGGAGAACUUUUUUAAUUUUCCUGUGUAUGGAUGUUAAGAUUAAAAUAAGAAAAGAAAUGUGAUGAAGAAAUUGGAAGAUUAUAUUCUUUACCGAGAAAGAGAGGAGAAAGAAACAGGUUUGUCUGAUUAUUAUUUUUUUCUUUUUGUUAAAAAGUAUAUGAGAUUUAUGGAAGAAGACAAGACACAGCAGACCUGAGAUAGUAACGUUUGUUCUUUGCUUUGUCUCCAACACUUUACUUCACUAAAACGUCUCUGUUUGGUUCCAAGUUAUUUACUUCCAGCUUUCUUUUGUCGACGAGUCUGUAGCGUUUUGAAAAUCGCGUUUGAUUUAUGGUAGCCAGUCAACAAACCAUUGUGAUUUAGGUAAAACGUUUUGGUGGAGCAGCAAAACGGUUGUUUUUGGCGGUUUGUAAAAGGUUCAAGUAGACGUUUUACUAAAAUAUCAGUUUUAAUUAUUUUUCUCAAUUACAAUAACUAAAAAUUUAUAGUCACCCCAAUUAUUUUGUAAAAGCACUUUUAGUAAGGCAUCAUUUCAGAAGUACUGUUAAGGUCAACUUUUAUCUUUGUUAACCACAAAUACUAAUUCGUUUUUGAAAUUGAUUAACGAAUUAAAAUAGUGAUAAUGGUUAUGGAGUCGGCCAUUAAUGGAUAGUGGGAGCCAAAACAUGGCCUUUCGUCUGCUGUCAGCCGAGCCCCCUGCAAAACCCCACGUCUGGCCUGUGCAAAGUUUACACGCGUAGUCAAGGUCUCCGAUCGUGACGUCACUUAACGAUGCUCCUUUUUUGUCGUCACUCGUCACACACAAAAGGAUCCAACACUUCUUUGCUUUGGAAAGCUUAUUUGCUGCUAAAUUAGUUACAUUCACGAAGCUUAACAAAAUUCAUAGUAACAAAAUUGAGAUAUAAAGUGUCUAUAUGUUCGGUGUUAUUUCAACUUAUAGGAGGAUAGGACUCUUUUGUCGAAAUCGACCCACCAAAGGGCCAGCCAAGUUGAGUAAAGUAUAAAGAUCAUCUAGACAUGAGACAUCUAACACACCUUAGUCUACCACAACACAGCCAUCAUCAUAUGUCAAAUCUUUUUUCUUUUUUUUGGUUCAACAAAUAAUGUCAAACCUUUAUACAUUUUUUUUUUUUAUAAUGUCAGACCUUUACGAAAAUAAAUAAAUAAAGUAGUUUGUGGCUAAAAGCCAGUUUUGUGGCGAACUCAAAAAAAUGGGCAUCAGUGUUUAAUGGGCUGUUGUGUAUUUGGGCCAUAGCAUUUUUAUUUGGUGGGUCAGAUUUCCUUUAUUAGAUAUGUCAACACUGCUAUAAAUUAAUGUUGUUGUCCAGUACAUGUAACCAAAAUAUAGACUUUCUGAAGAAACAAUUUACACGAGAGAAUUAUAUUAUGGUUAACAUAUCUGACUAUAUUAAAUUGAAACUUACAUUAUUUGGUUUAAUGGAAAUACAAAUUCAUUGAAAUUUACUUUUUUUUUUUUUUUUUUUUUUUUUUUGUCAUCAAAGGGCCUACGAUUGACUCAAACGAGCCAGAUUGAAAUUUACUUCUAUAAUUAUUGUUUUAAGUAUAUAAAACAGAGGUCAAAAAAUUUAAGCGAAUGUUCAAAGUUUUGGUUUAAGUAACGGAGAAAUUAGAAAGCGUCGUCGUAGCUGGAUUUGUACCGGCUCGGCUCUGCUCUGUCACCACCAAAUCAAACCGAGUCGUAACUUCGUCGUCUCUUUUUCUUCUCUUCAACUUCCAUUAUCGAAGGCGACGAGUAAAGAUAUUUUCCAGUGUUUUGGAUUUUGCCAUGGCUGUAGAUAGCAGAGUCGAUCUGCUCAGCGAGAGAGCUGUGUUGAUGAGAGAAUCUCUUCAGAAGAGUCAAACCAUCACCGACAAUGUUGUUUCUAUCCUCGGCUCUUUCGAUAGUCGUCUCUCUGCUCUUGAAACUGCCAUGCGUCCUACUCAGGUAUGUGUGGAGAGCUCCAUCUUAUUUGAUUGUUCAGAUCUGGAAACUAGUUAUCUCUAUGGAGUUUUGUUGACUUGAUCGGAUUUUGGUUUGACUCUGUUGUUUUGAAAUCUCAGAUUAGAACGCAUGCUAUAAGGAAAGCUCAUGAGAAUAUUGAUAGGACUCUUAAGGCUGCUGAGGUUAUUUUGUCUCAAUUCGAUCUCCUCCGUCAGGUUUGUUUUAGAAAUCUUGAUUCCCUCCAUUUAUGUGAGAUUUCAUUCAUUCAUUGUAUUCAGAUCGAUCGGUAUAAAUAGAUAUUUCUCGAGCAGAGGUUGCAUCGUUAUGUUAUUUCACCAAUUUUGUAGUCUCACUCCCACCACUUCUGUUAGCAUAUGUUAGAUUUACUAUUUUUAGCCAUCCUUGGCUCAGUUCUUGUCAUUGCUGGGCAAGGAUAUGACUCGAAACGAUACCUUUCAUUCUACCUCACUCUUUUCAGCUACCCAUUUGGUGGGAUUACUAGUCUUAUAUCUUCUAUAUUUAGCGAGUAUAACUUCAAAGUGAAUUAGGAUGCUGAUCUUUUGCCGAGGAAUGCAUUUUUUGUCUGUUUCUUUGGUUGUAAUUUCUAGUUUGCUGUUUCUGAGUUACUUCUUUUUGUAACAAAAGCCCAAUCACUAAUUAUGCUCUCAAUUCAUUUCUAGGCAGAGACUAAAGUACUUAAGGGGCCACAUGAGGACCUGGAGAGUUAUCUGGAUGCAAUAGCUCAACUCAGAAAAAUUAUUCGUUAUUUCAUGAGCAACAAAAGCUUUAAGAGUAGCGAUGGAGUCCUCAACCAUGCAAAUAGCUUGCUUGCUAAAGCACAGUCAAAGCUGGAGGAGGAGUUUAAACAGUUGCUAGCUUCUUACAGGUUCGUGCUUCUGUGUCUAAUAAGAGUUUCUGAACACAUCCUCAGGAAAAUUUAUGCUAUUGUGCAUGUUAUAACCAUGAAUCCUACCCUUUAACUACAUGGAACAUAACUAACUGUCGAUUUUAGCUACUUUUUCAAGCUAUAUAUUUUAGUAACUAGUUUUCGCUUCUAUGAGGGUCUUACUUCUUUACCUCCCUUGCAAAUAACCAUGAACAGUUUUAGCAUGGGCAAACGGCAAUAUCUUAGAAUGGCAUUUUUUCUGAAUUUAUUGAAGUUGUCACUCGGCGAAUAUUUUUUUUAUUGAAACAAGUGCCCUAUGGUAUGAGUGUUCCAGACAACUGGUUUUAAAUGGAAGAAUGGUGAAGCCAUCUCUUAUUAGGCUAAUCAUAACCUUUUCCCGUCUAAAUUAAGACUCCUUUUCAAAUCAUUUUGUCCUCAUUAUCCUAUUCGAUUUGUCUUUGUUAUAAUCAGUAAAGCUGUGGAGCCUGAUCGCCUUUUUGAUGGCCUUCCCAACUCACUGAGACCAUCCUCAGACGGCGAUGGAGGUGGAAAACCACACGGAGGACAUCACAACGAUGAAUCAGAAACUGCUUCUUAUACACUUCCAAUCCUCAUUCCAUCAAGGGUUUUGCCACUUUUGCAUGAUUUGGCACAGCAAAUGGUUCAGGCUGGUCACCAACAACAGUUGAAACAAAUUUAUAGGUGAACUUUUUGAUUCUUGGUCAUUCAUCCUGUAUGUUUUUUCUCAAAACAUGCUCUUAGAUUAAAUUUUAACUCAUAAUUCUAACAUGAGUUCUGUUUCUCUGUCAAAGUAUAUUUGCUUUAAACAUAUAUGAGUAGUACAAUUAUUUUACCUAUAAUACUCACCAUGGUUUCUGCUAGUUGUGAGUUUAUAUUUGACUAUUCCUGUGCUGUUUCACUAUUUAAGCUAGAGAGAAAUGUUUUUAAUAUUAUGGAUAUUCGUGGGUUUUCUGCUUGGUUUGAUCAGAAUCAAACUGUUUGAUGUGCACAUUGCAUUUCGCUGUUUUUGCUUACCUAAUCUGAAAAAAUAAAUUGCUCGAUGCAAUUUUGGUGGUCUCAUACAGGUAAUGCAUUGGAACAGUUUAGUCUUUUUUCUUCCAUUUGAACUAUGUGAUACUGCAGCUACUACUAUUGCCAUAUUUAAGCAGUGAAUUGUGUAAUACUACUAUUCUCAAAUUUGCGGUGAAUUGCAUAAUCUAGUGGCAUUUCCCAAUACAUAUAUAAGAUGCAUUUGUAUAUUUUGAGUUUGUUUUUAAUCUCCUUCGGUUUAAUCUUUUGUGUUUUGUUCAGCGAAACACGUUCUUUUGUCUUGGAUGAAAGCCUAAAGAAAUUGGGCGUUGAAAAACUUAGUAAAGAGGAUGUUCAGAGGAUGCAGUGGGAAGUAUUGGAGGCCAAAAUUGGAAAUUGGAUCCAUUUCAUGCGCAUUGCUGUAAGAAUGCUAGUUAAGGUUUGAUAUAUAUUUAAUAUGUUAUGUUGACCCUUAACUCGAGAUAAUUUUUUCAUCAGGUUAAAUUACUCUUCGCUGGAGAAAGGCAAGUAUGUGACCAGAUAUUUCGAGGCUUCGAUUCUCUUAGCGAUCAGUGUUUUGCAGAAGUUACAGUGAGCAGUGUCUCAAUGCUACUUAGCUUUGGGGAUGCUAUAGCUAGGAGCAAGAGAUCUCCAGAAAAGUUGUUUGUGCUCUUAGACAUGUAUGAGAUCAUGCGGGAGCUUCAUACAGAGGUAAUAUUUUCUCUUUCUUCCAAAGCGAAGUUUCUGUGAAUUAGAUGGGUUUUAAUAAUUGAUUACAUGUAUUUUCCUGCUAACAUCCCCACCAUAAUAAACAGCAUGGCACACACAGAAAAAACUUUGUGAUACAAAUGUGGUUGAAGUUUGCUAGCUAGGACUAGAUAAAGUGUGAAUUAAUUGAUGACCAGUUAGUUUUUGUGCUAUGUUGUGUGGAUAGCAUUAGCUGAUACAACAAUCUCCUGAAAUUUGUGUCCAUGGACAGAUUGAGACAAUUUUCAAAGGUAAAGCAUGCCUUGAAAUUAGAGAUUCUGCUACGGGCUUGACAAAGAGGUUAGCGCAGACUGCUCAGGAAACAUUUGGUGAUUUCGAAGAAGCUGUUGAGAAAGAUGCUACAAAGACUGCUGUUCUAGAUGGAACUGUCCACCCACUAACAAGCUAUGUCAUCAAUUAUGUGAAGUUCUUAUUUGAGUAAGUUCCGCAUAUGUAGAUUUGAUUAGGACAAGCCCAGUUAAUUUCUUUGAAUCUCUUUGCGUCCUGCUAUAUGCAUAUUGUCUCUUUCCACGCUUUAACUGAUGAUCUUUGGUGUCAGCUACCAAACAACAUUGAAGCAACUUUUCUUGGAAUUUGGAAAUGGAGAUGACUCAAAUUCGCAGCUAGCAUCCGUAACAAUGAGGAUAAUGCAGGCACUUCAAAACAACUUGGACGGAAAAUCAAAACAGUACAAAGAUCCUGCACUGACACACUUGUUCCUGAUGAACAACAUUCAUUACAUGGUCAGAUCUGUGCGAAGGUAUGUUUAGUUUUACAUUUUGAAAGACUGAUCUGGACUUAAUUAAAAAGGAAACCGACUCUCGAUUGAUGUAGUUGGCUUUAUUUGUAUCAUAACUUUUCAGGUCAGAAGCCAAGGAUUUGUUAGGCGAUGAUUGGGUUCAAAGACAUAGGCGUAUCGUCCAGCAACAUGCAAAUCAAUACAAAAGGAUUGCGUGGACAAAGGUACUUAGUAUUUGUCAAACUCCUAUAAGUAGAUCCUGUUAUAUUAAAAUAUUUUUUAUAUUGUUAUCAAGAAACUGUUAUAUAUAUCAUGUAGAUAUUACAAUCCUCAUCGGCGCAAGGUUUAACAUCAUCUGGGGGAGGAAGUUUAGAGGGAGGAAACAGCAGUGGAGUUUCAAGAGGAUUAUUAAAAGAGAGGCAAGGCUUACACAGCUAAAAAUACAGUAAUUGUGAAAUGUUUAUAUAUCUGGUAAUGAUGAAUGAUUUAACUUUUAAAAAAUGGAACAGGUUCAAGAUGUUUAAUAUGCAGUUUGAUGAGUUGCACCAGAGACAAUCUCAAUGGACAGUUCCAGACACGGAGUUAAGAGAGUCAUUAAGACUUGCUGUGGCUGAAGUAUUAUUGCCUGCUUACAGAUCCUUCCUCAAACGUUUUGGGUAAAAAUUCUCCUUUUUCUCUCUCUCUUUUAUCUACAAAAGCAUCUUUGAACAUAUUUGAUCGAAAUGUAGAGAACCCCUAACUAGAUUUAAAUGGAUGAUCGGUGUAGGCCUUUGGUUGAGAGUGGGAAGAAUCCUAAUAAAUACAUAAAGUAUACAGCUGAAGAUCUUGAAAGACUGUUGGGUGAGUUGUUUGAAGGAAAGUCUACGAGUGAACCACGCCGGUAAAAAAAAAACAAACAACAACAAAAAGAUUAUGAAAAACUUAUCAGUGUAAGGUAAAUUUCUACCAAAUCUUACCUUUCAAUAAUUAGGUUUGUUGCCAUUUGUAUAUGGAGUGUUCAAUUUUCGUUUUUGUAUUCUUACUAUUCUUUGGUCAUGGAAUGUGAAAAUGUUCUUUUCAGUAACUCAUACGUUUGUAAAUUACUUGGAGACGAUUUAUUUCAUUUUGUUUACUUUUUUUAAAAGAAAAGACGCAGUGAAGUAGCUAACUAAUAAUAAUAACAAUAAUAGAAAGUAGCCAACUAAUUAGUAAUAAUUAAGCUAAACAGUUCUAUUAUUAUUAGUAAGCUAGGCAUGGGGACAACAAAUUUUCAUUCGGACCAGUUCCGUUAUUUUCUUUCUUUGUGGGAAUUUAGGCGAUUAAACCAGGUUGUCUAAUGGUUUCUAAUCGCAAUCUUGUGUUGAUAUUGGCACAAUCAGUCUAAUUUAAUCAACUUAACAACUAAUUAAUUAAUCAGCUCCACCACACUCCACACCUUAUAAAUUACCUAACUUUCAUAUUCAAUUAAUCGGUCAAGAACAUAAACAAAUCACCUGAUUCCUUUUCGUUGAUAUGAACUUAUGAUGUUGCAGAUUGCAGAGUAGCCGUGAUCAAUUAAACAUUUAAUUAUAUAUGUGAUUGGUUAUAUAUAUAAUUCUUUUCCUGUUAAGCCCUAAAAAGAACUUAGAAAAGAAAAAAAUACAAAAAGUUGGCGGUAAACAGUGAUAAGGCGAUAAGCAAGUAGUUCAAGAAAAUUUUGUUUGGAUCAUCAAUCAUACCAAUAAAUAAUCUAAUAAUAGUACAAGAAGUAAUGCAAAACAACCCCCAAGCCAACCAUAAGAAACCGACCAAAACCUCGUCAUUGAACCGGGACAAGACAAAAUAGAGCUCUACCGACGCACAUAUUACUUAAAUCGCAAAAAAAGUGAGGAAAGAAAUGAAACUUAUUAGUAAAGUAAAAAAGGAGAGUGAUGAGAUGGUUUCAAACACACAUGUUUGGUAAUGGCAUAUUCCUUUUGGAAGAUCCAAAUUCUCCCAACAUCUUUACAUGGACUUCCCCAUUUCCAUCAUCUCCUCCCACCUUUUUUCCCAAAGUAAUAUUAAAGUUUAUUAUUUGAUUUCUUUCAAUGUCAUCUUUACACCAAUGAGAAAUCUUACUUUUAUUCCCCUUUACACCAAUACUAUACCUAUUUUUCUUUUAUUCUUUUUAUUUAUAGUCAUUUACAAUAACUCACAGAACCCAAUUCUUUCAAUAUAUUGUAUGUAGUUUAUACAUACAAGUAUAUUGAAACAUAGUUUUUAUAUUAUAUAUACAAUAAAUAAUAUGCAAAAUACAUGUUAUAUUUGUAUUCACUUUUGGGUACAGUUUAGAAAAGCACAAAAUAAUCUAUCAUCAACUGACACGGGAUACAGUGGUUACACUGAGUUGAUUAAUUAUUAUACGGAAAAAGUAUUUUUAAUUAAAGGAAAAGUGGAAAGAACACUAUAGCUUAUGCAUUGAGUGUUUUCAACCUCUCGUUUAAUUUGUCUCCAUGACCAAAGACAAAGGAGAGAAGCCAUAAAAACCCUAACAACAUCUAUUGUUGAAACUCCCUUUGGCACAACACCACACACAAAAAGAGAUGGCCAUCCCCUAAAGAAAAGUGAAGCUGAAGAACCCUCAAAUGAUCAAUCAGAAGAUCUCACCAACAAAGGGUUUUGAGAGGUUCAAGUUUCUCUUUAGGGGAUGGCACCAAAACACAAAGAGUACUCACAAAAGGUAAGAAGAAGGUGUCUCUUGGAGAUUAUGACCAUAAAAUUGUGUUUAAUUAUUUUUGUGGGUGUUGUCUGAAUGAUCCUCGUCACUAUAUUAUCAUUAUCAACAUGGUGAUGGUGAUGAGGAGGAUUGUGUGUGAAUGAAUGGAGCGAUGAAGAUUGCAUGAAGGUUGAUGAAGACAAGCUUGAUGUGUCUUUUGUUAUCCCUCGUUUGGGCAACUUCGAUCCUUUGGCAAGCUUCGGUUCCCCUCGGAAUCAGCAGAUUAUUAUCUUACUAGCUACCUCUCUUUUUGUCUAUGUUCUUUGUUUCCGGUUUAAUUUUGGUUUAUUGUCUUUUCAUGUUUCUGUUGAAUGUGUGUGUGUGUGUGUGUUGGUAUCCCGUGUGAUUCACCGUUCAGGUAUGUUCCUAUCUGUGUGUGAGGAAUAAAAGAAUAUUCGGUUUUUUAUAUCUAAGACCAAACACCACUUCUAUCUUUCUUUAACAGUGUCUUCAAACAAUUUUUUUCUUUUUCUGUAUACCUUUAGCAAAAAAUACUUUUAAAGGUGGCCCAUUCUUAGCCCAUUAACAGUCCAAUUCUAGCCAAUUAAAAUCGGGUAAAUUAAAAAAUACAUUAUACGGAGCCAAGAGAGCCCUAAUCAUAUUA
rnacentral:lncRNA from 1 species